rnacentral:lncRNA from 1 species
CCAGCAGAGAAAGCAGCGUUAACGCGACCAGUGACAGUGCGACCAGGUUCGUUUCGCCACCAUUCGCCAGGGCGUUUACGCUCUCUAACUGGGUACCUAGUUCCCGCCAUUUCCACAUCAGGCUGGUCUGGGUUGACACUACUGCAAUUAGCGGUUUAAGGUCCUGGGUUCGAUUCCUGGGGAGACCCCCGAACUAGUCGGGAGCGCGAGAUUAUGGCUAGCUGCUGAGAUGUGGAGUUGAGGUCACAGUUGAUGGACCAGAUUCGCACGCUGGAUUGGUGGCGAUUGCCGAACCCUCCGUCUCUUCGGGUGUUCGGGUGAAUGGAUGAGGAGGGGUCCCUGAAGGCUGGAUCCGCCGCCUUGGACUUACAGUUCGUAUGGCGAAGACAGUGUGGUAGUGGUGGAUGGUGCUAUAAGGUGAUAAAUGAUCGUAGAACUGACAAUGUGAUAAAGCGGCCCAGAAGCCUCCCACUCUGUAACACAUUACAUUACAUUACAUUACAUUACAUCAGGCUGAUUGAUUCCUUGCCCGUUCGCACUGCUGGAAGGUCCAGCCCCAGCCGGCGCCCCCUCGCCACCCAAAUGCGGCGAUCCCUCGCCGACGGUGCUACCUGGUGUUCCUUCGCCAGCCCUAGGCAGCGAUCCCUCACCAGAUAAACUAGUGCGAAACUCCUCCUCCUCGUCGGCAUCGGACUCAUAAUCGGAGUCCCCGGCAUUACGCCGCCGGCCGACAUUAGACUCGUCAAAACGAACGUUAGAAACUACGGCAAUAAUGCCGUCCUCGUAUAAUACACGAUACUGUCCACCGUUCCCGUAUCCAACAAGUAUUCCACGCCUGCUCACCGGGUCGAACUUGUCGCGCUUGACGUCGGGUACGUGGACGUAGGCAACGCAUCCAAAGACUCGCAGGUGACUGACGUUCGGACGAACAUUAAAGAAAGCUUCGUACGGAGUGACGGUUGACCCAGCAGUUGGCGACACAUUCCUAAGAUAGUUGGCUGUCGCUAACGCCUCCGCCCAUAAUGAUUUAGGCAGUCCAGACUCAACUAGCAUAGCCCUAGUCUUGUCCAAAAGAGUGCGAUUUAAACGUUCUGCAGCUCCGUUCUGCUCAGGGGUGUAGCCUACCGUAGUUCCGUGUACAAUUCCCCUGGAAGCGAAAUAGGCCUUCGUGCGAGUAUUAACAAACUCCCCGCCACGAUCUGUACGCACCUCCUUAACCUGCCUGCCAGUAGCGCGCUCCAGUUCCGCUAUCAUUACCACCAUCUUCUGGUAGACCUCCUCCUUGGUCGCUGUAAACGCAACAGUGAAAGACCAGUAUGNNNNNNNNNNNNNNNNNNNNNNNNNNNNNNNNNNNNNNNNNNNNNNNNNNNNNNNNNNNNNNNNNNNNNNNNNNNNNNNNNNNNNNNNNNNNNNNNNNNNNNNNNNNNNNNNNNNNNNNNNNNNNNNNNNNNNNNNNNNNNNNNNNNNNNNNNNNNNNNNNNNNNNNNNNNNNNNNNNNNNNNNNNNNNNNNNNNNNNNNNNNNNNNNNNNNNNNNNNNNNNNNNNNNNNNNNNNNNNNNNNNNNNNNNNNNNNNNNNNNNNNNNNNNNNNNNNNNNNNNNNNNNNNNNNNNNNNNNNNNNNNNNNNNNNNNNNNNNNNNNNNNNNNNNNNNNNNNNNNNNNNNNNNNNNNNNNNNNNNNNNNNNNNNNNNNNNNNNNNNNNNNNNNNNNNNNNNNNNNNNNNNNNNNNNNNNNNNNNNNNNNNNNNNNNNNNNNNNNNNNNNNNNNNNNNNNNNNNNNNNNNNNNNNNNNNNNNNNNNNNNNNNNNNNNNNNNNNNNNNNNNNNNNNNNNNNNNNNNNNNNNNNNNNNNNNNNNNNNNNNNNNNNNNNNNNNNNNNNNNNNNNNNNNNNNNNNNNNNNNNNNNNNNNNNNNNNNNNNNNNNNNNNNNNNNNNNNNNNNNNNNNNNNNNNNNNNNNNNNNNNNNNNNNNNNNNNNNNNNNNNNNNNNNNNNNNNNNNNNNNNNNNNNNNNNNNNNNNNNNNNNNNNNNNNNNNNNNNNNNNNNNNNNNNNNNNNNNNNNNNNNNNNNNNNNNNNNNNNNNNNNNNNNNNNNNNNNNNNNNNNNNNNNNNNNNNNNNNNNNNNNNNNNNNNNNNNNNNNNNNNNNNNNNNNNNNNNNNNNNNNNNNNNNNNNNNNNNNNNNNNNNNNNNNNNNNNNNNNNNNNNNNNNNNNNNNNNNNNNNNNUGUUGCUGUAGCCACCCUUGUAGCCAGAAUUUGACGACUGCUUCAGCGCCUUAAGCUGCCUGCAGUCCUUAACCACGUGCCCAGGUUUAUUACAGUAGUAGCAGAUGACUUGCUUCCGACUAUGUCCCGAGCUGUUGUUAGCCGGCCCCCGGCUACCAUAACCAGAAGUAGAAGCGCCGAACGUCGAACCGCCGACAGACGUGAAGGCUGCCGACUCGGUAGGCUUGCCCGACCCACCGUUAGCCGUCUCGAUAGAGAGAAGCUUUGCUGUGACGCUCGCCAUGUCCAAAUCGCCGUCGCGCAUAAGUAAUGUAGUCGUCACCACGCUGUACCGACUGGGUAGACCAACUAGCACGGUGUACGCCAGCUCGGAGUCGUUAACUACGUGGCCGACUCCCAAUAAAUCUGUUUGCAGCUGCCUUGCACGCGCAAAGUACAUCGGAAGAGGUUCGCCGUCGACCAUUUUAAAACGGCUGAAUUCUUGACGUAGAGACACCUUGCGGGCGUUGUUGUUGGCAGCAAACAUAGAUCCCAAGGCGUCCCAGGCCUUCUUCGCGUUGGCAGCACCGGUAACCAUCGGCAAAUGAUGAUCCUUGACGUUCUUGAUUGAUGACCUUCCGUGACUGUCGAAUUUGCUCCUCGUUGCACGGCUCGGCGAGCAGGGAUUGCUCAAGCCCAAGCUCCAUGCACAUCGCGCUAAACCGAAUUUGCCAGGUAGAGUAGUUGUUGAGGUCCAGCGACUCAUCAAGCUUGUCCUUAACCAUUGUCGAUGAGGGAUAGAAAUAACAAUUUUGGGCGAUAGCUGUCUGCGCUAAGCGGGGCUCAUAACCUAUUGAAGAAUUGGCGACGGUGACGGCUAACGCUGAUUGUUAUUCCGGAAGGAUUGCCGGUGGCGAAGAUAUUUAGCACGAUAAACUGUUACAAGUAAUGUAAAGAGUAUUGUUAGCGUUCGGCAGGACUUGAGGAGAUUCCUGGUAGGAAUACCGAUCGUUGUGAGAUAAACUAAUAGGCGCUGUCACCGCCCUAAAUACCGGCGCUAGCGGAAAACUCGUACAUUCCGCGAUCUAACUGCACGUACAUUCCGCGAUCUCACUGCGCCGUCCAGACGGUGCCCUAAUGUCUAUCACUUAGCUACCGGAUAUGCAUCGGUAGCCCUAUAAGGUUCUGGGGUAAGUCUUCCCCAUUAGUCAGGCGCAGACCCGGGGUCAAAUCCCCUGGUCGACAACCACACGAGUUGGGAGAGGACCGUUUCCUCAACAGUUUCAACAGGUACAACCACCGGUACAUUAGCACAUCAAGAGGCUGUGCACACAGCUCACAAGUGCCGUUAGCUGCCAAUGCAGCAAUCUCCUCGACCAUCACUCUGCGCCACUCAUUUGCAUUUGCACCUGAAAUGGCUUCAGUGAAAGUAUUACUCAGCAAAAGUUCAACAGGGUACGGAUAAGUGACAGCCACGUUAAUGCGACCUACUAUCCUCCUUCCUGCAACACCAUGCCACUACUCCGAUGGCUUUAAUAUCUCCUCAUAUUCCCUGCCCUCUUCUUCUGUACUCCUGCGCUGGCGUGCACCAGUGGAUGUUCCGGCUUCAUCCGGCAUUCCUUCACCAUCCACAGGUGACAGUGGUGCCUAGCCGACUGUGUUUCCUAAGUCUAAUGGAGCUUGGCAGAGGCCCUGACUCAGGUACACCAAUACUAGCCGCUUCGGAGUCAGACAAUUCCCCUUAAGAUAGUUGCUCUUUUCGUGCAGCAAAGAAUACACGGCAUCACUGUGCUGCCGCCACUGUUAAGAAUAUGAAGGAGGCAAGGAGACUGGUUGCGAUGUUUGUAUUACAAUCGGUAGGUGAGUGGUAAACGGCUGGAAGACUUUAGGAGAUUCCUACUGAGGAAUACCGAUCCAUACAAAGAUGAGAUACUAAGACUAGCACAACUCGCGUCUUAUAUACCAGUACCAAUGGAAGUAUCGUACAGAUGUCCACCAUCCCUGGACCCGAGGUCACGUCCGAGAUACGCGGCCGAGAGACUCGAGGCAAGGUCGAGGUACGGCCGAGGCAAGUCGAGGUAUGGCCGAGGCAAGGUCGAGACACGUUCGAGGCAUUGCCUAUCAUCGCCUAACUACCAACUAUCUACGUUGGGAUAGGACCGCCCUUCAACACGCCCCCUCGGGAAAUAUCCCAACUCGCAGUAGCACAUUUGCUCCACCAAUGGGCACUUCACACAACGCCCAUAGCUUCUCUGCACCGUUUGAACUUCACUUCUCCCAGUGCCUUAGUGAGCGCAUCCGCUACCAUCCACUCUGUAGGGCAGUACUCCAACUGCACCUCACCGCUAUUCACCCUCUCACGCACUAUGUGGUGCUGCACGUCGAUGUGCUUCGACCGAGCAGACGUAAUCGGAUUAUUUCCCAAGCUAAGCGCCCCCUGGGAGUCUAUCUGGAUUUUCACCGCGCUCUCAGGCAAGCCCAAAUCGACCAUCAGCUUGCGAAGCCACAAAGCUUCACGAACAGCCGCCGCUGUAGCUUGGUACUCAGCCUCCACCGACGAAGCCGCCACAGUACGUUGAAGUUGGCUGCUCCAACUAAUCGCAGCCCCAUUAAGAGUGAAUACGUAGCCGGACGUAGAACGCCGCGUAACUGGGUCUCCUGCCCAGUCCGAAUCACUGUACCCGGACAUUGCAACACUGCCAACACCCCCAAAACGCAAUCCUAGUUCGCGAGUACCCGCCAGGUAACGCAGAACGCCAGUAGCCAAGUUCAUGGCAGUCUUCGUAGGUGUGGCCAUAUGCCGGGACAAAACGCUCAAGGCAUACGAAAUGUCAGGCCGCGUGUUCGUCGCCAGAUAGUUCAAUCCUCCCACCAAAGCCCUAUACUCCGUGGGAUUGCCCAGCAGCUCCUCUCCGUCCCCCUUAGGAGUGUACCUAAAGCCCGGAGGCAAAGGGGUAGACCUCGGCUUGGCGUCAACCAUCCUAUGACGCUCUAACAGCUGCUCAAUAUACCUAUGCUGCGACAACACUAUCUCACCCGACUUCUCCCUCCUAAUUUCCAUGCCCAAAAACACCUUCGCUUCUCCAAGGUCACGCACCUUGAAGACCUUCGCAAUUGCGGCUUUAAUUGCCCGGACCAUUUCCGGGUCUUCUGACGCAACAAUGGUGUCAUCUACGUGCACCAAAGCAAUAACCACCCCACGCUCGUCCGUCUUAACGAACAUCGCCGGAUCAGACUUCGAAGGAUAAAGACCCAGCUUGGCGAACUCUGCUGAUAGCUUUUCAUACCAGCAACGGGGUGCCUGCUUCAAACCGUAAAUAGACCUCUCCAGCUUGCACGCAAGCGACCGGUCACUGGAUUCAUACCCAGGUGGUUGUUGCUUUGGUGCACGUAGAUGAGGGGGCGUGUUGAAGGGCGGUCCUAUCCCAACGUAGAUAGUUGGUAGUUAGGACCGCCCUUCAACAGCCACCGCCUGUCUGUUGAGGCCUGCUACCCCACCUGCCACGUGUGGUCGCCAAGACCACCUCCACUUCUUCCCUGCACGUUAGGCUGCAGCUCUCUCUGCAACUCCGAGCUAUACGGCCCGUCUGUUUGUAGUUGCAGCAAACGAUCGCCUGUUGCAAUCCACGCUAUCCAGCGGGGUCAACCGGAUACAGAAUUUUCGCGGCACUCACGGCCGCCAGUCGUCUGCAUGUGGGCCUGAGAUGGCUUCGGCAUAAAAUGUUAGGCUCUGAAUCCCAGCAGAUACUGCAGCAAUGACUCGGCCUGUAGCACUACGACCAGGUACACUCCCUCACCACUCGCCAGGACGUUUGCAUUCCCUAACUGAAUACCGAGCCCCCAGCAUUUCCACACCAGGGUGUGUAUUUCCUUGCACACUCACACUUCUGGGAGGUCCAGCCCCAGCCGGCGCCCCCUCGCCACACAAAGGCGGCGGUCCCUCGCUGACGGUAUUGCCUGAUGUCCAUUCGCCAGCCCUAGGCAGCUACCCCUCACCAGGCAACCUAGUGUGCAACCCUCGUCGGCAUCGGACCCAUCAUCAGAAUCCCUGGCAUUGUGCCGCUGGCCGACAUUAAACUCAUCAAGGCGGACAUUGGGGACGUACACAACACGAUACUGUCCUCCAUUCCCAUAUUCGGCCAGGNNNNNNNNNNNNNNNNNNNNNNNNNNNNNNNNNNNNNNNNNNNNNNNNNNUCUUCAUGCUGCGUCCUCUUCAGAGCUCCCGUACCUCCACUGCUGUAGCAGACGGGAUACAAAUCCCCAUCCCGCUUUCCAGUCAGCACCAACUGGUUCUGUACGUAUACUUUCGCCUGUCCGCCGCCGAAGACCACACUGCCUCCACGAUCAUCAAUGAUGCGUACCGAUAUGAUUUUGGCGGUGGCCUCCUCGUCGACGUAGACCUUCUUGAAAGUGAUGGCCUGUUUAUCGUUGACGUUAGACCGAAUCGUAAGCGUGCCAACUUCAGUUGGUCGAAGAGAUUGUCCCUUGAUGCCCAUGAUGUUGAAGCGCUCCCACGGCUCCAACAACCGCACGUUGAAAAGUUCUGAGCGGUCAUACGUUAUGUGGUGAGUGGCGGCUGAGUCCAGAAACCAUUCCGUCGGACGAUUGCUGUUGUAUGCCACGAAUGCUACCUGCCGCGGAACUCCUGGCCCCCUAGCUGAUCCACCGGAUCCUGGCUUGCUGCCGCUAGCUCCGCUGCCACUACCUCCGUUACCACUGUUGCUGUAGCCACCCUUAUAGCCAGAAUUUGACGACUGCUUCAGCGCCUUAAGCUGCCUGCAGUCCUUAACCACGUGCCCAGGUUUAUUACAGUAGUAGCAGAUGACUUGCUUCCGACUAUGUCCCGAGCUGUUGUUAGCCGGCCCCCGGCUACCAUAACCAGAAGUAGAAGCGCCGAACGUCGAACCGCCGACAGACGCGAAGGCUGCCGACUCGGUAGGCUUGCCCGACCCACCGUUAGCCGUCUCGAUAGAGAGAAGCUUUGCUGUGACGCUCGCCAUGUCCAAAUCGCCGUCGCGCAUAAGUAAUGUAGUCGUCACCACGCUGUACCGACUGGGUAGACCAACUAGCACGGUGUACGCCAGCUCGGAGUCGUUAACUACGUGGCCGACUCCCAAUAAAUCUGUUUGCAGCUGCCUUGCACGCGCAAAGUACAUCGGNNNNNNNNNNNNNNNNNNNNNNNNNNNNNNNNNNNNNNNNNNNNNNNNNNNUAUCCCAACGAGUACCAAGUUCAUCUGCACACUUCACACAAGGCCCAUAGCAUCUCGGCAACGUUUGAACUUCACCUCGCCCAGAGCCUUCGUUAGCACAUCCGCUACCAUCCACUCCGUAGGGCAGUAUUCCAACUGCACCUCACCGCUAUUCACCCUCUCACGCACUAUGUGAUGCUGCACGUCGAUGUGCUUCGACCGAGCAGACGUAAUCGGGUUGUUUCCCAAGCUAAGCGCCCCCUGGGAGUCUAUCUGGAUUUUCACCGCGCUCUCAGGCAAGCUCAAAUCAACCAUCAGCUUGCGAAGCCACAAAGCCUCAAGAACAGCCGCCGCUGUAGCUUGGUACUCAGCCUCCACCGACGAAGCCGCCACAGUACGUUGAAGUUGGCUGCUCCAGCUAAUCGCAGCCCCAUUAAGAGUGAAUACGUAACCGGACGUAGAACGCCGCGUAACUGGGUCUCCUGCCCAGUCCGAAUCACUGUACCCGGACAUAGCAACGUCGCCAACACCCCCAAAACGCAAUCCUGUUGAUGAAACGGUCCUCUCCCAACUCGUGUGGUUGUCGACCAGGGGAUUUGACCCCGGGUCUGCACCUGACUAAUGGGGAAGACUUACCCCAGAACCUCUUCCGAUGUACUUUGCGCGUGCAAGGCAGCUGCAAACAGAUUUAUUGGGAGUCGGCCACGUAGUUAACGACUCCGAGCUGGCGUACACCGUGCUAGUUGGUCUACCCAGUCGGUACAGCGUGGUGACGACUACAUUACUUAUGCGCGACGGCGAUUUGGACAUGGCGAGCGUCACAGCAAAGCUUCUCUCUAUCGAGACGGCUAACGGUGGGUCGGGCAAGCCUACCGAGUCGGCAGCCUUCGCGUCUGUCGGCGGUUCGACGUUCGGCGCUUCUACUUCUGGUUAUGGUAGCCGGGGGCCGGCUAACAACAGCUCGGGACAUAGUCGGAAGCAAGUCAUCUGCUACUACUGUAAUAAACCUGGGCACGUGGUUAAGGACUGCAGGCAGCUUAAGGCGCUGAAGCAGUCGUCAAAUUCUGGCUACAAGGGUGGCUACAGCAACAGUGGUAACGGAGGUAGUGGCAGCGGAGCUAGCGGCAGCAAGCCAGGAUCCGGUGGAUCAGCUAGGGGGCCAGGAGUUCCGCGGCAGGUAGCAUUCGUGGCAUACAACAGCAAUCGUCUGACGGAAUGGUUUCUGGACUCAGCCGCCACUCACCACAUAACGUAUGACCGCUCAGAACUUUUCAACGUGCGGUUGUUGGAGCCGUGGGAGCGCUUCAACAUCAUGGGCAUCAAGGGACAAUCUCUUCGACCGACUGAAGUUGGCACGCUUACGAUUCGGUCUAACGUCAACGAUAAACAGGCCAUCACUUUCAAGAAGGUCUACGUCGACGAGGAGGCCACCGCCAAAAUCAUAUCGGUACGCAUCAUUGAUGAUCGUGGAGGCAGUGUGGUCUUCGGCGGCGGACAGGCGAAAGUAUACGUACAGAACCAGUUGGUGCUGACUGGAAAGCGGGAUGGGGACUUGUAUCCCGUCUGCUACAGCAGUGGAGGUACGGGAGCUCUGAAGAGGACGCAGCAUGAAGACAACAGGAUACCUUCUGGUGGUGAUGCAGUGUGUGCUGCCGUGGGUAUCGGAGCUGAACGUGCAGCACUUUGGCACCGAAGGUAUGGCCACUUGGGAUACAGCAACCUUGAGACGUUGCUGCGUCAUAAUAUGGUAGCUGGAUUUGAUGUUGACCGACACAGCAUACAAUCAGCCAGCACGUGUGUGUGUGAGACUUGCGUCCUUGCUAAACAUACACGUGGUCCUUUUCCGUUAUCUGGGCAUAAAGCAGCGCAGUCUCUCGCGCUCAUUCACAUGGAUGGUCUGGUCUGGGUUGACACUACUGCUAUUAGCGGUUUAAGGUCCUGGGUUCGAUUCCUGGGGAGACCCCCGAAUUAGUCGGGAGCGCGAGAUUAUGGCUAGCUGCUGAGAUGUGGAGUUGAGGUCACAGUUGAUGGACCAGAUUCGCACGCUGGAUUGGUGGCGAUUGCCGAACCCUCCGUCUCUUCGGGUGUUCGGGUGAAUGGAUGAGGAGGGGUCCCUGAAGGCUGGAUCCGCCGCCUUGGACUUACAGUUCGUAUGGCGAAGUACAGUGUGGUAGUGGUGGAUGGUGCUAUAAGGUGAUAAAUGAUCUAGAACUGACAAUGUGAUAAAGCGGCCCAGAAGCUUCCCACUCUGUAACAUUACAUUACAUUACAUUACAUUACAUGGAUGUGUGUGGGCCUAUGCCUGAACCUUCGCCUAGUGGUUCGCGUUACGUGACAACCCUGCUUGACGACCAUACUGGUCUUUCAGCUGUUGCGUUUACAGCGACCAAGGAGGAGGUCUACCAGAAAAUGGUGGUAAUGAUAGCGGAACUGGAGCGCGCUACUGGCAGGCAGGUUAAGGAGGUGCGUACAGAUCGUGGCGGGGAGUUCGUUAAUACUCGCACGAAGGCCUAUUUCGCUUCCAGGGGUAUUCUACACGGAACUACGGUAGGCUACACCCCUGAGCAGAACGGAGCUGCGGAACGUUUAAAUCGCACUCUUUUGGACAAGACUAGGGCUAUGCUCGUUGAGUCUGGACUGCCUAAAUCAUUAUGGGCGGAGGCGUUAGCGACAGCCAACUAUCUUAGGAAUGUGUCGCCAACUGCUGGGUCAACCGUCACUCCGUACGAAGCUUUCUUUAACGUUCGUCCGAACGUCAGUCACCUGCGAGUCUUUGGAUGCGUUGCCUACGUCCACGUACCCGACGUCAAGCGUUACAAGUUCGACCCGGUGAGCAGGCGUGGAAUACUUGUCGGAUACGGGAACGGUGGACAAUAUCGUGUACUAUACGAGGACGGCAUUAUUGCCGUAGUUUCUAACGUUCGUUUCGAUGAAUCUAAUGUCGGCCGGCGGCGUAAUGCCGGGGACUCCGAUUAUGAGUCCGAUGCCGACGAGGAGGAGGAUUUUCGCACUAGUUUAUCUGGUGAGGGAUCGCUGCCUAGGGCUGGCGAAGGGACACCAGGUAGCACCGUCGGCGAGGGAUCGCCGCAUUUAGGUGGCGAGGGGGCGCCGGCUGGGGCUGGACCUUCCAGCAGUGCGAAUGGGCAAGGAAUCAAUCAGCCUGAUGUGGAAAUGGCGGGAACUAGGUACCCAGUUAGAGAGCGUAAACGCCCUGGCGAAUGGUGGCGAAAUGAACCUGGUCGCACUGUCACUGGUCGCGUUAACGCUGCUUUCUCUGCUGGUAUUCCUGAGCCUAAUUCGUUUGCGGAAGCCAUUGCAAGUCCACAUGCAGACGACUGGCGGCGUGCGAUGGACGAGGAGAUCGCCGCCCAGAUGGCUAAUAGUACUUGGGAGCUGAAGAAGCCACCUCCUGGCACUCGUUUGUUGCCGUGUCGUUGGGUAUAUAAGGUUAAGUACAGCGAUGACGGCAGCGUGGAGCGUUUUAAGGCGCGUUUAGUUGCCAAGGGUUUCGAGCAACGUGAGGGGAUUUAUUAUGGGGAGUUGUUUGCCCCUACCUCUCGUGGUUCGUCAUUACGUGCUUUAUUAGCAGUUGCCGCAGCGCGGGACAUGACGGUGCACCAGCUAGAUGUGUCUACUCGAUUCCUGGGGAGACCCCCGAAUUAGUCGGGAGCGCGAGAUUAUGGCUAGCUGCUGAGAUGUGGAGUUGAGGUCGCAGUUGAUGGACCAGAUUCGCACGCUAGAUUGGUGGCGAUUGCCGAACCCUCCGUCUCUUCGGUUGUUCGGGUGAAUGGAUGAGGAGGGGUCCUAGAUGGCUGGACCCGCCGCCUUGGACUUACAGUUCGUAUGGCGAAGUAUAGUGUGGUAGUGGUGGACGGUGCUAUAAGAUGACAAAUCGUAGAACUGACAAUGUGAUAAAGCGGCCCAGAAGCCUCCCACUCUGUAACAUUACAUUACAUUACAGAUGUGUCUACUGCGUUUCUGAAUGGUGAGCUAAAGGAGGAAUUGUGGAUGGAGCAACCGCCUGGAUAUGCAUCCAGUGACCGGUCGCUUGCGUGCAAGCUGCAGAAGUCUAUUUACGGUUUAAAGCAGGCACCCCGUUGCUGGUAUGAGAAACUAUCAGCAGAGUUCGCUAAGCUGGGUCUUUAUCCUUCGAAGUCUGAUCCGGCGAUGUUUGUUAAGACGGACGAGCGUGGGGUUGUUAUUGCUUUGGUGCACGUAGAUGACACUAUUGUUGCGUCGGAAGACCCGGAAAUGGUCCGGGCAAUUAAAGCUGCAAUUGCGAAGGUCUUCAAGGUGCGCGACCUUGGAGAAGCGAAGGUGUUUUUGGGCAUGGAAAUUAGGAGGGAGAAGUCGGGUGAGAUAGUGUUGUCGCAGCAUAGGUAUAUUGCGCAGCUGUUGGAGCGUCAUAGGAUGAUUGACGCCAAGCCGAGGUCUACCCCUUUGCCUCCGGGCUUUAGGUACACUCCUAAGGGGGACGGAGAGGAGCUGCUGGGCAAUCCCACAGAGUAUAGGGCUUUGGUGGGAGAAUUGAACUAUCUGGCGACGAACACGCGGCCUGACAUUUCUUAUGCAUUGAGUGUUUUGUCCCGGCAUAUGGCCACACCUACGAAGACUGCCAUGAACUUGGCCACUGGCGUUCUGCGUUACCUGGCAGGUACUCGCGAACUAGGAUUGCGUUUUGGGGGUGUUGGCGACGUUGCUAUGUCCGGGUACAGUGAUUCGGACUGGGCAGGAGACCCAGUUACGCGGCGUUCUACGUCCGGUUACGUAUUCACUCUUAAUGGGGCUGCGAUUAGCUGGAGCAGCCAACUUCAACGUACUGUGGCGGCUUCGUCGGUGGAGGCUGAGUACCAAGCUACAGCGGCGGCUGUUCGUGAGGCUUUGUGGCUUCGCAAGCUGAUGGUUGAUUUGGGCUUGCCUGAGAGCGCGGUGAAAAUCCAGAUAGACUCCCAGGGGGCGCUUAGCUUGGGAAACAACCCGAUUACGUCUGCUCGGUCGAAGCACAUCGACGUGCAGCAUCACAUAGUGCGUGAGAGGGUGAAUAGCGGUGAGGUGCAGUUGGAAUACUGCCCUACGGAGUGGAUGGUUGCGGAUGUAUUAACGAAGGCUCUGGGCGAGGUGAAGUUCAAACGUUGCCGAGAUGCUAUGGGCCUUGUGUGAAGUGUGCAGAUGAACUUGGUACUCGUUGGGAUACGGCCCGAGGGGGCGUGUUGAGGAAACGGUCCUCUCCCAACUCGUAUGGUUGUCGACCAGGGGAUUUGACCCCGGGUCUGCGCCUGACUAAUGGGGAAGACUUACCCCAGAACCUUAUGGGGCUACCGAUGCAUAUCCGGUAGCUAAGUGAUAGACAUUAGGGCACCGUCUGGACGGCGCAGUGAGAUCGCGGAAUGUACGUGCAGUUAGAUCGCGGAAUGUACGAGUUUUCCGCUAGCGCCGGUAUUUAGGGCGGUGACUGCGCCUAUUUGUUUAUCUCACAACGAUCGGUAUUCCUACCAGGAAUCUCCUCAAGUCCUGCCGAACGCUAACAAUACUCUUUACAUUACUUGUAACAGUUUAUCGUGCUAAAUAUCUUCGCCACCGGCAAUCCUUCCGGAAUAACAAUCAGCGUUAGCCGUCACCGUCGCCAAUUCUUAAAUAAAUCCUAGUUCGCGAGUCCCCGCCAGGUAACGUAGAACGCCAGUUGCUAAGUUCAUGGCAGUCUUCGUGGGUGCGGCCAUAUGCCGGGACAAAACGCUCAAUGCAUAAGAAAUGUCAGGCCGCGUGUUCGUCGCCAGAUAGUUCAAUUCUCCCACCAAAGCCCUAUACUCUGUGGGAAUUCCCAGCAGCUCCUCUCCGUCCCCCUUAGGAGUGUACCUAAAUCCCGGAGGCAAAGGGGUAGACCUCGGCUUGGCGUCAAUCAUCCUAUGACGCUCCAACAGCUGCGCAAUAUACCUAUGCUGCGACAACACUAUCUCACCCGACUUCUCCCUCCUAAUUUCCAUGCCCAAAAACACCUUCGCUUCUCCAACCUUCGCACCUUGAAGACCUUCGCAAUUGCGGCUUUAAUUGCCCGGACCAUUUCGGGGUCUUCCGACGCAACAAUUGUAUCAUCUACGUGUACCAAAGCAAUAACAACCCCACGCUCGUCAGUCUUAACGAACAUCGCCGGAUCAGACUUCGAAGGAUAAAGACCCAACUUGGCGAACUCUGCUGAUAGUUUUUCAUACCAGCAACGGGGUGCCUGCUUUAAACCGUAAAUAGACUUCUGCAGCUUGCACGCAAGCGACCGGUCACUGGAUGCAUACCCAGGCGGUUGCUCCAUCCACAACUCCUCCUUCAGCUCACCAUUCAGAAACGCAGUAGACACAUCUAGCUGAUGCACCGUCAUGUCCCGCGCUGCGGCAACUGCUAAUAAAGCUCGUAAUGACGAACCACGAGAGGUAGGGGCAAACAACUCCCCAUAAUCAAUCCCCUCGCGUUGCUCGAAACCCUUGGCAACUAAACGCGCCUUAAAACGCUCCACGCUGCCGUCAUCGCUGUACUUAACCUUAUAUACCCAACGACACGGCAACAAACGAGUACCAGGAGGUGGCUUCUUCAGCUCCCAAGUACUAUUAGCCAUCUGGGCGGCGAUCUCCUCGUCAAUCGCACGCCGCCAGUCGUCUGCAUGUGGACUUGCAAUUGCUUCCUCAAACGAAUUAGGCUCAGGAAUACCAGCAGAGAAAGCAGCGUUAACGCGACCAGAGACAGUGCGACCAGGUUCGUUUCGCCACCAUUCGCCAGGGCGUUUACGCUCUCUAACUGGGUACCUAGUUCCCGCCAUUUCCACAUCAGGCUGAUUGAUUCCUUGCCCGUUCGCACUGCUGGAAGGUCCAGCCCCAGCCGGCGCCCCCUCGCCACCCAAAUGCGGCGAUCCCUCGCCGACGGUGCUACCUGGUGUCCCUUCGCCAGCCCUAGGCAGCGAUCCCUCACCAGAUAAACUAGUGCGAAACUCCUCCUCCUCGUCGGCAUCGGACUCAUAAUCGGAGUCCCCGGCAUUACGCCGCCGGCCGACAUUAGACUCGUCAAAACGAACGUUAGAAACUACGGCAAUAAUGCCGUCCUCGUAUAAUACACGAUACUGUCCACCGUUCCCGUAUCCAACAAGUAUUCCACGCCUGCUCACCGGGUCGAACUUGUCGCGCUUGACGUCGGGUACGUGGACGUAGGCAACGCAUCCAAAGACUCGCAGGUGACUGACGUUCGGACGAACAUUAAAGAAAGCUUCGUACGGAGUGACGGUUGACCCAGCAGUUGGCGACACAUUCCUAAGAUAGUUGGCUGUCGCUAACGCCUCCGCCCAUAAUGAUUUAGGCAGUCCAGACUCAAGUAGCAUAGCCCUAGUCUUGUCCAAACGAGUGCGAUUUAAACGUUCUGCAGCUCCGUUCUGCUCAGGGGUGUAGCCUACCGUAGUUCCGUGUACAAUUCCCUGAAAGCGAAAUAGGCCUUCGUGCGAGUAUUAACAAACUCCCCGCCACGAUCUGUACGCACCUCCUUAACCUGCCUGCCAGUAGCGCGCUCCAGUUCCGCUAUCAUUACCACCAUCUUCUGGUAGACCUCCUCCUUGGUCGCUGUAAACGCAACAGUUGAAAGACCAGUAUGGUCGUCAAGCAGGGUUGUCACGUAACGCGAACCACUAGGCGAAGGUUCAGGCAUAGGCCCACACACAUCCAUGUGAAUGAGCGCGAGAGGCUGCGCUGCCUUAUGCCCAGAUAACGGAAAAGGACCACGUGUAUGUUUAGCAAGGACGCAAGUCUCACACACACACGUGCUGGCUGAUUGUAUGCUGUGUCGGUCAACAUCAAAUCCAGCUACCAUAUUAUGACGCAGCAACGUCUCAAGGUUGCUGUAUCCCAAGUGGCCAUACCUUCGGUGCCAAAGUGCUGCACGUUCAGCUCCGAUACCCACGGCAGCACACACUGCAUCACCACCAGAAGGUAUCCUGUUGUCUUCACGCUGCGUCCUCUUCAGAGCUCCCGUACCUCCACUGCUGUAGCAGACGGGAUACAAGUCCCCAUCCCGCUUUCCAGUCAGCACCAACUGGUUCUGUACGUAUACUUUCGCCUGUCCGCCGCCGAAGACCACACUGCCUCCACGAUCAUCAAUGAUGUGUACCGAUAUGAUUUUGGCGGUGGCUUCCUCGUCGACGUAGACCUUCUUGAAAGUGAUGGCCUGUUUAUCGUUGACGUUAGACCGAAUCGUAAGCGUGCCAACUUCAGUCGGUCGAAGAGAUUGUCCCUUGAUGCCCAUGAUGUUGAAGCGCUCCCACGGUUCCAACAACCNNNNNNNNNNNNNNNNNNNNNNNNNNNNNNNNNNNNNNNNNNNNNNNNNNNNNNNNNNNNNNNNNNNNNNNNNNNNNNNNNNNNNNNNNNNNNNNNNNNNNNNNNNNNNNNNNNNNNNNNAGUCCAGACUCAACUAGCAUAGCCCUAGUCUUGUCCAAAAGAGUGCGAUUUAAACGUUCUGCAGCUCCGUUCUGCUCAGGGGUGUAGCCUACCGUAGUUCCGUGUAGAAUACCCCUGGAAGCGAAAUAGGCCUUCGUGCGAGUAUUAACAAACUCCCCGCCACGAUCUGUACGCACCUCCUUAACCUGCCUGCCAGUAGCGCGCUCCAGUUCCGCUAUCAUUACCACCAUCUUCUGGUAGACCUCCUCCUUGGUCGCUGUAAACGCAACAGCUGAAAGACCAGUAUGGUCGUCAAGCAGGGUUGUCACGUAACGCGAACCACUAGGCGAAGGUUCAGGCAUAGGCCCACACACAUCCAUGUGAAUGAGCGCGAGAGGCUGCGCUGCCUUAUGCCCAGAUAACGGAAAAGGACCACGUGUAUGUUUAGCAAGGACGCAAGUCUCACACACACACGUGCUGGCUGAUUGUAUGCUGUGUCGGUCAACAUCAAAUCCAGCUACCAUAUUAUGACGCAGCAACGUCUCAAGGUUGCUGUAUCCCAAGUGGCCAUACCUUCGGUGCCAAAGUGCUGCACGUUCAGCUCCGAUACCCACGGCAGCACACACUGCAUCACCACCAGAAGGUAUCCUGUUGUCUUCACGCUGCGUCCUCUUCAGAGCUCCCGUACCUCCACUGCUGUAGCAGACGGGAUACAAGUCCCCAUCCCGCUUUCCAGUCAACACCAACUGGUUCUGUACGUAUACUUUCGCCUGUCCGCCUGCGUACCGAUAUGAUUUUGGCGGUGGCUUCCUCGUCGACGUAGACCUUCUUGGCCUGUUUAUCGUUGACGUUAGACCGAAUCGUAAGCGUGCCAACUUCAGUCGGUCGAAGAGAUUGUCCCUUGAUGCCCAUGAUGUUGAAGCGCUCCCACGGCUCCAACAACCGCACGUUGAAAAGUUCUGAGCGGUCAUACGUUAUGUGGUGAGUGGCGGCUGAGUCCAGAAACCAUUCCGUCGGACGAUUGCUGUUGUAUGCCACGAAUGCUACCUGCCGCGGAACUCCUGGCCCCCUAGCUGAUCCCCUUGCUGCCGCUAGCUCCGCUGCCACUACCUCCGUUACCACUGUUGCUGUAGCCACCCUUGUAGCCAGAAUUUGACGACUGCUUCAGCGCCUUAAGCUGCCUGCAGUCCUUAACCACGUGCCCAGGUUUAUUACAGUAGUAGCAGAUGACUUGCUUCCGACUAUGUCCCGAGCUGUUGUUAGCCGGCCCCCGGCUACCAUAACCAGAAGUAGAAGCGCCGAACGUCGAACCGCCGACAGACGUGAAGGCUGCCGACUAGGUAGGCUUGCCCGACCCACCGUUAGCCGUCUCGAUAGAGAGAAGCUUUGCUGUGACGCUCGCCAUGUCCAAAUCGCCGUCGCGCAUAAGUAAUGUAGUCGUCACCACGCUGUACCGACUGGGUAGACCAACUAGCACGGUGUACGCCAGCUCGGAGUCGUUAACUACGUGGCCGACUCCCAAUAAAUCUGUUUGCAGCUGCCUUGCACGCGCAAAGUACAUCGGAAGAGGUUCGCCGUCGACCAUUUUAAAACGGCUGAAUUCUUGACGUAGAGACACCUUGCGGGCGUUGUUGUUGGCAGCAAACAUAGAUCCCAAGGCGUCCCAGGCCUUCUUCGCGUUGGCAGCACCGGUAACCAUCGGCAAAUGAUGAUCCUUGACGUUCUUGAUGAGCAGAUUGAUGACCUUCCGUGACUGUCGAAUUUGCUCCUCGUUGCACGGCUCGGCGAGCAGGGAUUGCUCAAGCCCAAGCUCCAUGCACAUCGCGCUAAACCGAAUUUGCCAGGUAGAGUAGUUGUUGAGGUCCAGCGACUCAUCAAGCUUGUCCUUAACCAUUGUCGAUGAGGGAUAGAAAUAACAAUUUUGGGCGAUAGCUGUCUGCGCUAAGCGGGGCUCAUAACCUAUUGAAGAAUUGGCGACGGUGACGGCUAACGCUGAUUGUUAUUCCGGAAGGAUUGCCGGUGGCGAAGAUAUUUAGCACGAUAAACUGUUACAAGUAAUGUAAAGAGUAUUGUUAGCGUUCGGCAGGACUUGAGGAGAUUCCUGGUAGGAAUACCGAUCGUUGUGAGAUAAACUAAUAGGCGCUGUCACCGCCCUAAAUACCGGCGCUAGCGGAAAACUCGUACAUUCCGCGAUCUCACUGCGCCGUCCAGACGGUGCCCUAAUGUCUAUCACUUAGCUACCGGAUAUGCAUCGGUAGCCCUAUAAGGUUCUGGGGUAAGUCUUCCCCAUUAGUCAGGCGCAGACCCGGGGUCAAAUCCCCUGGUCGACAACCACACGAGUUGGGAGAGGACCGUUUCCUCAACAGUUUCAACAGGUACAACCACCGGUACAUUAGCACAUCAAGAGGCUGUGCACACAGCUCACAAGUGCCGUUAGCUGCCAAUGCAGCAAUCUCCUCGACCAUCACUCUGCGCCACUNNNNNNNNNNNNNNNNNNNNNNNNNNNNNNNNNNNNNNNNNNNNNNNNNNGACUGCUUUCAGCGCCUUAAGCUGCCUGCAGUCCUUAACCACGUGCCCAGGUUUAUUACAGUAGUAGCAGAUGACUUGCUUCCGACUAUGUCCCGAGCUGUUGUUAGCCGGCCCCCGGCUACCAUAACCAGAAGUAGAAGCGCCGAACGUCGAACCGCCGACAGACGUGAAGGCUGCCGACUAGGUAGGCUUGCCCGACCCACCGUUAGCCGUCUCGAUAGAGAGAAGCUUUGCUGUGACGCUCGCCAUGUCCAAAUCGCCGUCGCGCAUAAGUAAUGUAGUCGUCACCACGCUGUACCGACUGGGUAGACCAACUAGCACGGUGUACGCCAGCUCGGAGUCGUUAACUACGUGGCCGACUCCCAAUAAAUCUGUUUGCAGCUGCCUUGCACGCGCAAAGUACAUCGGAAGAGGUUCGCCGUCGACCAUUUUAAAACGGCUGAAUUCUUGACGUAGAGACACCUUGCGGGCGUUGUUGUUGGCAGCAAACAUAGAUCCCAAGGCGUCCCAGGCCUUCUUCGCGUUGGCAGCACCGGUAACCAUCGGCAAAUGAUGAUCCUUGACGUUCUUGAUGAGCAGAUUGAUGACCUUCCGUGACUGUCGAAUUUGCUCCUCGUUGCACGGCUCGGCGAGCAGGGAUUGCUCAAGCCCAAGCUCCAUGCACAUCGCGCUAAACCGAAUUUGCCAGGUAGAGUAGUUGUUGAGGUCCAGCGACUCAUCAAGCUUGUCCUUAACCAUUGUCGAUGAGGGAUAGAAAUAACAAUUUUGGGCGAUAGCUGUCUGCGCUAAGCGGGGCUCAUAACCUAUUGAAGAAUUGGCGACGGUGACGGCUAACGCUAAUUGUUAUUCCGGAAGGAUUGCCGGUGGCGAAGAUAUUUAGCACGAUAAACUUGUUACAAGUAAUGUAAAGAGUAUUGUUAGCGUUCGGCAGGACUUGAGGAGAUUCCUGGUAGGAAUACCGAUCGUUGUGAGAUAAACUAAUAGGCGCAGUCACCGCCCUAAAUACCGGCGCUAGCAGAAAACUCGUACAUUCCGCGAUCUAACUGCACGUACAUUCCGCGAUCUCACUGCGCCGUCCAGACGGUGCCCUAAUGUCUAUCACUUAGCUACCGGAUAUGCAUCGGUAGCCCCAUAAAGUUCUGGGGUAAGUCUUCCCCAUUAGUCAGGCGCAGACCCGGGGUCAAAUCCCCUGGUCGACAACCACACGAGUUGGGAGAGGACCGUUUCCUCAACAGCUAAGCGCCCCCUGGGAAUCUAUUUGGAUUCCGAUUGCGCUCUCAGNNNNNNNNNNNNNNNNNNNNNNNNNNNNNNNNNNNNNNNNNNNNNNNNNNGCGAGAUAUGGCUAGCUGCUGAGAUGUGGAGUUGAGGUCACAGUUGAUGGACCAGAUUCGCACGCUGGAUUGGUGGCGAUUGCCGAACCCUCCGUCUCUUCGGGUGUUCGGGUGAAUGGAUGAGGUGGGGUCCCUGAAGGCUGGAUCCGCCGCCUUGGACUUACAGUUCGUAUGGCGAAGUACAGUGUGGUAGUGGUGUGGUAGUGGUGGAUGGUGCUAUAAGGUGAUAAAUGAUCUAGAACUGACAAUGUGAUAAAGUGGCCCAGAAGCCUCCCACUCUGUAACAUUAAAAAAAAAAAAAAAAAAAGUAAUGUAAAGAGUAUUGUUAGCGUUCGGCAGGACUUGAGGAGAUUCCUGGUAGGAAUACCGAUCGUUGUGAGAUAAACUAAUAGGCGCUGUCACCGCCCUAAAUACCGGCGCUAGCGGAAAACUCGUACAUUCCGCGAUCUAACUGCACGUACAUUCCGCGAUCUCACUGCGCCGUCCAGACGGUGCCCUAAUGUCUAUCACUUAGCUACCGGAUAUGCAUCGGUAGCCCUAUAAGGUUCUGGGGUAAGUCUUCCCCAUUAGUCAGGCGCAGACCCGGGGUCAAAUCCCCUGGUCGACAACCACACGAGUUGGGAGAGGACCGUUUCCUCAACAGUUUCAACAGGUACAACCACCGGUACAUUAGCACAUCAAGAGGCUGUGCACACAGCUCACAAGUGCCGUUAGCUGCCAAUGCAGCAAUCUCCUCGACCAUCACUCUGCGCCACUCAUUUGCAUUUGCACCUGAAAUGGCUUCAGUGAAAGUAUUACUCAGCAAAAGUUCAACAGGGUACGGAUAAGUGACAGCCACGUUAAUGCGACCUACUAUCCUCCUUCCUGCAACACCAUGCCACCACUCCGAUGGCUUUAAUAUCUCCUCAUAUUCCCUGCCCUCUUCUUCUGUACUCCUGCGCUGGCGUGCACCAGUGGAUGUUCCGGCUUCAUCCGGCAUUCCUUCACCAUCCACAGGUGACAGUGGGCCUAGCCGACUGUNNNNNNNNNNNNNNNNNNNNNNNNNNNNNNNNNNNNNNNNNNNNNNNNNNACUGAUACCGAGCCCCCAGCAUUUCCACACCAGGGUGUGUAUUUCCUUGCGGUCUCACACUUCUGGGAGGUCCAGCCCCAGCCGGCGCCCCCUCGCCACACAAAGGCGGCGGUCCCUCGCUGACGGUAUUGCCUGAUGUCCAUUCGCCAGCCCUAGGCAGCUACCCCUCACCAGGCAACCUAGUGUGCAACCCUCGUCGGCAUCGGACCCAUCAUCAGAAUCCCUGGCAUUGUGCCGCUGGCCGACAUUAAACUCAUCAAGGCGGACAUUGGGGACGUACACAACACGAUACUGUCCUCCAUUCCCAUAUUCGGCCAGGAUCCCUCAGACGCUUAAUGUUAUACCCUACAAACGCAACCUGCCUCGGGCAAACUGAUCCCUUGCUAGACCCACCGGGCCCAGGCUUGCUGCAAUAGAAGCCAAUCACCUUAUUGUGAGAAACGCCAGAACUGCUGCUGGCCGUGCCCCGAUUCCCAAGACCAGAACCAGAGGCGCCAAACGAAAAACUGCCGACAGAAGCAAAAGCUGCCGACUCGGUAGGCUUACCAGAGCCACCGCUUGCCAUCUCGAUAGUCAAGAACUUCGAGGUGACGAUAGCCAUGUCCGAAUCGCCGUCACGCACCAGUAGGGAUGUCGUUACCAUGCUGAAGCCGCUGGGCAAACCAACAAGCCAAGUGUGUGCCCGCUCAGAAUCGCUGAUAACGUGUCCUACUCCCAAACAAGUCCGACUGUAAUUGCUUGCAGGCGUCCUAUGCCUUCUUCGUGCUAGCUUUGUAAGCAACUAGCGUUAACCGGGGCUCAUAACCUGUUAAGAAUAUGAAGGCAAGGAGACUGGUCGCAAUAUAAGGGUUACAGCCUGUGGGUUAGUGGUGAACGGCAAGAAGACUUUAGGAGAUUCCUAUGAAGGAAUACCGAUCCAUCCGAAGAUGAGAUAGAAAGACAUUAUUGGAGAAUUGACGACGGUGACAGCUAACGCUAAUUGUUAUUCCGGAAGGAUUGCCGGUGGCGAAGAUAUUUAGCACGAUAAACUGUUACAAGUAAUGUAAAGAGUAUUGUUAGCGUUCGGCAGGACUUGAGGAGAUUCCUGGUAGGAAUACCGAUCGUUGUGAGAUAAACUAAUAGGCGCUGUCACCGCCCUAAAUACCGGCGCUAGCGGAAAACUCGUACAUUCCGCGAUCUCACUGCGCCGUCCAGACGNNNNNNNNNNNNNNNNNNNNNNNNNNNNNNNNNNNNNNNNNNNNNNNNNNNNNNNNNNNNNNNNNNNNNNNNNNNNNNNNNNNNNNNNNNNNNNNNNNNNNNNNNNNNNNNNNNNNNNNNNNNNNNNNNNNNNNNNNNNNNNNNNNNNNNNNNNNNNNNNNNNNNNNNNNNNNNNNNNNNNNNNNNNNNNNNNNNNNNNNNNNNNNNNNNNNNNNNNNNNNNNNNNNNNNNNNNNNNNNNNNNNNNNNNNNNNNNNNNNNNNNNNNNNNNNNNNNNNNNNNNNNNNNNNNNNNNNNNNNNNNNNNNNNNNNNNNNNNNNNNNNNNNNNNNNNNNNNNNNNNNNNNNNNNNNNNNNNNNNNNNNNNNNNNNNNNNNNNNNNNNNNNNNNNNNNNNNNNNNNNNNNNNNNNNNNNNNNNNNNNNNNNNNNNNNNNNNNNNNNNNNNNNNNNNNNNNNNNNNNNNNNNNNNNNNNNNNNNNNNNNNNNNNNNNNNNNNNNNNNNNNNNNNNNNNNNNNNNNNNNNNNNNNNNNNNNNNNNNNNNNNNNNNNNNNNNNNNNNNNNNNNNNNNNNNNNNNNNNNNNNNNNNNNNNNNNNNNNNNNNNNNNNNNNNNNNNNNNNNNNNNNNNNNNNNNNNNNNNNNNNNNNNNNNNNNNNNNNNNNNNNNNNNNNNNNNNNNNNNNNNNNNNNNNNNNNNNNNNNNNNNNAGAAUAUGAAGGCAAGGAGACUGGUCGCAAUAUAAGGGUUACAGCCUGUGGGUUAGUGGUGAACGGCAAGAAGACUUUAGGAGAUUCCUAUGAAGGAAUACCGAUCCAUCCGAAGAUGAGAUAGAAAGACAUUAUUGGAGAAUUGACGACGGUGACAGCUAACGCUAAUUGUUAUUCCGGAAGGAUUGCCGGUGGCGAAGAUAUUUAGCACGAUAAACUGUUACAAGUAAUGUAAAGAGUAUUGUUAGCGUUCGGCAGGACUUGAGGAGAUUCCUGGUAGGAAUACCGAUCGUUGUGAGAUAAACUAAUAGGCGCUGUCACCGCCCUAAAUACCGGCGCUAGCGGAAAACUCGUACAUUCCGCGAUCUCACUGCGCCGUCCAGACGGUGCCCUAAUGUCUAUCACUUAGCUACCGGAUAUGCAUCGGUAGCCCUAUAAGGUUCUGGGGUAAGUCUUCCCCAUUAGUCAGGCGCAGACCCGGGGUCAAAUCCCCUGGUCGACAACCACACGAGUUGGGAGAGGACCGUUUCCUCAACAGUUUCAACAGGUACAACCACCGGUACAUUAGCACAUCAAGAGGCUGUGCACACAGCUCACAAGUGCCGUUAGCUGCCAAUGCAGCAAUCUCCUCGACCAUCACUCUGCGCCACUCAUUUGCAUUUGCACCUGAAAUGGCUUCAGUGAAAGUAUUACUCAGCAAUAGUUCAACAGGGUACGGAUAAGUGACAGCCACGUUAAUGCGACCUACUAUCCUCCUUCCUGCAACACCAUGCCACCACUCCGAUGGCUUUAAUAUCUCCUCAUAUUCCCUGCCCUCCUCUUCUGUACUCCUGCGCUGGCGUGCACCAGUGGAUGUUCCGGCUUCAUCCGGCAUUCCUUCACCAUCCACAGGUGACAGUGGUGCCUAGCCGACUGUGUUUCCUAAGUCUAAUGGAGCUUGGCAGAGGCCCUGACUCAGGUACACCAAUACUAGCCGCUUCGGAGUCAGACAAUUCCCCUUAAGAUAGUUGCUCUUUUCGUGCAGCAAAGAAUACACGGCAUCACUGUGCUGCCGCCACCGCCUGUCUGUUGAGGCCUGCUACCCCACCUGCCACGUGUGGUCGCCAAGACCACCUCCACUUCUUCCCUGCACGUUAGGCUGCAGCUCUCUCUGCAACUCCGAGCUAUACGGCCCGUCUGUUUGUAGUUGCAGCAAAUGAUCGCCUGUUGCAAUCCACGCUAUCCAGCGGGGUCAACCGGAUACAGAAUUUUCGCGGCACUCACGGCCGCCAAUCGUCUGCAUGUGGGCCUGAGAUGGCUUCGGCAUAAAAUGUUAGGCUCUGAAUCCCAGCAGAUACUGCAGCAAUGACUCGGCCUGUAGCACUACGACCAGGUACACUCCCUCACCACUCGCCAGGACGUUUGCAUUCCCUAACUGAAUACCGAGCCCCCAGCAUUUCCACACCAGGGUGUGUAUUUCCUUGCACACUCACACUUCUGGGAGGUCCAGCCCCAGCCGGCGCCCCCUCGCCACACAAAGGCGGCGGUCCCUCGCUGACGGUAUUGCCUGAUGUCNNNNNNNNNNNNNNNNNNNNNNNNNNNNNNNNNNNNNNNNNNNNNNNNNNNNNNNNNNNNNNNNNNNNNNNNNNNNNNNNNNNNNNNNNNNNNNNNNNNNNNNNNNNNNNNNNNNNNNNNNNNNNNNNNNNNNNNNNNNNNNNNNNNNNNNNNNNNNNNNNNNNNNNNNNNNNNNNNNNNNNNNNNNNNNNNNNNNNNNNNNNNNNNNNNNNNNNNNNNNNNNNNNNNNNNNNNNNNNNNNNNNNNNNNNNNNNNNNNNNNNNNNNNNNNNNNNNNNNNNNNNNNNNNNNNNNNNNNNNNNNNNNNNNNNNNNNNNNNNNNNNNNNNNNNNNNNNNNNNNNNNNNNNNNNNNNNNNNNNNNNNNNNNNNNNNNNNNNNNNNNNNNNNNNNNNNNNNNNNNNNNNNNNNNNNNNNNNNNNNNNNNNNNNNNNNNNNNNNNNNCUGCCGACAGAAGCAAAAGCUGCCGACUCGGUAGGCUUACCAGAGCCACCGCUUGCCAUCUCGAUAGUCAAGAACUUCGAGGUGACGAUAGCCAUGUCCGAAUCGCCGUCACGCACCAGUAGGGAUGUCGUUACCAUGCUGAAGCCGCUGGGCAAACCAACAAGCCAAGUGUGUGCCCGCUCAGAAUCGCUGAUAACGUGUCCUACUCCCAAACAAGUCCGACUGUAAUUGCUUGCAGGCGUCCUAUGCCUUCUUCGUGCUAGCUUUGUAAGCAACUAGCGUUAACCGGGGCUCAUAACCUGUUAAGAAUAUGAAGGCAAGGAGACUGGUCGCAAUAUAAGGGUUACAGCCUGUGGGUUAGUGGUGAACGGCAAGAAGACUUUAGGAGAUUCCUAUGAAGGAAUACCGAUCCAUCCGAAGAUGAGAUAGAAAGACAUUAUUGGAGAAUUGACGACGGUGACAGCUAACGCUAAUUGUUGAUGUUGUUACAGGGUGGUUAAGCUUCACCAGUGGCCUCCUUCCCGAGGCAGUUCCCUGCUCUCCCCUGCUAGAGGGGCACCCUAAGCCAUUCACCCCAUCCGACUUCAGAGUGUACUCUUUGAGUUUGGCAGCUCACCACCAGCAUCCAACCAAAUCUAGCGGAUCAACGGCGCGUCAACUUAGUUCCUGGUCAGCUCGCGAGUUGAUUUUAUCACGUCCUACACCGUCCACAAGAUGGGGGGCCACCUCCCAUUUCAUCACCUCUCAAACACCCCGAGAGGUCGGCAGGCGGAUUUGAACCUGGACGCGCUGGGACGCGACGGGAGCAGAAGCCAGGCCUUAACCUCUGCCAGCCGCCUGCCUUUGUUAUUCCGGAAGGAUUGCCGGUGGCGAAGAUAUUUAGCACGAUAAACUGUUACAAGUAAUGUAAAGAGUAUUGUUAGCGUUCGGCAGGACUUGAGGAGAUUCCUGGUAGGAAUACCGAUCGUUGUGAGAUAAACUAAUAGGCGCUGUCACCGCCCUAAAUACCGGCGCUAGCGGAAAACUCGUACAUUCCGCGAUCUAACUGCACGUACAUUCCGCGAUCUCACUGCGCCGUCCAGACGGUGCCCUAAUGUCUAUCACUUAGCUACCGGAUAUGCAUCGGUAGCCCUAUAAGGUUCUGGGGUAAGUCUUCCCCAUUAGUCAGGCGCAGACCCGGGGUCAAAUCCCCUGGUCGACAACCACACGAGUUGGGAGAGGACCGUUUCCUCAACACGCCCCCUCGGGCCGUAUCCCAACGAGUACCAAGUUCAUCUGCACACUUCACACAAGGCCCAUAGCAUCUCGGCAACGUUUGAACUUCACCUCGCCCAGAGCCUUCGUUAGCACAUCCGCUACCAUCCACUCCGUAGGGCAGUAUUCCAACUGCACCUCACCGCUAUUCACCCUCUCACGCACUAUGUGAUGCUGCACGUCGAUGUGCUUCGACCGAGCAGACGUAAUCGGGUUGUUUCCCAAGCUAAGCGCCCCCUGGGAGUCUAUCUGGAUUUUCACCGCGCUCUCAGGNNNNNNNNNNNNNNNNNNNNNNNNNNNNNNNNNNNNNNNNNNNNNNNNNNCUCAGGCAAGCUCAAAUCAACCAUCAGCUUGCGAAGCCACAAAGCCUCACGAACAGCCGCCGCUGUAGCUUGGUACUCAGCCUCCACCGACGAAGCCGCCACAGUACGUUGAAGUUGGCUGCUCCAGCUAAUCGCAGCCCCAUUAAGAGUGAAUACGUAACCGGACGUAGAACGCCGCGUAACUGGGUCUCCUGCCCAGUCCGAAUCACUGUACCCGGACAUAGCAACGUCGCCAACACGCCCAAAACGCAAUCCUAGUUCGCGAGUCCCCGCCAGGUAACGUAGAACGCCAGUUGCUAAGUUCAUGGCAGUCUUCGUGGGUGCGGCCAUAUGCCGGGACAAAACGCUCAAUGCAUAAGAAAUGUCAGGCCGCGUGUUCGUCGCCAGAUAGUUCAAUUCUCCCACCAAAGCCCUAUACUCCGUGGGAUUGCCCAGCAGCUCCUCCCCGUCCCCCUUAGGAGUGUACCUAAAGCCCGGAGGCAAAGGGGUAGACCUCGGCUUGGCGUCAAUCAUCCUAUGACGCUCCAACAGCUGCGCAAUAUACCUAUGCUGCGACAACACUAUCUCACCCGACUUCUCCCUCCUAAUUUCCAUGCCCAAAAACACCUUCGCUUCUCCAAGGUCGCGCACCUUGAAGACCUUCGCAAUUGCGGCUUUAAUUGCCCGGACCAUUUCGGGGUCUUCCGACGCAACAAUUGUAUCAUCUACGUGUACCAAAGCAAUAACAACCCCACGCUCGUCAGUCUUAACGAACAUCGCCGGAUCAGACUUCGAAGGAUAAAGACCCAACUUGGCGAACUCUGCUGAUAGUUUUUCAUACCAGCAACGGGGUGCCUGCUUUAAACCGUAAAUAGACUUCUGCAGCUUGCACGCAAGCGACCGGUCACUGGAUGCAUACCCAGGCGGUUGCUCCAUCCACAACUCCUCCUUCAGCUCACCAUUCAGAAACGCAGUAGACACAUCUAGCUGAUGCACCGUCAUGUCCCGCGCUGCGGCAACUGCUAAUAAAGCUCGUAAUGACGAACCACGAGAGGUAGGGACAAACAACACCCCAUAAUCAAUCCCCUCGCGUUGCUCGAAACCCUUGGCAACUAAACGCGCCUUAAAACGCUCCACGCUGCCGUCAUCGCUGUACUUAACCUUAUAUACCCAACGACACGGCAACAAACGAGUACCAGGAGGUGGCGUCUUCAGCUCCCAAGUACUAUUAGCCAUCUGGGCGGCGAUCUCCUCGUCCAUCGCACGCCGCCAGUCGUCUGCAUGUGGACUUGCAAUUGCUUCCUCAAACGAAUUAGGCUCAGGAAUACCAGCAGAGAAAGCAGCGUUAACGCGACCAGAGACAGUGCGACCAGGUUCGUUUCGCCACCAUUCGCCAGGGCGUUUACGCUCUCUAACUGGGUACCUAGUUCCCGCCAUUUCCACAUCAGGCUGAUUGAUUCCUUGCCCGUUCGCACUGCUGGAAGGUCCAGCCCCAGCCGGCGCCCCCUCGCCACCCAAAUGCGGCGAUCCCUCGCCGACGGUGCUACCUGGUGUCCCUUCGCCAGCCCUAGGCAGCGAUCCCUCACCAGAUAAACUAGUGCGAAACUCCUCCUCCUCGUCGGCAUCGGACUCAUAAUCGGAGUCCCCGGCAUUACGCCGCCGGCCGACAUUAGACUCGUCAAAACGAACGUUAGAAACUACGGCAAUAAUGCCGUCCUCGUAUAAUACACGAUACUGUCCACCGUUCCCGUAUCCAACAAGUAUUCCACGCCUGCUCACCGGGUCGAACUUGUCGCGCUUGACGUCGGGUACGUGGACGUAGGCAACGCAUCCAAAGACUCGGGGGAUCCUCAGAGUCGACCGNNNNNNNNNNNNNNNNNNNNNNNNNNNNNNNNNNNNNNNNNNNNNNNNNNAUUUAGGCAGUCCAGACUCAACUAGCAUAGCCCUAGUCUUGUCCAAAAGAGUGCGAUUUAAACGUUCUGCAGCUCCGUUCUGCUCAGGGGUGUAGCCUACCGUAGUUCCGUGUAGAAUACCCCUGGAAGCGAAAUAGGCCUUCGUGCGAGUAUUAACAAACUCCCCGCCACGAUCUGUACGCACCUCCUUAACCUGCCUGCCAGUAGCGCGCUCCAGUUCCGCUAUCAUUACCACCAUCUUCUGGUAGACCUCCUCCUUGGUCGCUGUAAACGCAACAGCUGAAAGACCAGUAUGGUCGUCAAGCAGGGUUGUCACGUAACGCGAACCACUAGGCGAAGGUUCAGGCAUAGGCCCACACACAUCCAUGUGAAUGAGCGCGAGAGGCUGCGCUGCCUUAUGCCCAGAUAACGGAAAAGGACCACGUGUAUGUUUAGCAAGGACGCAAGUCUCACACACACACGUGCUGGCUGAUUGUAUGCUGUGUCGGUCAACAUCAAAUCCAGCUACCAUAUUAUGACGCAGCAACGUCUCAAGGUUGCUGUAUCCCAAGUGGCCAUACCUUCGGUGCCAAAGUGCUGCAAGUUCAGCUCCGAUACCCACGGCAGCACACACUGCAUCACCACCAGAAGGUAUCCUGUUGUCUUCACGCUGCGUCCUCUUCAGAGCUCCCGUACCUCCACUGCUGUAGCAGACGGGAUACAAGUCCCCAUCCCGCUUUCCAGUCAACACCAACUGGUUCUGUACGUAUACUUUCGCCUGUCCGCCGCCGAAGACCACACUGCCUCCACGAUCAUCAAUGAUGCGUACCGAUAUGAUUUUGGCGGUGGCUUCCUCGUCGACGUAGACCUUCUUGAAAGUGAUGGCCUGUUUAUCGUUGACGUUAGACCGAAUCGUAAGCGUGCCAACUUCAGUCGGUCGAAGAGAUUGUCCCUUGAUGCCCAUGAUGUUGAAGCGCUCCCACGGCUCCAACAACCGCACGUUGAAAAGUUCUGAGCGGUCAUACGUUAUGUGGUGAGUGGCGGCUGAGUCCAGAAACCAUUCCGUCGGACGAUUGCUGUUGUAUGCCACGAAUGCUACCUGCCGCGGAACUCCUGGCCCCCUAGCUGAUCCCCUUGCUGCCGCUAGCUCCGCUGCCACUACCUCUGUUACCACUGUUGCUGUAGCCACCCUUGUAGCCAGAAUUUGACGACUGCUUCAGCGCCUUAAGCUGCCUGCAGUCCUUAACCACGUGCCCAGGUUUAUUACAGUAGUAGCAGAUGACUUGCUUCCGACUAUGUCCCGAGCUGUUGUUAGCCGGCCCCCGGCUACCAUAACCAGAAGUAGAAGCGCCGAACGUCGAACCGCCGACAGACGUGAAGGCUGCCGACUCGGUAGGCUUGCCCGACCCACCGUUAGCCGUCUCGAUAGAGAGAAGCUUUGCUGUGACGCUCGCCAUGUCCAAAUCGCCGUCGCGCAUAAGUAAUGUAGUCGUCACCACGCUGUACCGACUGGGUAGACCAACUAGGACGGUGUACGCCAGCUCGGAGUCGUUAACUACGUGGCCGACUCCCAACAAGUCCGUUUGCAGCUGUCUUGCACGCGCAAAGUACAUCGGAAGAGGUUCACCGUCGACCAUUUUAAAACGGCUGAAUUCUUGACGUAGAGACACCUUGCGGGCGUUGUUGUUGGCAGCAAACAUAGAUCCCAAGGCGUCCCAGGCCUUCUUCGCGUUGGCAGCACCGGUAACCAUCGGCAAAUGAUGAUCCUUGACGUUCUUGAUGAGCAGAUUGAUGACCUUCCGUGACUGUCGAAUUUGCUCCUCGUUGCACGGCUCGGCGAGCAGGGAUUGCUCAAGCCCAAGCUCCAUGCACAUCGCGCUAAACCGAAUUUGCCAGGUAGAGUAGUUGUUGAGGUCCAGCGACUCAUCAAGCUUGUCCUUAACCAUUGUCGAUGAGGGAUAGAAAUAACAAUUUUGGGCGAUAGCUGUCUGCGCUAAGCGGGGCUCAUAACCUAUUGAAGAAUUGGCGACGGUGACGGCUAACGCUGAUUGUUAUUCCGGAAGGAUUGCCGGUGGCGAAGAUAUUUAGCACGAUAAACUGUUACAAGUAAUGGUCUGGUCUGGGUUGACACUACUGCAAUUUGCGGUUUAAGGUCCUGGGUUCGAUUCCUGGGGAGACCCCCGAAUUAGUCGGGAGCGCGAGAUUAUGGCUAGCUGCUGAGAUGUGGAGUUGAGGUCACAGUUGAUGGACCAGAUUCGCACGCUGGAUUGGUGGCGAUUGCCGAACCCUCCGUCUCUUCGGGUGUUCGGGUGAAUGGAUGAGGUGGGGUCCCUGAAGGCUGGAUCCGCCGCCUUGGACUUACAGUUCGUAUGGCGAAGUACAGUGUGGUAGUGGUGUGGUAGUGGUGGAUGGUGCUAUAAGGUGAUAAAUGAUCUAGAACUGACAAUGUGAUAAAGUGGCCCAGAAGCCUCCCACUCUGUAACAUUAAAAAAAAAAAAAAAAAAAGUAAUGUAAAGAGUAUUGUUAGCGUUCGGCAGGACUUGAGGAGAUUCCUGGUAGGAAUACCGAUCGUUGUGAGAUAAACUAAUAGGCGCUGUCACCGCCCUAAAUACCGGCGCUAGCGGAAAACUCGUACAUUCCGCGAUCUAACUGCACGUACAUUCCGCGAUCUCACUGCGCCGUCCAGACGGUGCCCUAAUGUCUAUCACUUAGCUACCGGAUAUGCAUCGGUAGCCCUAUAAGGUUCUGGGGUAAGUCUUCCCCAUUAGUCAGGCGCAGACCCGGGGUCAAAUCCCCUGGUCGACAACCACACGAGUUGGGAGAGGACCGUUUCCUCAACAGUUUCAACAGGUACAACCACCGGUACAUUAGCACAUCAAGAGGCUGUGCACACAGCUCACAAGUGCCGUUAGCUGCCAAUGCAGCAAUCUCCUCGACCAUCACUCUGCGCCACUCAUUUGCAUUUGCACCUGAAAUGGCUUCAGUGAAAGUANNNNNNNNNNNNNNNNNNNNNNNNNNNNNNNNNNNNNNNNNNNNNNNNNNCCCAAACAAGUCCGACUGUAAUUGCUUGCAGGCGUCCUAUGCCUUCUUCGUGCUAGCUUUGUAAGCAACUAGCGUUAACCGGGGCUCAUAACCUGUUAAGAAUAUGAAGGCAAGGAGACUGGUCGCAAUAUAAGGGUUACAGCCUGUGGGUUAGUGGUGAACGGCAAGAAGACUUUAGGAGAUUCCUAUGAAGGAAUACCGAUCCAUCCGAAGAUGAGAUAGAAAGACAUUAUUGGAGAAUUGACGACGGUGACAGCUAACGCUAAUUGUUAUUCCGGAAGGAUUGCCGGUGGCGAAGAUAUUUAGCACGAUAAACUGUUACAAGUAAUGUAAAGAGUAUUGUUAGCGUUCGGCAGGACUUGAGGAGAUUCCUGGUAGGAAUACCGAUCGUUGUGAGAUAAACUAAUAGGCGCUGUCACCGCCCUAAAUACCGGCGCUAGCGGAAAACUCGUACAUUCCGCGAUCUAACUGCACGUACAUUCCGCGAUCUCACUGCGCCGUCCAGACGGUGCCCUAAUGUCUAUCACUUAGCUACCGGAUAUGCAUCGGUAGCCCUAUAAGGUUCUGGGGUAAGUCUUCCCCAUUAGUCAGGCGCAGACCCGGGGUCAAAUCCCCUGGUCGACAACCACACGAGUUGGGAGAGGACCGUUUCCUCAACAGACAUGCACCACUCUGGUCUUAUGUACCGAUACCAACGGAAGUAUCGUACAGUCGCCGACCAUCAACGCUGGGCACGAGGGGACGUCCGAGAUACACGGCCGGAGUCAUCGCCUAUCAAUCAAUCUUGGAUAUGCCCGCCUACCAUCCUGCACUAACGUUGGGACAGGCCCGCCGGACCCGGUCGCGGUGCGCGACUGUCGCUGAUAGGCGCCAACCAGUCAGGUGGAUUCGCCCACCUAUCAUUCCGCGAACUAGCGGAGCCAUCCUGACGGUGCCCAAACUUGCAUCACUAGACGGUUUUGCAUCGGCAGUCCCAGAAGUGGCGGGUUAAGUUUUGCCGCUUGUCUUUUCGUACAACAUCACAUAGUACGUGAGAGGGUGAAUAGCGGUGAGGUGCAGUUGGAAUACUGCCCUACGGAGUGGAUGGUUGCGGAUGUGCUCACGAAGGCUCUGGGCGAUGUGAAUUUCAAACGUUGCCGAGAUGUGAUGGGCCUUGUGUGAAGCGUGCUGAUGAACCUUGGUGUUGAGGAAACGGUCCUCUCCCAACUCGAGUGGUUGUCGACCAGGGGAUUUGACCCCGNNNNNNNNNNNNNNNNNNNNNNNNNNNNNNNNNNNNNNNNNNNNNNNNNNUCCAAUAGGUUAUGAGCCCCGCCUAGCGCCGACAGCUAUCGUCCGAUUGUUAUUUCUAUCCCUCAUCGACAAUGGUCAAGGAUAAGCUUGAUGAGCCGCUGGACCUCCACAACUACUCCACCUGGCAAAUCAGGUUUAGCGCGAUGUGCAUGGAGCUUGGGCUUGAGCAAUCCCUGCUCGCCGAGCCGUGCAACGAGGAGCAGAUUCGACAAUCACGGAAUGUCAUCAAUCUGCUCAUCAAGAACGUCAAGGAUCAUCAUUUGCCGAUGGUUACCGGUGCUGCCAACGCGAAGAAGGCCUGGGACGCCUUGGGAUCUAUGUUUGCUGCCAACAACAACGCCCGCAAGGUGUCUCUACGUCAAGAAUUCAGCCGUUUUAAAAUGGUCGACGGUGAACCUCUUCCGAUGUACUUUGCGCGUGCAAGACAGCUGCAAACGGACUUGUUGGGAGUCGGCCACGUAGUUAACGACUCCGAGCUGGCGUACACCGUCCUAGUUGGUCUACCCAGUCGGUACAGCGUGGUGACGACUACAUUACUAAUGCGCGACGGCGAUUUGGACAUGGCGAGCGUCACAGCAAAGCUUCUCUCCAUCGAGACGGCUAACGGUGGGUCGGGCAAGCCUACCGAGUCGGCAGCCUUCACGUCUGUUGGCGGUUCGACGUUCGGCGCUUCUACUUCUGGUUAUGGUAGCCGGGGGCCGGCUAACAACAGCUCGGGACAUAGUCGGAAGCAAGUCAUCUGCUACUACUGUAAUAAACCUGGGCACGUGGUUAAGGACUGCAGGCAGCUUAAGGCGCUGAAGCAGUCGUCAAAUUCUGGCUACAAGGGUGGCUACAGCAACAGUGGUAACAGAGGUAGUGGCAGCGGAGCUAGCGGCAGCAAGGGGAUCAGCUAGGGGGCCAGGAGUUCCGCGGCAGGUAGCAUUCGUGGCAUACAACAGCAAUCGUCCGACGGAAUGGUUUCUGGACUCAGCCGCCACUCACCACAUAACGUAUGACCGCUCAGAACUUUUCAACGUGCGGUUGUUGGAGCCGUGGGAGCGCUUCAACAUCAUGGGCAUCAAGGGACAGUCUCUUCGACCGACUGAAGUUGGCACGCUUACGAUUCGGUCUAACGUCAACGAUAAACAGGCCAUCACNNNNNNNNNNNNNNNNNNNNNNNNNNNNNNNNNNNNNNNNNNNNNNNNNNNNNNNNNNNNNNNNNNNNNNNNNNNNNNNNCCAGAAGAUGGUGGUAAUGAUAGCGGAACUGGAGCGCGCUACUGGCAGGCAGGUUAAGGAGGUGCGUACAGAUCGUGGCGGGGAGUUUGUUAAUACUCGCACGAAGGCCUAUUUCGCUUCCAGGGGUAUUCUACACGGAACUACGGUAGGCUACACCCNUGAGCAGAACGGAGCUGCAGAACGUUUAAAUCGCACUCUUUUGGACAAGACUAGGGCUAUGCUAGUUGAGUCUGGACUGCCUAAAUCAUUAUGGGCGGAGGCGUUAGCGACAGCCAACUAUCUUAGGAAUGUGUCGCCAACUGCUGGGUCAACCGUCACUCCGUACGAAGCUUUCUUUAAUGUUCGUCCGAACGUCAGUCACCUGCGAGUCUUUGGAUGCGUUGCCUACGUCCACGUACCCGACGUCAAGCGCGACAAGUUCGACCCGGUGAGCAGGCGUGGAAUACUUGUCGGAUACGGGAACGGUGGACAGUAUCGUGUACUAUACGAGGACGGCAUUAUUGCCGUAGUUUCUAACGUUCGUUUUGACGAGUCUAAUGUCGGCCGGCGGCGUAAUGCCGGGGACUCCGAUUAUGAGUCCGAUGCCGACGAGGAGGAGGAGUUUCGCACUAGUUUAUCUGGUGAGGGAUCGCUGCCUAGGGCUGGCGAAGGGACACCAGGUAGCACCGUCGGCGAGGGAUCGCCGCAUUUGGGUGGCGAGGGGGCGCCGGCUGGGGCUGGACCUUCCAGCAGUGCGAACGGGCAAGGAAUCAAUCAGCCUGAUGUGGAAAUGGCGGGAACUAGGUACCCAGUUAGAGAGCGUAAACGCCCUGGCGAAUGGUGGCGAAACGAACCUGGUCGCACUGUCACUGGUCGCGUUAACGCUGCUUUCUCUGCUGGUAUUCCUGAGCCUAAUUCGUUUGAGGAAGCAAUUGCAAGUCCACAUGCAGACGACUGGCGGCGUGGNNNNNNNNNNNNNNNNNNNNNNNNNNNNNNNNNNNNNNNNNNNNNNNNNNNNNNNNNNNNNNNNNNNNNNNNNNNNNNNNNNNNNNNGUCGACUCUGAGGAUCCCCAGUGGAUGGUUGCGGAUGUGCUCACGAAGGCUCUGGGCGAUGUGAAUUUCAAACGUUGCCGAGAUGUGAUGGGCCUUGUGUGAAGCGUGCUGAUGAACCUUGGUGUUGAGGAAACGGUCCUCUCCCAACUCGAGUGGUUGUCGACCAGGGGAUUUGACCCCGGGUCUGUGCCUGACUAUUGGGGAAGACUUACCCCAGAACCUUAUGGGGCUACCGAUGCAUAUCCCGGUAGCUAAGUGAUAGACAUUAGGGCACCGUCAGGACGGCGCAGUGCGAUCGCGGAAUGUACGUGCAGUUAGAUCGCGGAAUGUACGAGUUUUCCGCUAGCGCCGGUAUUUAGGGCGGUGACUGCGCUUAUUUGUUUAUCUCACUAUGAUCGGUAUUCCUCAAAGGAAUCUCCUCAAGUCCUGCCGAACGCUAAUAAUACUCUUUACAUAACUUGUAACAUUUUAUCGUGCUAAAUAUCUUCGCCACCGGCAAUUCUUCCGAGAUAACAAUCUGCGUUAGCCGUCACCGUCGCCAAUUCUCCAAUAGGUUAUGAGCCCCGCCUAGCGCCGACAGCUAUCGUCCGAUUGUUAUUUCUAUCCCUCAUCGACAAUGGUCAAGGAUAAGCUUGAUGAGCCGCUGGACCUCCACAACUACUCCACCUGGCAAAUCAGGUUUAGCGCGAUGUGCAUGGAGCUUGGGCUUGAGCAAUCCCUGCUCGCCGAGCCGUGCAACGAGGAGCAGAUUCGACAAUCACGGAAUGUCAUCAAUCUGCUCAUCAAGAACGUCAAGGAUCAUCAUUUGCCGAUGGUUACCGGUGCUGCCAACGCGAAGAAGGCCUGGGACGCCUUGGGAUCUAUGUUUGCUGCCAACAACAACGCCCGCAAGGUGUCUCUACGUCAAGAAUUCAGCCGUUUUAAAAUGGUCGACGGUGAACCUCUUCCGAUGUACUUUGCGCGUGCAAGACAGCUGCAAACGGACUUGUUGGGAGUCGGCCACGUAGUUAACGACUCCGAGCUGGCGUACACCGUCCUAGUUGGUCUACCCAGUCGGUACAGCGUGGUGACGACUACAUUACUAAUGCGCGACGGCGAUUUGGACAUGGCGAGCGUCACAGCAAAGCUUCUCUCCAUCGAGACGGCUAACGGUGGGUCGGGCAAGCCUACCGAGUCGGCAGCCUUCGCGUCUGUUGGCGGUUCGACGUUCAGCGCUUCUACUUCUGGUUAUGGCAGCCGGGGGCCGGCUAACAACAGCUCGGGACAUAGUCGGAAGCAAGUCAUCUGCUACUACUGUAAUAAACCUGGGCACGUGGUAAAGGACUGCAGGCAGCUUAAAGCGCUGAAGCAGUCGUCAAAUUCUGGCUACAAGGGUGGCUACAACAACAGUGGUAACAGAGGUAGUGGCAGCGGAGCUAGCGGCAGCAAGCCAGGAUCCGGUGGAUCAGCUAGGGGGCCAGGAGUUCCGCGGCAGGUAGCAUUCGUGGCAUACAACAGCAAUCGUCCGACGGAAUGGUUUCUGGACUCAGCCGCCACUCACCACAUAACGUAUGACCGCUCAGAACUUUUCAACGUGCGGUUGUUGGAGCCGUGGGAGCGCUUCAACAUCAUGGGCAUCAAGGGACAAUCUCUUCGACCGACUGAAGUUGGCACGCUUACGAUUCGGUCUAACGUCAACGAUAAACAGGCCAUCACUUUCAAGAAGGUCUACGUCGACGAGGAGGCCACCGCCAAAAUCAUAUCGGUCCGCAUCAUUGAUGAUCGUGGAGGCAGUGUGGUCUUCGGCGGCGGACAGGCGAAAGUAUACGUACAGAACCAGUUGGUGCUGACUGGAAAGCGGGAUGGGGACUUGUAUCCCGUCUGCUACAGCAAUGGAGGUACGGGAGCUCUGAAGAGGACGCAGCGUGAAGACAACAGGAUACCUUCUGGUGGUGAUGCAGUGUGUGCUGCCGUGGGUAUCGGAGCUGAACGUGCAGCACUUUGGCACCGACGGUAUGGCCAAUUGGGAUACAGCAACCUUGAGACGUUGCUGCGUCAUAAUAUGGUAGCUGGAUUUGAUGUUGACCGACACAGCAUACAAUCAGCCAGCGCGUGUGUGUGUGAGACUUGCGUCCUUGCUAAACAUACACGGCAGGCGGCUGGCAGAGGUUAAGGCCUGACUUCUGCUCCCAGUUGAUCCAGUCGACCCGGGUUCAAAUCCGCCUGCCGGCUCCUCGGGUGUUUGAGGAGUGAUGAAAUGGGAGGUGGCCCCCCAUCUUAUGGACGGUGUAGGACGUGAUAAUAUCAACUUGCGAGCUGACCAGGAACUAAGUUGAUGCGCCGUUGAUCCGCUAGAUUUGGUUGGAUGCUGGUGGUGAGUUGCCGAACCCAACGAAUACAUUCUGAAGUCGGAUGGGGUGACGGAUUAGGGUGCCCCUCUAGCAGGGGAGAGCAGGGACUGCCCCGGGAAAGGGGGCCGCUGGCGAAGUUAACCACCCUGUAACAACAUACAUACACGUGGUCCUUUUCCGUUAUCUGGGCAUAAGGCAACACAGCCUCUCGCGCUCAUUCACAUGGAUGUAAUGUAAUGUAAUGUAAUGUUACAGAGUGGGAGGCUUCUGGGCCGCUUUAUCACAUUGUCAGUUCUACGAUUUAUCAUCUUAUAGCACCGUCCACCACUACCACACUAUACUUCGCCAUACGAACUGUAAGUCCAAGGCGGCGGGUCCAGCCGUCUAGGACCCCUCCUCAUCCAUUCACCCGAACAACCGAAGAGACGGAGGGUUCGGCAAUCGCCACCAAUCUAGCGUGCGAAUCUGGUCCAUCAACUGCGACCUCAACUCCACAUCUCAGCAGCUAGCCAUAAUCUCGCGCUCCCGACUAAUUCGGGGGUAUCCCCAGGAAUCGAACCCAGGACCUUAAACCGCGAAUCGCAGUAGUGUCAACCCAGACCAGACCAGACAUGGAUGUGUGUGGGCCUAUGCCUGAACCUUCGCCUAGUGGUUCGCGUUACGUGACAACCCUGCUUGACGACCAUACUGGUCUUUCAGCUGUUGCGUUUACAGCGACCAAGGAGGAGGUCUACCAGAAAAUGGUGGUAAUGAUAGCGGAACUGGAGCGCGCUACUGGCAGGCAGGUUAAGGAGGUGCGUACAGAUCGUGGCGGGGAGUUCGUUAAUACUCGCACGAAGGCCUAUUUCGCUUCCAGGGGUAUUCUACACGGAACUACUGUAGGCUACACCCCUGAGCAGAACGGAGCUGCAGAACGUUUAAAUCGCACUCUUUUGGACAAGACUAGGGCUAUGCUAGUUGAGUCUGGACUGCCUAAAUCAUUAUGGGCGGAGGCGUUAGCGACAGCCAACUAUCUUAGGAAUGUGUCGCCAACUGCUGGGUCAACCGUCACUCCGUACGAAGCUUUCUUUAAUGUUCGUCCGAACGUCAGUCACCUGCGAGUCUUUGGAUGCGUUGCCUACGUCCACGUACCCGACGUCAAGCGCAACAAGUUCGACCCGGUGAGCAGGCGUGGAAUACUUGUCGGAUACGGGAACGGUGGACAGUAUCGUGUACUAUACGAGGACGGCAUUAUUGCCGUAGUUUCCAACGUUCGUUUUGAUGAAUCUAACGUCGGCUGGCGGCGUAAUGCCGGGGACUCCGAUUAUGAGUCCGAUGCCGACGAGGAGGAGGAUUUUCGCACUAGUUUGCCUGGUGAGGGAUCGCUGCCUAGGGCUGGCGAAGGGAUACCAGGUAGCACCGUCGGCGAGGGAUCGCCGCACUUGGGUGGCGAGGGGGCGCCGGCUGGGGCUGGACCUUCCAGCAGUGCGAAUGGGCAAGGAAUCAAUCAGCCUGAUGUGGAAAUGGCGGGAACUAGGUAUCCAGUUAGAGAGCGUAAACGUCCUGGCGAAUGGUGGCGAAACGAACCCGGUCGCACUGUCACUGGUCGCGUUAACGCUGCUUUCUCUGCUGGUAUUCCUGAGCCUAAUUCGUUUGAGGAAGCAAUUGCAAGUCCACAUGCAGACGACUGGCGGCGUGCGAUGGACGAGGAGAUCGCCGCCCAGAUGGCUAAUAGUCUGGUCUGGGUUGACACUACUGCAAUUAGCGGUUUAAGGUCCUGGGUUCGAUUCCUGGGGAGACCCCCGAAUUAGUCGGGAGCGCGAGAUUAUGGCUAGCUGCUGAGAUGUGGAGUUGAGGUCACAGUUGAUGGACCAGAUUCGCACGCUGGAUUGGUGGCGAUUGCCGAACCCUCCGUCUCUUCGGGUGUUCGGGUGAAUGGAUGAGGAGGGGUCCCUGAAGGCUGGAUCCGCCGCCUUGGACUUACAGUUCGUAUGGCGAAGUACAGUGUGGUAGUGGUGGAUGGUGCUAUAAGGUGAUAAAUGAUCUAGAACUGACAAUGUGAUAAAGCGGCCCAGAAGCCUCCCACUCUGUAACAUUACAUUACAUUACAUUACAUUACAUAAUAGUACUUGGGAGCUGAAGACGCCACCUCCUCGUUUGUUGCCGUGUCGUUGGGUAUAUAAGGUUAAGUACAGCGAUGACGGCAGCGUGGAGCGUUUUAAGGCGCGUUUAGUUGCCAAGGGUUUCGAGCAACGUGAGGGGAUUGAUUAUGGGGAGUUGAUGUUGUUACAGGGUGGUUAAGCUUCACCAGUGGCCUCCUUCCCGAGGCAGUUCCCUGCUCUCCCCUGCUAGAGGGGCACCCUAAGCCAUUCACCCCAUCCGACUUCAGAGUGUACUCUUUGAGUUUGGCAGCUCACCACCAGCAUCCAACCAAAUCUAGCGGAUCAACGGCGCGUCAACUUAGUUCCUGGUCAGCUCGCGAGUUGAUUUUAUCACGUCCUACACCGUCCACAAGAUGGGGGGCCACCUCCCAUUUCAUCACCUCUCAAACACCCCGAGAGGUCGGCAGGCGGAUUUGAACCCGGACGCGCUGGGACGCGACGGGAGCAGAAGCCAGGCCUUAACCUCUGCCAGCCGCCUGCCUGCCUGCCGGAGUUGUUUGCCCCUACCUCUCGUGGUUCGUCAUUGCGUGCUUUAUUAGCAGUUGCCGCAGCCCGGAACAUGACGGUACGUCAACUCGAUGUGUCUACUGCGUUUCUGAAUGGUGAGCUGAAGGAGGAGUUGUGGAUGGAGCAACCGCCUGGGUAUGCAUCCAGUGACCGGUCGCUUGCGUGCAAGCUGCAGAAGUCUAUUUACGGUUUAAAGCAGGCACCCCGUUGCUGGUAUGAAAAACUAUCAGCAGAGUUCGCCAAGUUGGGUCUUUAUCCUUCGAAGUCUGAUCCGGCGAUGUUCGUUAAGACUGACGAGCGUGGGGUUGUUAUUGCUUUGGUGCACGUAGAUGACACUAUUGUUGCGUCGGANNNNNNNNNNNNNNNNNNNNNNNNNNNNNNNNNNNNNNNNNNNNNNNNNNNNNNNNNNNNNNNNNNNNNNNNNNNNNNNNNNNNNNNNNNNNNNNNNNNNNNNNNNNNNNNNNNNNNNNNNNNNNNNNNNNNNNNNNNNNNNNNNNNNNNNNNNNNNNNNAACAUAGGUAUAUUGCGCAGCUAUUGGAGCGUCAUAAGUUGGUUGACGCCAAGCCGAGGUCUACUCCUUUGCCUCCGGGUUUUAGGUACACUCCUACGGGGGACGGAGAGGAGCUGCUGGGCAAUCCCACGGAGUAUAGGGCUUUGGUGGGAGAAUUGAACUAUCUUGCGACGAACACGCGGCCUGACAUUUCUUAUGCAUUGAGUGUUUUGUCCCGGCAUAUGGCCACACCUUCGAAGACUGCCAUGAACUUGGCCACUGGCGUUCUGCGUUACCUGGCGGGUACUCGCGAACUAGGAUUGCGUUUUGGGGGUGUUGGCGACGUUGCUAUGUCCGGGUAUAGCGAUUCUGACUGGGCAGGAGACCCAGUUACGCGGCGUUCUACGUCCGGUUACGUAUUCACUCUUAAUGGGGCUGCGAUUAGCUGGAGCAGCCAACUUCAACGUACUGUGGCGGCUUCGUCGGUGGAGGCUGAGUACCAAGCUACAGCGGCGGCUGUUCGUGAGGCUUUGUGGCUUCGCAAGCUGAUGGUUGAUUUGAGCUUGCCUGAGAGCGCGGUGAAAAUCCAGAUAGACUCCCAGGGGGCGCUUAGCUUGGGAAACAACCCAAUUACGCCUGCUCGGUCGAAGCACAUCGACGUGCAGCAUCACAUAGUGUGUGAGAGGGUGAAUAGCGGUGAGGUGCAGUUGGAAUACUGCCCUACGGAGUGGAUGGUUGCGGAUGUACUAAUGAAGGCUCUGGGCGAGGUGAAGUUCAAACGUUGCCGAGAUGCUAUGGGCCUAGUGUGAAGUGUGCAGAUGAUCUUGGUACUCGUUGGGAUACGGCCCGAGGGGGCGUGUUGAGGAAACGGUCCUCUCCCAACUCGUGUGGUUGUCGACCAGGGGAUUUGACCCCGGGUCUGCGCCUGACUAAUGGGGAAGACUUACCCCAGAACCUUAUGGGGCUAUCGAUGCAUAUCCGGUAGCUAAGUGAUAGACAUUAGGGCACCGUCUGGACGGCGCAGUGAGAUCGCGGAAUGUACGUGCAGUUAGAUCGCGGAAUGUACGAGUUUUCCGCUAGCGCCGGUAUUUAGGGCGGUGACUGCGCCUAUUAGUUUAUCUCAUAACGAUCGGUAUUCCUACCAGGAAUCUCCUCAAGUCCUGCCGAACGCUAACAAUACUCUUUACAUUACUUGUAACAGUUUAUCGUGCUAAAUAUCUUCGCCACCGGCAAUCCUUCCGAAAUAACAAUCAGCGUUAGCCGUCACCGUCGCCAAUUCUUCAAUAAAACGCUCCAUGCUGCCGUCAUCACUGUACUUAACCUUAUACACCCAACGACACGGCAACAAACGAGUACCAGGAGGUGGCUUCUUCAGCUCCCAAGUACUAUUAGCCAUCUGGGCGGCAAGGAGACUGGUCGUGAUAUAAGGGUUACAGUCUGUGGGUUAGUGGUGAACGGCUAGAGGACUUUAGGAGAUUCUUAUGAAGGAAUACCGAUCCAUCCGAAGAUGAGAUAGAAAGACAUGCACCACUCUGGUCUUAUGUACCGAUACCAACGGAAGUAUCGUACAGUCGCCCACCAUCAACGCUGGACAAGAGGGGACGUCCGAGAUACGCGGCCGGGAGACCCUAGGCAAGGUCGAGGCACGUCCGAGGCAAGGUCGAGGCACGUCCGAGGCAUCGCCUAUCACGGCGGAUUCAUCACCUAUCUACCACCUAUCUACACUUGUGUCAUAUAUUCCAGUACCAAUCGAAGUAUCGUACAGUCGUCCACCAUCCCUGGACGAGAGGACACAUCAGAGAUACACGGCCGAGAGACCCGAGACAAGGUCGAGGCAUGACCGAGGCAAAGUCAAGGCCAAGGUCGAGGCACGGUCGAGGCAAGGUCAAGGCACGGCCGAGGCAUCGCCUAUCAUGGCGGAUUCAUCGCCUAUAUACCACCUACCUACGUUGGGAUAGGACCGCCCUUCAACAGUUGAUCCGCCUUGUUAAACCACACCUCCUAGCACGGGUAGCAAGGAUAGGCCUAAGAUGCGGGGUGCACUUGAGAGCCUGUGCCGCGGUCUGGAAGGUGAUAGUGGUGAACCAGCUCGUGCUGAGACGGGGAUUUUGUGUCUUCUGCCAUCGAGGGUUUGCUGCAGUCAGAGACCAUCAAACCUUGCCCGUCAUGACCUGUGCCUUGGGCGUCGUAGAGCAGAAAGGCAAGCUUCGCCUCAUCUGGGACGGACGUGAAGUCAAUAAGCACCUGCACAUCCCACUAUGAGUCGCUUGUGCAGGUCCCAGGCUGGCUAGGCCCCAAGGACUACAUGUUCACCCUGGACCUGAAGUCUGGUUACCACCAUAUGGUCGUACGCGAAGCAGACUGGCGCUACCUUGGUUUUGAAUGGCAAGGCCAGUUCUACAUCUAUACACAACUCUUUUUCGGCCUUGCCUCCGCCUGUUGGGCAUUCACCAAGCUAAUACACGAGAUCACGCGGACUUGGAGACGGAAGGAAGGGCUGGCAGUGCUCAGGAUACAUCGAUGAUCAGAUCCACGCCCACCAGGACACCCAGACCCUCAUCAUCCGCCGCACCAUAAUCCUCGACCUCUUUGAGCGCCUGGGGUUCUGUGUGAACCGUGACAAGUCAAUGAUGGGCGAGCCCCAGCAGCAAGUGAGGUACCUGGGUAUGCUGUUAGAUACAUUAGGUACAUUGUGCCUGAAGAUAAGCGCACUUUCCUGCUCGGCUGCAUCCACUCGGCUCUGGGAAAACGGCGCAUCAAGGCGAGAAAUUGGCCUGCUUAAAAUGGCAGCUUCUGUCCAUGUCUUGGGUGUUCGGGCAAGUAGCCCAGGCUCUGGGGCAGGAUAUUGAGUCGCGCCACACCUGGGAUACCCACAUCCGCUUAUCUAACGACGCAACUGCAGAGCUCGAAUUCUGGCUGCGCUGUUUCGACUGGUUUAACGGAACCCGUGCCCUCUGGGAGCCCACACAGGUGCACUCGGUCGUUUUCUGUGAUGCAGCCAGGAAAUCCCUCAAGCACCUCGGGAGUUGGGGUGCCUGGACGCUGAUCGACGGGAAGUUGGCCCAAGCCCGCGGUAAUUGGGGAGAAUGUUAAGAAUAUGAAGGAGGCAAAGAGACUGGUCGCGAUGUAAGUAUUACAGUCGGUAGGUGAGUGGUGAACGGCAGGAAGACUUUAGGAAAUUCCUACUAAGGAAUACCGAUCCAUACAAAGAUGAGAUACCAAGACUUGCAUAACUUGUGUCUUAUAUACCAGUACCAAUGGAAGUAUCGUACAGUCGCCCACCAUCUAACUUGGACAUGAGGACACGUCCGAGAUACAGGGCCGCGAGACCCGAGGCAAUGUAGAGGCACGGCUGAGGCAAGGUCGAGGCACGUCCGGAUUCAUCGCCUAUCUACCACCUAUCUGCGUUGGGAUAGGACCGCCCUUCAACACGACCCCUCGGGACAUAUCCCAACUCUGGUCUGGUCUGGGUUGACACUACUGCGAUUCGCGGUUUAAGGUUCUGGGUUCGAUUCCUGGGGAGACCCCCGAAUUAGUCGGGAGCGCGAGAUUAUGGCUAGCUGCUGAGAUGUGGAGUUGAGGUCGCAGUUGAUGGACCAGAUUCGCACGCUAGAUUGGUGGCGAUUGCCGAACCCUCCGUCUCUUCGGUUGUUCGGGUGAAUGGAUGAGGAGGGGUCCUAGAUGGCUGGACCCGCCGCCUUGGACUUACAGUUCGUAUGGCGAAGUAUAGUGUGGUAGUGGUGGACGGUGCUAUAAGAUGACAAAUCGUAGAACUGACAAUGUGAUAAAGCGGCCCAGAAGCCUCCCACUCUGUAACAUUACAGAUAUCCCAACUCGCAGUAGCACAUUUGCUCCACCAAUGGGCGGCACUUCACACAACGCCCAUAGCUUCUCUGCACCGUUUGAACUUCACUUCUCCCAGUGCCUUCAUGAGCGCACCCGCUACCAUCCACUCUGUAGGGCAGUACUCCAACCCCGCUAUUCACCCUCUCACACACUAUGUGGUGCUGCACGUCGAUGUGUUUCGACCCAGCAGACGUAAUCGGAUGAUUUCCCAAGCUAAGCGCACCCUGGGAGUCUAUCUGGAUUUUCACCGCGCUCUCAGGCAAGCCCAAAUCGACCAUCAGCUUGCAAAGCCACAAAGCUUCAUGAACAGCCGCCGCUGUAGCUGGGUACUCGGCCUCCACCAACGAAGCCGCCACAGUACGUUGAAGUUGGCUGCUCCAGCUAAUCGCAGCCCCAUUAAGAGUGAAUACGUAACCGGACGUAGAACGCCGCGUAACAGGGUCUCCUGCCCAGCCCGAAUCACUGUACCCGGACAUUGCAACACCACCAACACCCCCAAAAUCCUAGUUCGUGAGUACCCGCCAGGUAACACAGAAUGCCAGUGGCCAAGUUCAUGGCAGUCUUCGUAGGUGUGGCCAUAUGCCGGGACAAAAUGCUCAAUGCAUACGAAAUGUCGGGUGUUCGAUUGUUCGUCGCCAGAUAGUUCCAUUCUCCCACCAACUCGGGGGGAUUGCCCAGCAGCUCCUCUCCGUCCCCCGUAGGAGUGUACCCCUAAAGCCCGGAGGCAAAGGGGUAGAUCUCGGCUUGGCGUCAACCAUCCUAUGACGCUCCAACAGCUGCGACAUACCUAUGCUGCGACAACACUAACUCACCCGACUUCUCCCUCCUAAUCUCCAUGCCCCAAAACACCUUCGCUUCUCCAAGGUCACGCACCUUGAAGACUUUCACAAUUGCUGCUUUAAUGGCGCGGACCAUUUCCGGGUCUUCUGAUGCAACAAUGCAACAGGCAGGCGGCUGGCAGAAGUUAAGGCCUGGCUUCUGCUCCCGUCGCGUCCCGGCGCGUCCGGGUUCAAAUCCGCCUGCCGACCUCUCGGGGUGUUUGAGAGGUGAUGAAAUGGGAGGUGGCCCCCCAUCUUGUGGACGGUGUAGGACGUGAUAAAAUCAAUUCGCGAGCUGACCAGGAAUUAAGUUGACGCGCCGUUGAUCCGCUAGAUUUGGUUGGAUGCUGGUGGUGAGUUGCCAAACUCAAAGAGUACACUCUGAAGUCGGAUGGGGUGAAUGGCUUAGGGUGCCCCUCUAGCAGGGGAGAGCAGGGAAUUGCCUCGGGAAGGAGGCCACUGGUGAAGCUUAACCACCCUGUAACAACAUCAACAAUGGUGUCAUCUACGUGCACCAAAGCAAUAACAACCCCACGCUGAUAGCUUUUCAUACCAGCAACGGGGUGCCUGCUUCAAACCGUAAAUAGACAGACCUCUGCAGCUUGCACGCAAGCGACCGGUCAAUGGAUUCAUACCCAGGCGGUUGCUCCAUCCAGGGUUGCUGCAUCCACAACUCCUCCUUCAACUUGCCGUUCAAAAAUGCAGUAGACACAUCGAGCUGAUGCACUGUCAUGUUCGGCAUCUUCAGCUCCCAAGUACUGUUAGCCAUCUGGGCGGCGAUCUCCUUGUCCAUUGCACGCCGCCAAUCGUCUGCAUGUGGACUUGCAAUGGCUUCCGCAAACGAAUUCGGUUCAGGAAUACCAGCAGAAAAAGCAGCAUUAACGCGACCAGUUACAGUGCGACCAGGCUCAUUUCGCCACCACUCGCCAGGGCGUUUACACUCUGAAUCUGGGUACCUAGUUCCCGCCAUUUCCACAUCAGGCUCACUACUUCCUUGCCCGUUCACACUGCUGGAAGGUCCAGCCCCAGCCGGCGCCCCCUCACCACCCAAAUGGGGCGAUCCCUCGCCGACAGUAUUGCCUGAUGUUCCUUCGCCACCCCUCACCAGGCAAGAUAGUGUAAACGUCAUCCUCCUCAUCGGUAUCGGACCCAUAAUCGGAGUCCCCGGCACUACGCCGCCGGCCGACAUUGGACUCAUCAAAGCAGACACUGGAGACAACAGCGAUGACGCCGUCCUCGUACAGUACGCGGUACUGUCCUCCAUUCCCGUAUCCGACUAGGAUUCCUUACCUGCUUACCGGAUCGAGUUUGUCUCACUUGACGUUGGGCACAUGAACGUAUGCAGCGCAUCCAAAAGACCUGCAGAUGGCUGACAUUCGGAUGAACACCAAAGAAGGCUUGAUGUGGUGUGACGGUUGACCCAGCAGCGACACGUUCCUGAGGUAGUUUGCAGUCGCCAACGCUUCCGCCCACAGUGAUUUUGGGAGUCCAGACUCUAUGAGCUUGAACUGGCUUUGUCUAGGAGAGUGCGGUUCAGGCGUUCUGCUGCACCGUUCUGCUCAGGAGUGUAGCCCGCAGUAGUUCCGUGCAAAAUACCCCUUGAUGUGAAGUAGUUUUUCGUGCGAGUAUUCACAAAUUCCCCGCCAUGAUCCGUGCGCACUCCUUUACCUGCCAACCAGAUGCCCGUUCCAGGUCCGCUAUCAUCACCACCACCUUCUGAUAUAUCUCCUCCUUGGUCGCCGUAAAUGCAACCGCUGACAGACCGGUGGGGUUAUCAAGAAGGGUGGUCACAUAACGCGAACCAUUUGGUUCAGGCAUGUGAAUGAGUGCAAGAGGCUGCGCUGCCUUAUGCCCAGAUAACAGAAAAGGACCCGUUGUAUGCUUUGCAAGGACGCAAGUCUCACACACACACGCGCUGGCUGAUUGUAUGCUGUGUCAGUCAAUAUCGAGCCCAGUUACCAUAUUGUGACGCAGCAACGCCUCAAGGUUGCUGUAUCUAUCACAAGUGGCCAUACCGUCGGUGCCAAAGUGCUGCACGUUCAGCUCCGAUAAUGCUGCCAUGCCGAUACCCAUGGCAGCACACACUGCACCACCACCAGAAGGCAUCCUGUUGCGUUCACGCUGCGUCUAUUUCAGAGCGCCUGUACCUCCACUGCUGUAGCAAACGGGAUAAAAGUCCCCUUCCCGCUUUCCAGUCAGCACCAACUGGUUCUGUACGUAUACAAGUUACAAGUUACAAGUGCCGCACGAGUGCGGGGGUGUCCGUCAAAGCCGGGAGGCCAUGGACUAUAUGUAUUGAAAGUUGAUUACACCAUACGACCGACGGCGGUUUGGGUCCUGCCAACUAGACCCCUCCUCAUCCAGUCACCCAACAUCCGUAGAGACAGAUCAGCCACCACCUCCAUCUCAGCAUGCGAAACUUAGUCCAUCAACUAGACCGCAUCUCCACACCUCAGCAGCGUCAACAAUGUCGGGGGUCUGACCAGGAAUCGAACCCGGAACCUUCAUAUACACGAAGGCGCCACCAGACCAGACCACGUAUAAUUUCACCUGUCCGCCGCCGAAGACCACACUGCCUCCACGAUCAUCAAUGAUGCGGACCGAUAGGAUUUUGGCGGUGGCCUCCUCAUCGAUGUAGACCUUCUUAAGUGCUGGCCUGUUUAUCGUUGACGUUAGACCGAAUCAUAAGCGUGCCAACUUCAGUCGGCCAAAGAGGCUGUCCCUUGAUGCCCAUGACGUUUAAGCGCUCCCACAGCUCCAACAACCGCACGUUGAGAAGUUCUGAGCGGUCAUACGUUAUGUGAUGAGUGGCGGCUGAGUCCAGGAACCACCCCGUCGGAUGCUCACCAUUGUAAGCUGUGAACGCAACCUGCCGCGGGAAGCCUGAUCCCCUUCCAGACCCACUGGGCCCAGGCUUGCUGCCGCUAGCUCCACUGCCACCACCACCCAUACCUUGUCCACUGCCGGAAAUGGACAACUGCUUUAGUGCCUUUAACUUCCUGCAAGUUUUUAAUAUCGUGCCCGGGUUUUUUGCAAUAGUGACAAAACAAAUGUUUGGGGGGACCGCCAGAACUGCUGCUGGCCUCGCCGUGAUUCCUAAGACCAGAACCAGAGGCGCCAAACGUGAGACCGCCGACAGAAGCAAAAGCUGCCGACUCAGUAGGCUUACUAGACCCACCGCUAGCCAAAAGCUUGGAGGUGACGCUCGCCAUGUCCAAAUCACCGUCACGCACCAGCAGGGACGUCGUUUCCAUGUUGAAGCGGCUGGGUAGACCAACCAGCACUGUGUACGCAAGCUCCGAGUCGCUGAUAACGUGCCCCACUCCCAGCAAGUCUGAUUGUAAUUGCCGCGCACGUGCUUGGGUAGCGGCUCACCGUCGACCAUCUUGAAACGGCUGAACUCUUGACGGAGAGCUACCUUGCGUGCGUUAAUGUUGGCGACAAACAUCGCGGCCAAAGCGUCCCAUGCCCUCUUCCCGUUGUGAGCGGGGGUGGUUCCUGGACUUAGCCGCCACCAAAAGCCACUGUAAUACUUACACUGCGACCAGUCUCCUUGCCUCCUUCAUAUUCUUAACAUUCUUGAUGAGCAGGUUGAUAACCUUACGAGAUUGUCGAAUCUGCUCCUCGUUUCCCGGCUCGACGAGUAGGACUUGCUCAAGCCCAAGCUCCAUACACAGCGCGCUGAACCGAAUUUGCCAGGUGGCGUAGUUGUUGAUGUUGUUACAGGGUGGUUAAGCUUCACCAGUGGCCUCCUUCCCGAGGCAGUUCCCUGCUCUCCCCUGCUAGAGGGGCACCCUAAUCCAUUCACCCCAUCCGACUUCAGUAUGUACUCUUUGAGUUUGGCAACUCACCACCGGCAUCCAACCAAAUCUAGCGGAUCAACGGCGCGUCAACUUAGUUCCUGGUCAGCUCGCAAGUUGUUAUGAGCCCCGGCUCACGCUAGCAGCAUGUACCUCUAAUACUCGUAUUCCACAAUGGGGAAGGACAAGCUUGACGAGCCUCUGGACUUGAACAACUACGCCACCUGGCAAAUUCGGUUCAGCACGCUGUGUAUGGAGCUUGGGCUUGAGCAAGUCCUACUCGUCGAGCCGGGAAACGAGGAGCAGAUUCGACAAUCUCGUAAGGUUAUCAACCUGCUCAUCAAGAAUGUUAAGAAUAUGAAGGAGGCAAGGAGACUGGUCGCGAUGUAAGUAUUACAGUCGGUAGGUGAGUGGUGAACGGCAGGAAGACUUUAGGAGAUUCCUAUGAAGGAAUACCGAUCCAUACAAAGAUGAGAUACCAAGACUGGCAUAACUUGUGUCUUAUACACCAGUACCAAUCGAAGUAUCGUACAGUCGCCCACCAUCUAACUUGGACACGAGGACACGUCCGAGAUACGCGGCCGAGAGACCCGAGGCAAUGUAGAGGCACGUCCGGAUUCAUCGCCUAUCACGGCGGAUUCAUCGCCUAUCUACCACCUAUCUACGUUGGGAUAGGACCGCCCUUCAACAGAGAAAGGGUCAGUUCGAUGGGGUCAACGCCCCAGGAGCUCCAGGCAGUCCUACACGCACUUCAAUCCUUCAACGGUCCUGCAGGCCUACGACACCAAGUCGUCCGGGUGAAUACUGACAAUCUCAAUUGCGCCAACGUCCUCAACAAAGGGUCCGCAAAAGCCGAGGACUCGUACCGGAUUGCCUGCGAAAUGUUUUGGUACUGUAUUGCCGAGGGUAUCACACUGCAGGCGGAGUGGCGGCCGCGAGAAGAAAACACUCUGGCGGACUACCUCUCAAAGCUGCAGGACCGGGACGACUGGAUGGUGAACCGUAAGGAAAUUCAGAGGCUCAACACCGCCUGGGGUCCCUUUGACAUUGAUCUUUUCGCGUCACACACCAGCUGCCACAAUACUAUUCCCGCUUCUUCACGCCAGAUACCGCGGGUGUAGAUGCCUUUCGGUUCCACUGGGGACGGAAUUGCUGGGCGAACCCGCCUUUCUGUUGUUGAUGUUGUUACAGGGUGGUUAAGCUUCACCAGUGGCCUCCUUCCCGAGGCAAUUCCCUGCUCUCCCCUGCUAGAGGGGCACCCUAAGCCAUUCACCCCAUCCGACUUCAGAGUGUACUCUUUGAGUUUGGCAACUCACCACCAGCAUCCAACCAAAUCUAGCGGAUCAACGGCGCCUCAACUUAGUUCCUGGUCAGCUCGCGAGUUGAUUUUAUCACGUCCUACACCGUCCAUAAGAUGGGGAGCCUCCUCCCAUUUCACCACCUCUCAAACACCCGAGAGGUCGGCAGGCGGAUUUGAACCCGGGUAGACCGGGAGCAGAAGUCAGGCCUUAACUUCUGCCAGCCGCCUGCUUUCUGUUUGCUACUUAAGGUCCUGCGGCCGCCUGCUUUCUGUUUGCUACUUAAGGUCCUGCGGCACGCAGAGCUGUGCAAAGCACACAUCUGUCUUAUCGUUCCCCUCUUUUUGCCAGGGUCUUCGGGAAACGAGGUCCCAAAAGGGUCCGCUAACUGGCUAUCGCUCGCACUUCUCAUCGAUUUCCAAACCCAUUCCCCGCGCCGGAUCGCUGUGCCCCCCGACCCCUAUGCCCCCCGGUUUUCACAGGAGUAAGGGCACGCGUGCAGACACUGCUGGGCCAGGUGCCCGUGGACGCCAACCCAAUGAUCCUUUCCAAGUUACGUUAUCGCAUAAGCACCGCCUGCUGGGGGGCAUACUGGGGCACUCGCCCGUAGGUUAUGCGCACCUCCGUUCAUCUAUUGACUAAAGGGUUCGCAGCAGCCGAAGCGACGGGGGAGUGGACCGUGCACGCGAUUGAGGCACUCCCACACAUUCGGAGCAACGGGAAGACGACGUUUACAGCCAAUUUCUGCCUACACUAUUGGAGCUUAUUAUUGUUGCUCUCACUUCCCCCCCCCCCGCCCUCAGUGUCCCUCGUUUGUAAGCGGCAGGCCCGGCCCAGUUGGAGACCUGGUGGUGAUUAGGCAGUCCCCUCGGAGCGCCAGACGCACAGCUGUACUGUUGAGGAAACGGUCCUCACCCAACUCGUAUGGUUGUCGACCAGGGGAUCUGACCCCGGGUCUGCGCCUGACUAAUGGGGAAGACUUACCCCAGAACCUUAUGGGGCUACCGAUGCAUAUCCGGUAGCUAAGUGAUAGACAUUAGGGCACCGUCUGGACGGCGCAGUGAGAUCACGGAAUGUACGUGCAGUUAGAUCGCGGAAUGUACGAGUUUUCCGCUAGCGCCGGUAUUUAGGGCGGUGACUGCGCCUAUUAGUUUAUCUCACAACGAUCGGUAUUCCUACCAGGAAUCUCCUCAAGUCCUGCCGAACGCUAACAAUACUCUUUACAUUACUUGUAACAAGUUUAUCGUGCUAAAUAUCUUCGCCACCGGCAAUCCUUCCGGAAUAACAAUCAGCGUUAGCCGUCACCGUCGCCAAUUCUUCAAUAUGUACAGCGAUAACCGCAGGGCAAAUAAGUGCCUUUAGAGUAUCGUUGCGCGCUAGGAAUGUCGCCUGGUCAGCACCGCUGGCCAGGUUGUGGUUCGUGCGUCGCUGACGCUUCAGGUUUGCCCUCGGGGCGGGUGACCAGUGGACGCAGUUAUUAAUGCUGCAUUUAGUUGUCUUGUGCUGUGUGUCAGUUUUUUCGGCCGUGCGGUGUGGCCGCGCUAGACAGUGCGCUCAGACCGCGCCGAGUGGCGCUAGACCGCACUUCGGCACACAUGUGCGCCCUGGCGCUCCGAGAGUACUGCAGUACUGCAGUAGUGUAAGGCCCAUAGGGUUUGGCACUACUGGUAAGGCGCGACCAUUGCCCCCAGGAGAUCCCGGGAUCGAUACCCGGGUCACAGGUCCUUCCAACGGUGGGAGGCAUUGCGCCCCUAGUUGAUGGACGGUGGUGACCUGGGAUAAAGUUAACCGAGCCGACCAGGAAUGGAAUUGGGCCGCUGUCGACCCGGCAUAUUCCGUUGGAAGCUGGUGGUGGGUGCGUAACCUGAGCGAUCCACUGAGAAGUUGACUAGGGUGACUGGAUGAGGGUGCCCGAAAUGCCGGGGAAGGCAGGGUUUCGCAGGGUGGCUGCCACGGGCGAAGAUACCCCCCUGUUUCACACAUCUUUCAUAGGGCGGUAUUCCUCAACGGAAUCUCUUAAAAGUCCUGCCGAUCGUUACUCUGAUAAGUCCAAACUCUUCGCCGGCAUUCCCGUUUCGAAGUAACAGUCAGCCUCUGCCGCCGCCGUCGAUUCAUCAAGGGCAUCGAUGACACGUCCCUGGAGCUCGUAAGACUCCAGAAAGUGACAGAAAGAGCGUCUCGUGGUCCAGGGCAAAGGCCUCGCUGAAGUCAAUCUGCAUGACGAUGAGCUGCCUGGGGCCAGCUCUUGUGUGCUGAGAGAUGAAAUGCCUAAAUUCCUGAAGAAUUCCCGUCGAAAGUGAGAGCAAGUGAAAGAAAGGCAGGAACACGGCAGUGUUUCUGUCUUUCGUUCUUGCUCUCCUUUCUGAGGGCUACGGCUAGAACCCCCGUGCGUUCGUUAGUUCCUUCGUUUGUUCGUUCACGCGUGAAAGGGAAUGCUUGAAGGGAAUGCUUGGGCUUUUCAUGAGGAAAAAGAGGGACAGAUGGAUAGUCAGGCACUAUAGAACUUUGACUUCACUUGUUUAAGAUUGAUACGUACCUCAUACUGCUUUUCCCUGUUGCGACCUAUAAUAAUUUUCCAAAAGAAAAAGCGUGAGAUUACUGAGAAGCGGCCUGUUCAAAUCUUAGGCGAGUAAGCUCGUUUUGGGACAUUUUGUAACAAGUCGCCUGUUCAAGCAAGUAAAAGACAGACAUAUGUGGGUUUGGCACUACUAGUAAGGCGCGACCAUUGCCCCCGGGAGAUCCCGGGAUCGAUACUCGUUAGGGUCAAAAGUCCAUCCGCUGGUGGAAGGCAUAGCGCCCCUAGCUGAUGGACGGUGGUGACCUGGGAAAGUUAACCUGCGAGCCGACCAGGAAUGGAGUUGGGCCGCUGUCGACCCGGCAGAAUCCAUUGGAUGCUGGUGGUGGGUGCGUAGCCUGAGCGAUCCACUGAGAAGUUGACUAGGGUGACUGGAUGAGGGUGCCCCGAGAUACCGGGGAAGGCGGGAGAAGAUGGCAGGGAUGUGGAGGCGGCAGGGGAUAGAGGCGGCAGGGGAUGGAGGCGGCAGGCGAGGCGCGGCAGGGGAUAGCAAGUAAAAGAAAGGCAGAAAAACACGUUCCCGAAGAAAGUGAGAGUCAGUGUUUCUCAACACCAAGUAAGAAGAUCGGAAACACGUCUGUUUCCUUGGAUGCAUUCCCGAAGAAAGUGAGAGCAAUUUCCAAAGUAAAGUGAGAGCUAGUAAAAGAAAGGCAAAAAGAUGUCUCCUUGCUCUCCUUUCUGUCUGAGGGCUACGACACAGCCUGCCAUCCAUAGAGGCGGCAAGGGCGAAGGUGGCAGGGGAGGAGGAGGCAGGGGAUAAGGCGGCAGGGGAAGGAGGCGAUAGGGGAGGACACGGCAGUGGAUAGCAGGGGAGAAGGUGGCAGGGGAGAAGGUGGCAGGGGAUAGAGGCAGCAGGGGAGAAGGUGGCAGGGGAUAGAGGCAGCAGGGGAGAAGGUGGCAGGGGAUAGAUGCGGAAGGGUGUUGGAAAUGAUCGACACUCAUGCUAGUGAAUGGUAACUACACUAAUAGGACCCAACGGGGUCCGGCGCUUUGCUGGUCUUAACAAAGGGAGGAAGUGGCAGGGACGGAGGCGGAAGGGGAGAAGGUGGCAGGCCAGGACCAGCAGGGCUUAGAGGCGGCAGGGGAUAGAGGCGGCAGGCAAUGAGCGGCAGGAGAUAGAGGCGGCAGGGGAGAAGGUGGCAGGGUAGGAGGUGGCAGGGGAGGAUGUGGCAGGGGCGGAGGCAGCAAGGGAUGAGGCGGGAGGGGAUAGAGGCGGCAAGGGAUGAGGUGGCAGGGGCGGAGGCAGCAAGGGAUGAGGCGGCAGGGGAUAGAGGCGGCAAGGGAUGAGGUGACAGUGGCGGAGGCAGCAGGGGAGGAGGCGGCAGGUUAGUUACGAGGCGUCAGGGGAUAUAGCCUUGCGGCAGAAACUAAGAUUUAGUAUUGUUAGAAGUCCGAGUUUGGUUACGUUGUUUUCAGUUGUACACAAACGGAAGGCGACGUCGUGCACAUGGACACCCUAGAGUUGGGAGGAGGCGGCAGGCGAGGAGCAGGCAGGGGAGGAGGCGGCAGGGGAUAAGAUGGCAGGGGACGGAAACAGCAGAGGACGAGGUGCAGAGCGAGAAAGCGGCAGGCAAGGAGCAAUAUCCCACCUCUUUCUAGGGGCACAUAGAGCCGUAGGCUCCCUUACUCCCUUAUGUUAACAGAUGGUGCUCAGGUGCCAAAACCAUGCCUACAUCCAGCCUGACUUGCAGCACGGAACCCAUUCACUUUCACAGUACGUAUUAGGCCGCCGUGCAACUAAGUAUAGCUGCUAGACGUUUAGCUUGCUAAGUUACAAGUUACAAGUGCCGCACGAGGGGGGGUCCGUCAAAGCCGGGAGGCCAUGGACUAUAUGAUGUGUGAAACAGGGGGGUGUAUCUUCGCCCGUGGCAGCUACCCUGCGAAACCCUGCCUUCCCCGGUAUUUCGGGGCACCCUCAUCCAGUCUCCCUUGACAACUUCUCAGUGGAUCGCUCAGGUUCUGCACCCACCACCAGCAUCCAAUGGAAUCUGCCGGGUCGACAGCGGCCCAACUCCGUUCCUGGACGGUCGCGGCUCGCAGGAUAACUUUAUCCCAGGUCACCACCGUCCUUCAGCUAGGGGCACUGUGCCUUCCAUCAGCGGAUGGAUCUGUGACCUUAACGGGUAUCGAUCCCGGGAUCUCCCGGGGGCAAUGGUCGCGCCUUACCAGUAGUGCCAAGCCCUUAUUAUAUGAUUCGUUUCAAUAUGUGUGUGUGUGUUACAUGGUUGGGGGUGCGUGACCCCAUACCUGUAAAACUACCCAUACGAGCCGAAGGCCCAAGUGCAAUACUACAACGCCUAAAAGCCACGGAGAAAAGGAAACACCGCACAUCAGCCCAGACUAGCGUCCAAAGGGGGUAAUUGAGUUUCGGUGAGCCCACAUACGUUCCAACAUCCUCGCCAGACGUGCUGGCUCCCAUUCAUGGCCUCCAACAUGCUCUGUUGAUGACCGAAUCCCUCUUCAGCACGAAUAUCAUUAUAGGCUGGGCAUUCCAAUAACACGUGUUUUUCAUCCUCGAUUCGGCUAUUAGUACCACAACAGCGGCAAAACCGCUGCCCCCUGGGGACAUGGUACUUGCCUCUUCGUGCUCUGUUUGCCUCCAGAGCCCAGCAACGUCAACAAAACUGCAUUAGCUUACAAUGUGCUAAACGAGGAAUAAGACCUUAGCAUGUGUUGGCCACAUGACGGCUGCGGCUCCCGAAAAGGGCAGCUCCAUCCAGUGCCCUCUGGCAAGACAGUCAGACGCGUAUGGUCCCAGCCACUCAUCAAACGCUCUCUUAGUGCUGUUAUCAUCGCUCCUUCGGGUAGAGGCCUACUCAACAACCAGUCAACACGCUCCUUUACCCCCAUGACUUCUUGCGGUAUUCCGCUCCUAAUAUUGCACUCCAAGAAGGAAAACAGUCGUAACAUUGAGGUUCCCCAACUGGUGAAGCUUAACCGCCCUGUAACAACAUCAACAGAAUUGCUCGGACUUGGGUUGCAAAGCACCGCAUUCGCACGUCGGGGGCAAACAGCUUUAUUUUGUCCAGCUUUGCGCUUAAGGAAAACAUAGCGGACCGACCUGUAUCACAUAACUGCUGGCGGCACGCACUAAAAGGCCGUUCUGGCCCGUAUACCAAGCCCAGAUAGCGAGCGCUAUUUUUGGCAGGUAUUACCUGGCCUGAUAGCCGUAACUGUUGACAUCUCUCGAUAAGUUCCGACUGCUGGGUGCCAUCACAUGUAAAAACAAGCCUUUCACACUUCGAGACAUUUGGUCGCAUCCCAAAGGCUUCGCAAAACAAGCCCACAAGAUGUAGCAAGAUGUAGCAACUCAGACAUUCGCUCUAGUGACGUCGCUAGCAGACUAACAUCGUCUGCAUACAACAAGUAUGGAGACGCGCUUGCUGUCCACAAGGGGCGCGUCAUGCAUACGCAUUCCAGCUUCUAUAAGGUCGUAAGUAUCAAUCAGAUCAGCUAGUGUCUCAAUGAAGAGUCCAACAACUCCGUAGAUAAAGGAUACCCUUGCUUCACGCCUUGCUUAGACUCAAACGUUUGAGGUUGUGAGGUUGGGAGCCUUAGGGUUUUUGGACACUGGGAGGCUAGGAGAUAGGGAGACUGAGGGACUGGAAGACUGGGAGUAUUGGAUUUCUUGGAGACUGGGACACUGGCAGACUGGCGGACUGGGAGACUGGGAGCCUAGGAGCCUGUGUGACUGAGAGACUGGGAGACUGGGAGCCUAGGAGCCUGUGUGACUGAGAGACUGGGAGUCUGGGACACUGGGAGCCUAGGAGCCUGGGAGACUAAGAGACUGGUGGCAUUUGAGGCUGAGGCUGGGAGGUUUGGAGCCAUGGAGACUGGAAGGUUGUUAGGAUGGGAUCCUGGGUGACUCAGAGCCUGGAAGAUUGGGAGCCUGGUAGGCUGUUAGGCUGGGAUCCUGGGAGACUGGGUGCCUAAGAGCUUGUGAGGUUGGGAGCCUGGGACACUGGGAGGCUAGGAGAUAGGGAGACUGGAGAACUGGCAGACUGGGGGACUUGCAUUCCAUGUUCAGGAGAGGUGAAAUUGCUGGCAGAGAUGCUUGUGAAUGUAAGAAACCCUAAGACAGCAACCACCACCAAAAGAAAAAGAAAAGUAGGCAUGCAGCGACCUGACAGCUUUGGGGCCUGUGAGCCUGUGUUACUGAUAGCCUAAUAGAGAGCCUGGGUGCUUAGGAGCCUGUGUUACUGGGGGACGAAGACUGUUAGUGCCUGGGAGCUUGGGGGCCUGGGCCAAGGAGCGUGUGUUACUUGGAGCCUGGGGGCUGGGUGAAUUAGAGCCUGGGAGCAUGGGGCACUGCUUGUGUGUGACCCUAAGAGCCUGUCAGUCUGAGACUCUGGAAGUCUAGGUGCCUUGGAUGCUGAGAGCCUGGGAAACUAGGAGACUGGGAUCCAGGGGCAUAUGAAGUACUCAGUGCCGGGGGGCCACAGUAGGCCAUCAAUUGGCCGUUCUGCAGUAUGCCCCAUUUAUCCUUCAUUAAGUUAGGCGACAUGUGAUGUUAACUAGUUAUUGAAAGAUGGUGAACUCAAUUGGUACUUGCAUGCUUCUGAAUAAGUCAUAACAGAAUUCUGUUAUUACUAUUACAGGCUAAUUCGAUUUAGCCUGUCCGGUACAUAUAGACAGGAGUUGUGAAGAACAAUGCUGACAGUGCGAGCUGGUGGUUCGAAAUGUCUAGCUUGAACACAGCAUGAGAGAUUCUUUGCUAGUAAAACCUCAAGUAGAUGCCUUAAGUGUGUAGCAUAUGUCUUUAAGCAGCCCCUCGCACAAAUGUGUCCGGUCGUACUUCGCGAAUAGAGAAUCCGUACAUCUCGUCCCAAAAGUCAGGAGCGAAUUUUGCCGCGCAGAUGCGCGCGUGCGAUUCGCAAAAUGCGCCUGUACAAGUGUAUAUAAAUUUUCUUGGCGGAUGAGGACCGUUGCGCAGGUGGGCAUGUUGGCCAUAGCCGCACGCUGGACUAUUGCGUGGCUGCUUUGCAGUAUCUGAAAGCACCGAAAGCCUACGUCGUAGCUUGCAACACUGGGCUCGUGAAACUGCCGCGGGAAGAUGAAGCGUUCGGCGAAGAAGCAGUUGUGUGCAAGCCAUAAGGCGCCUGCUUUCGGUAGCGCAGCGCAUAAUGCACAUGGUUCCGACUAAACUCAACUUUCACUCUUACGAAAUAAAUAAUAACAACGCAGAAUUAGGUAAACAUAAGAAUCGCGAAAGUCGUUCAGAACCUUGCAAGUAAAAUGGAUGCCGCUGAGGGCUUGGAACAGCUAUUCGCCGCGAAUAUCGUGCCUGCGUUAGCCGUGUUGCAGCAACUACGAAAGGACUUGAGCCAGCAGCAAGCUAAAGAGCUGCUGAGUAACCACCGGCAUUGGCUUCAGAUGGGAACAUGUACUUUUGGUCGGCGCGGUCGAGGAGCGUACGCAUUGCGCACAGGUACCGAGGUGCAGCGUCUCAUUCACAUCGCCAAUAUAUCUGGUACGCGGUGGCCAAAACGAUGACGCCCCUGCCACGCUUGCCUAGCCCACACAGCAACUGAACACUUAACGCUUGACGGAUAAAGUCGGUGCUAGGCUUCGGCGCUAGGCUUCUGGACAUUGAGCGGUGCUGUUGAAUUUAGGCACGGUCGCACUUAGGGUUUCAUUCACGGUGCAUACAUGUCCAACAUUAACUCGUGUGUGAACGGUGCAGCGUUCUGUAACAUCGCCAACAUAUCCGGUACGCGGUGGCAGGCUUGCCGAGCACGAAAUGAAGGGGGGGUCGCAUCUCACCAUUCAACUAAGCAUGCAUGUGCUCGGUUGAAUGCUCGGUAGCGUGCGAGUUUACCCCUAUCAGGAUGUUUGUUUGCAUAUCCCUCCAAGCGAGAGGGCUUGGACCUAUGCUGAUGUUCGUUCCAAGAAGUGAACUGAGGACUGAUGCUACGGUGAAAGAUUUGCACGUAAAUUCGCCCGUGCGAUAAAACGCCCUGUAACUCGCUUACGCUAAUCUCACAGUCCAAUAUGCCACUGCACUUUCCUCUCCAGCCUGGCCACAUUCUCUUCCUCGCAAACGUACUUGGGCACCUUACAAUCCAACACCAUACGUGCUUUGGAAACGCGGGCAGCUGCUUCACAAGGACCCCCCUAUUUCAAAUUUAUAACAGGGUUUAAGGAAGGGGAUUGAGUACGGAUUGCCAACAGGCCAACAGGAUGAUGGCUGCCUUGCCCUGCUAGCUGGCAUAUACUGAUCUUUUGCAUUUGAUAAGUGCAGCUAAGCCUAAGGGCUUUGUUUACUGCCGCGCCUGAAUGCACAUCAGCAAUGCAAGUGCACUCCAGAAUCCCUGCUGGAUGCUGCAUAGUACAUUUUGCACAAUGGUUGCUAUGCAACAUUUCAGAAGGGUUUUCGGAGUCCAUAUGGCAUAUAAUUGUCAUUUUUUAGAAAGGAACAAAACAUGAACACAUAGCCAGCAUAUGACCAUUGGGAACAUGACUGAAUUUACACAUAUGAGUGGCGAUUCAUGAUCAGUCAUGCUGCACAAGGAGCAUGACAACUGUCAUGACCAUGACUCUGCCUCAUGACCGGUAACAUGACCGGUCAUGAGGCCUCAUGAGUGGUCAUGAGGCAACAUGACCAGAUCUAUGACAGGAAACCCCCCGCAUGACCACAUCCAUGACCAAGUCGUUCCCCGAGUUAACUCUCCCCCCACUUUCUCAUUUACCUUCAUCACCAUGGACACCUUCUCGUACGCUUUUCUCAGAGCAUCUAGCAUGGGGCCGCUAAGCCCCUCUCCUGCAACCGAAGCCACAUGUGCUCGCUAGGCACCCUAUCAAAGGCCUUCUCAAAGUCAAUCUGUACUAUUAUCAACGACGGCUGCCCCGCGAUCCGAUGCCGCCUGACCAGGUUUCAGGCGGGGUUUCGGCACCUGAAACCCGCUUGGCAUCGGUGCCGCAGGUCCAGUAUUUCCCCAGCACGUACCAGGCGGUUAAGAAUUACUGACGCAUAGCACUUCGCAAGUGCUCCUCCAACUGCAAUGCCCCGAAAAUUUCCUGCCACCAACGGGUCGCCCUUCUUCAAAAUUGGGGAUACCACCGUUUUGGUAAACUGCUGUGGAAAAUCACCAGUUGCCCUGAUGUGCUCUAACAAAACGUGCAGCACUGAGACGAUACAGUUCACCUCCGUUCCCCGCCUGCCCUGCUCAUCCACCCGUGGGAGGCACGCAUAACGGUAACAUUCCGAUGGUACGGCCUCAAGCCCAUGAGCCUUUCCAUUUGUUAACCUACUGACAGCACACGCUACCUCCUCUAAGGUGAAAGGCUCAAUGUGUGCAUGAUCAAGCAAAUAUACCACCGAUUUAAGAUCAGUGUAGAAGGGGUUAGCCAGAGCGCCGACCUGUACGACCCGUACAGUGGGUUAAGGGACCAUACUGGUUGCUGCAGCGAUGCUUGAGAGGAAGAGCGGGACGAGAGGUGCUGGAAUUUGGGGGGAACAUCAUGAGCAGCUUGCCCAACUAAAUCAUGUGUUAUCUUUGUAAAUGCUGAAAGGGUUGAACGUGUACGUAAUGAACGUGUACGUGUCUGAGCAGGCACCUUUCAUUCCUUGCCUGGGUGUGUUUCUGUGGCUUGCACGGCGUGUACAUAUGUACAGGAUAUGCUGGCAUAUGUGAUUUAAAAAUUUGAACAGCAUGACCACAUACCAGGGCUUGCGUGAGUGUGUGAUUGAAUGAGGGGCGCAUGGAGGAACCGACGGACGUGUGCCCUCGUGUACGGUACGGCUCUCACGCAGCCUUACAGGCAUCCACUCAAACCCACGUAAGCGUAGUAAGCUAUCCAAGUCAAAAUCGAGCAAAACAAGCAUGUAUAUGCCCAAAAUCAAAAUGUUUACAUGUUGAUAUAAAGCUCAUUUCCGGCCUUCGAGUUCUGAGCUGGUUACGCUUCGGUUUUAGGUGCACGGGCUCAAUACUGUUGGAAAUGACCGACACUCAUAUACCAGUGAAUGGUAGCCACAGUAAUAGGACCCAACGGGGUCCCGGCGCUUUGCUGGUCUUAACAAAUACACGCAUCAGGCGGUGAAGUCCCGGUUCAUAAAGCCUUGCAGCUGCCACCGCCAUCUCCGAAUACACUCUAUCUCCGAAUUCCAUCACUUGCCGCCACCACCAAUCUCCUUUGUGGUCUUGCGGGUGUAUUUCACCCUACUGGUCUCAACCUUCACAUUGCUCGUCACCUUUACUUGAUUCAGCUUCCGCUGGGUCAUGGUGGGCAAAACCUUCCCAGUCGCUGUGUAACCGAGGCCACUAGCCACAUCACCAUUGGCCACGGCACCGGCAGUCGAAGCCGCUACCGCCGCUGCCUCCUCCCGCAGCCCGCUGCCAUCCUCAAUUGCAAUGACGCCACCGACACCGCCAGCGACCUUGUCGUACGUACGGCCGCCAAAAGCUGGUGCCGGGGUGAGCAGCAGGAGCAGCGCCGCCAGCAGCAUGAGUAGCGCCAGCAGAACGGGGAGGUCCCAGCAGGCUGCGGCGCGCCGAGACGACGUCGCCAUGUUGCCGUACAUCACUGGUUGUACACGUAGCUGGCGGGCUUCAAAGAAGGUACGGCAGGGAUGGUACGGCGUAUCAGGGGUUGCAGACACCUGCAGGACAUAGCGGUUUCAAUCCAUUCCAUGGGAGUUACCUAGUAAUGGGACCGUUUGUUUCGCCUUGUUAGAUAACAGUGCCGGAGUGGUUCGGAUUAAGCAUCUUCAGUGAGGAAGCGAGUGAGGCGUUUGCGUUGUUAGUGUUGUGGAGGGUCCGACGCAAAAAAUGCUGUACGGCAGCCGGGUGGCCUGCAAUUCAUCCAGUGGGUGCCGACAGGCAGAGCAACACUCAAGAAUGCUGCCAGGCUUUGGCGUAGCAUUCUAACUUCUGGGGUCUAGCUUGUUAGGUCAAGUCAAGCUUUUGGUGUGUGCAUUAUUAUAGCAGCUGCCCGAUUCGACUGUGCCAGCUAGUCAGGCAAAGGAAAGCUUAGGAUAGCCCCGCCCCAAAACGAACACCCUAAGAAACCAAAACAGGUCAAGACUUCCUUGCAAGACAGAGCUCGGACAGUCUGAGACGUUUUUUUUCUGCGGCCCCUGUGCGAAAGGGUUUUACGUGACUAUAUGUGUACACAGAAACCUAAACGACCUGAUACAAUACCUUGUCGACCUCGCAGCUACCAGCUCGCCAACUCACCAGAUCGAGAAAGGAGAGAAGCUCGAGGUGGCUAUCUGCACCCGAAACAAAUUUUACUGCGGGGGCCUUUGCUGCCCGCGGUGCUUCCUAGGCAGCGUGGAGUUGUUCGGGACCGCUGGCUACUAUAGAUUGAUGCGGUUGCGCUGAUGCGAUAUAGUGAUAAUAGCGUGAACCUUUCCCACCUCCAUCCACUAAUCCCCUCUGCACGUAGGAGUGUCUCUUACGGCCGUACGAGAACACUUUGAUUGCUUUGGACCUUGGGGCACAUGCUGAACCUUGGGGUCCAACGUCCUUCGAAGGACUCUUUUCCCCUUCAAGACCAGGACCUGCCCCCGAGGAUGACCUUGAAUGGGACAACUUAGCCAAACACCCUAUCAGGGCGCUAGAGAAAUAUUUUAACUAACCACCGCUCGGCCAUUUGUUAAUCGGCCACAUGGAGCACCGACAGCAGCCCAUCGACAGGAUAUGUAAGCUGCGUGUUGACCUGUAAAUGGGAUAUUAUUGCACUCCCGUGCAUAGGGAGUAAUGCGUUUGUAACGACACUGAAUGCCACAUUAUGUAUAGACCUUAUGUAUCUAUAAUUAUUUAAUCUUAAGAGGGGUGUGUGUGUCGGUGUGUGUCGGUGUGUGUGGUCUCGCCAAACCCAGGGAAGUCGUCCCCGGUGCAGCAGAAAAGAUUGAGCUAUCGUGGUGGGUGGUCCCAACUACCCUUGUCGUUAGAGUCUUGCAUAGGCGCUCUAUAGUUAAACAAUUGCAGUUUUAUUCGUUGUUGAGACGACGUGGUACCACGUGGCGCACCGGUCGGUUGAUGGUCGGCGAAAUGCCUCUGGAAUAUCUUCCGGUCUAUGUAUCCCUCCUACCCUAGCAGGAUUUAGUGUAAUUAGGGCUGGGAAAAACACCGUAAUCCCAUAAAAUGGACCGUAAUUGCGAAAGGUGUAAUGCGCAACGCCGUAAAUACCGAAAUUUACGGUGGGUUCCGGGGCAAAGUGGACCGUAACGAUUUACGGUCCUCGUUGUCGGAGCCAAAUCCUUUCUUUUCUUUUAUAUAACGAUAUAUAAACUUAUUUCAUACCUUUUUACAUAGUUUUAUCAGGGUUACUUGCACCUAAGCUUGUAUUUAGCCGCGAUAUGGGUGACAUCCAGGUGACAGUGGAGGGCCAGCAGCAGCGGGACCACCUUGAUAACAGUGGAACUAAGACCCAGGUGCCGCUGCAGCAACAGAAUGACACUGAGGAGGACGCCAGCAGCGAUGAUGACGAAAUGCCCCUAGCGGCAAUGCGCAGCCCAGGAGGCAGAGGCUGACACUGUUACGCACGUUCGGCCCGUAUAUAUUAGGAGCAUCAUUCUUGGUUGAGGAUUUAGCAUAUGGCAUGAUGGCAUACAACAGAUGCAGUACUCGAUGCGCGCGCGGUGCUCCGGUAACCGGAGUCCGGUUGAAAUGUUUUCGCCUCAUUCAGCAUUUUUUGGCUGUCUUUUGUGAUAAUUUAAUCAUAGGUUAAUGUAUAAUAAGCUUUUUAAGACUAUCCCGUAGCUCCAAGGGACGAAAUGGCAUGUUUCGAGGUGUGGUCGUCGGUAUUGGCUCGCACGCUUACGGUCCGACCGUAAUUUGGACCUUUUGGUAACCGUAAUUGCAUUACACCGUAAGGACCGUCAUUUUACUGUGUUUUUGGGGGGUCACCGUAAUUGCGAAAGGUGUAAUGCGCAACUCCGUAAGGACCGUAACCGUAAUUCCCAGCCCUAAGUGUAAUAGAUAGGGACCGUCCGUGUCUAUUACACCAUGACACGAUCUGUAGACCAUGACAGACUUGCAACCCCCCGGGGGACAGCGAUCCAGGACAGCGAAAACCUUGCAGGGCCCACCAUGGCGGCUCUGGCCCCGGGGGGCAUGUCCCCGGAUUCAUGUCCCCGGACGGACAGACCAGACAUGUCGCGGCUUAGGCGACAUUCGUCUCGCCUUCCUAGCGUCCUAGAGUCCACCGAUGCGCCAAAUGUGCGUUUCCGAGCUCUGGAAACAGCGGACAUUCCCCGCCCUCCUCCCUCCCUCGUGGGUUGGAUCUGAGGUGGUUCCAAUGGUGGUUACUGACGAUGGAACUGGAGGGUGGCUUUGUGGUGGGGCGGGGCAGACGCAAGCUGGCACAGAUAGCCUAUUCAUCCACCCGUAGGAGUCUUCUUAUGUUGUGGGUUCAAGCCCCAUAGCGGUCGAAGUGGAUGGCGGUGACGGACAGAGCCCUGAAGAGAAAGUGGGAGCUGGCGCGGGCGCCAUUGCCCUCUAGCGCGGGCCAUAGCGAGUUCGGUUAGUCGGUUGCGUAGGGUGAAGACUCCAUCCCCUCCCCUGCAACAUCCAUCCUCCCUUUUACAAUACGGGACACAGUACGACCCCAAGCCCAAUUCAACCCAACAGAACUGACCGGCUAUGAAAGGGAAAUCGUAGAACGGGCAACGAUCGAACGGGAAAUACCCACAACUUCUCAACAGUCAUAUGUCCAAUUUAAAGCAUCCUUGCAUCACGGCCGCAUGUACGGCACUGUAACCGCCCUUCAAGCACCUAACCGCCCGAUGCCUUCACCCGCGAAUUUCUUCACCUUGAUGAAGCUAACACUGAAACAAACAAAGGGGAUGUUGAAGACGGUGUUCCCGCCCCAAAACGUUACCUUGGGACUUGGCGCUUUAGUCUUACGGCAGCCGUACGGCAAGCGGUAAAGUCCCUCACGGGCAUUAGUAAAGAAAGGCGAAAAGCCAGCACAGUCGGUCCUCUUUAUUUUGCCAUGUGUCGUGCAGUGUAGCAUUAUUAUUUCCAGUGUUGGAUUAUUAGUGGUCCAUCUGUGGGGGGUCCAUGUUGACCUGUGUGGUGUUACCCACCCCUGUUGGCCCAUCGAUGGCUGCUGCUGCUGCUGCAUGCCACGGCAUUCUCUCUCAAUCAUAUAGGUUUCUGAACUCAUGCACACUCAGAAAAGCUACCGCAAGUACGGCAGUCUCUUAAGGUACGACAUUCAAGCGGACUCGGAGCGAAGAUUAUCCCAGUCUUUAAUCCAGAGCAGUCGCAAAAGCAGUACAUGAACGGCGCGCUCGUCCACUCUCUCUCUCUCUUCCGUCCCUUGUCCCGCUGGGCAUAGGGCCCCUGCAACUGACAAUCACCGUCUCCCACCACACAGGACAGGACACAUCCUGAUAACGAAAUCGAUCUAGUUACAAAACUACGUUCUCAAUAUUGAAUCCGCGGCUUUCUAGUCGUGAAUACAUCGUGACUGACCGUUGCGUUUUCCUGUACUGGCAUCUCAGGCAAAAUAGGACCUGUUUCCCUGUACUGGCCCCUUGUCCGUAUCAGACAAUAUUCAGACGCGUGGCCAUGUGCUCUCUUGCCCCUGUCUGUUCAGAUAUACUCCCACUAAGCACCGAAUGAUUUUUUUCAAGGGACGCCCGUCAAGGGACGCCCGUCAUGUGAACCCUCUAUAAUACCGCCAAAAUCCCUCCUACUGACACUAUUCUCAGCAGCGAAGGUUAUAGCAGCAGCAGCAGCAGCAGCAGCUGCAGCAGUGGUCGCAGCAGGCGGGGGGUGUCCCCGCUUCAAAUUACGCAAUGCUCUCCGCAUCCGCCGCCCUCAACCGAUAUCGUCUGUAUACAUACGUCUGUAUCUUUGUACCCACGUCCGUACCCACAUCAAAGCGGCGGGAUAGCGUCCAGUACGCCGCCGCCGUCGGAGUCGUCCGCCGCUCCGGCCGCCCUCUCCGGCGGCGGGCUGUAGGGGUGGCUGCCGUCCAGGGACAGCCGGGUGCCCUCCGCCGCCGUGAACUCUCCGCGGAGGGCGAGACGCUCCGCCCGACGUGCCACAGCACCCUAGCAGGAGAAGUUUCGGAGCGAGCGUGGAAUCGGAUUUAUGAUAAUGAUUUUAAAAUCGUUAUGUUUGUUAAGGAUAAAUAAUGUUAUCAUAUAAAUAUGAUUAUUAUAUUGUUAAAGGGUAAAUAAAAAAAUUAAGGAUAAACAAUAAUGAUAAUUAUUAUAUAUAAUGUUGUUAUGCCAUCAACAUAGAGACGGUUGAUGAUGAGGCGGAGGUAAGGAUGCGUACGGAAGGGGAGGCGUGUAAGCGGCACGCCAGCACGACUGGGAAUAGAAUUUAGAGAAGUUGGGGGCGGCAGUGCGAUACGAUACGGGAGCGAACGAUAGGACGCAGAGUUUACAUUAUUGAGUUCAGCCGCUUUGGAGCCGCGGUCGGUCGGUCGGUCAGUCGGUCAGGGCAGUACCAGCAGCAAAAACAUACCGCGGCACACAUCGCGCAUUUAGCCAUAUUGUCAAUACAGAACAGGUUCGUACUCUCAAUCAACAACCGGCAACUUUCUGUACGGCAGACUCACCUGGUAUCGGAGCAGGUCGGGCGGUUCCUGCGGGUCCAGCUCGAAGGGCACCUGGCGGGGUACCAUACGGUACAACAAACCAGUACGGCAGAGAAAUCGAUUGACAGUAGACGGGUUUUAAAGCGGUUCCUGAUACGUACGGCACAUCGGGGUUAACUCUCCGCACCAUUGGGAUCCACACGCGCCUCUUCCGGUCCCCAACACACAGUUUCAGUACACUUCGUACGACAGUACGAGUACAACUUGCGUGCUAUAAAACCUUCACAUGUGCCGUGCCAGUUGUGGAUAAGACCAUAUGGCCAUACGUAGGACAUGGCAAUCCCGGAAUUUCUGCAGACGUACACUGGUCGAUACCGGCACAGGCAACCACACCCUACCAGACAUACACCGCACCCUCAGGCACACAGUAUGACAUACACUUCCAUACUGCCGUACCGUGACUGGCGACCCGUGCCGCUCGUCCACAGCUACCACCGUGACGAAGGCAUCGGCGCAAUGAAAGAUGCCGCCCCCCUCCUCGCCGCCGCCGCCGUUGGGCCCUUCCGCUGCCGCCGCCGCCGCUUCGGCUGCCUUGACGGCGCUGCUUCCCGCUCCCGCAUACGGGCUCUCUCCGAAUACACUGACCAUCACCUCGAGGCUGCUCCCGAAUAUGGCCGUGACCUGCCGGUCAGUGCGCCAUUCACCGCCCGCCGGGGCCCCACCGUGUUGGCCCAUUACGCAGUCGAGGGGGAGGGGGAGAGGACACCGCUCGUAACGACAUGUGACUGACACGCACGUGCACAUACAUACAUACAUACAUACAUACAUACAUACAUACAUACAUACAUACAUACAUACAUACGCUGACAAAUGUUGCCCCACGGUAGCCACUUCCCGUCAGUUCUAAGUUCCCGUACACACCUCGUGAAGAGUUAGCCCCCAGCAUAAGCACGCACGCACGCAUACACAACAUGUGUACAUACAUACAGGUAUACGUACAUACAUAGCAAACCCUAACGUCGCACGCACGCCAUCACCACCGCACCGGUGAAACACGCACCCCGCCUCCACCACCCUCCCCCCCACUACCCCAUUUGCCGUACUUGUGCCGUGAUGUAGAGUAUGUCCCCCACGCGUGUGGGUUUCACGAACGACACGCUGUCCAUGGCGGCGGUCAGCAGUGCGGGGGACCUCAGCCGAGAGGCGCUGAUGUAGGCGCACUGCUCCAUCCAGCUCAUCACCUUGCGGGGUGGGGUGGGUGGGUGGGUAUGUUGAUAUGAGAAUGUCGCAACACCGCCCCUAACAGCAACCCCUAAUUUACUGCUGUCCCGGUGUCAGAAUACUAAUUAUGAAAGAGCGGCAGAGGGUCAAAAGAGGCCAAAUCGUGAGGUGGAUCAAAAUGCAUCAUAGCAUUAAGGCAUUUGGGAGCCAUGGGGCUACAUGUACAUUUCGAUAAGUGACGACUGUUUUCGGUUUACCCUCCGUGCCGGGGGUAAAUAAGCCGGUAGUUUAUCACCUUUUCCAGGACAAAUAUAAUAAAUUUCUAGAAAUUAUGCUGGCAAUCGCAAUGAUUUAUAAAUAUUUAGUUUUUGGUAACUUCCAGGAUAUUAUGAUUAUUAUCAUUAUCAUUAUCAUUAUUAUUAUUAUAUAUUAUUAUUAUUAUUAUUAUUAUUAUUACCAUCAUCAUCAUUAUCAUUAUUAUCGAAAGUUAAGCCUAUAGAGGAAGCGGUGAUGAAGCAUCCCCUGCUUAUUAACGCCUGAGCAAUAGGCGUGUGUGUGUGUUUGAAGGGGGAAUGCGGAAGGGACCGGGGGAUUGGAGAGGGGAAGUCAGUUGGAGGACUUACACACCCGACGUAAGGAGUCGAACAAAGUGAAGAAGGGAGAGGGGGGACGGAGGUGAUGAUAGACUAGCGACCUCGUGGCGGAUUAAUUCGGGCAGAGGAGGAGGGGUGGUAAGGGGGGGAGGAGGGGUGGUAAGGGGGGGAGGAGGGGUGGUAAGGGGGGGAGGAGGGGUGGUAAGGGGGGGAGGAGGGGUGGUAAGGGGGGGAGGAGGGGUGGUAAGGGGGGGAGGAGGGGUGGUAAGGGGGGGAGGAGGGGGAGGAGGACAGAAGCAUGCCCGGGCGCGCCCCGAGCAGGAAUGUAACCGCGAGCGGGAGAGGUGGGGGAUUGUUGUGUUUGUGGGGAAGGGAGUGAUUGGGGUAUGUGGACGUGCGGGUGUCCCCAGUUAUGACAUACAUACAUACACACAUGUUCCUUUUCCGGCCAUCCCAAUUAACCACCCAGCACCUACCCGUCAUCACACCACAUUACUUCCCCCCACCCGCCCCCUCCCCCUUCUUCCCCACACCCCACCUGCCCUCCAAACGUAAUGUUCAACGUGUUGGCGUGUUGCGGCAAAAUAGAUUGCGUCAUGUAGGCUGUCGUACAACCCGGAUUCACCCCCUGACGGUACGGCGGCGGCGGCGGCACUGGCAGUGACGCCACCCGCUCCACCUCCUCGGCCACCACCGCAGGAGCUCCACCACCGGCGUGAAUCCGGGGUGAGCGUCUCGCGGGCGAUGAGCGGUCGUUGUGGUGGUUGUGGUGGUUGUUGGGUUGUGGGAGGGUGACGGCUGGCGGCAGUGUGGGUCCCCCCUCCCGGUGGGUGAUGGGCUGCAGCCUGAAGGCGUGGCGGUGGAGGCAGGCAGGGGAAUGCGGUUGUCGGGUGGCGGUUGGGGGAGCGGUUAGCCGGGUCAGCAGCAGAGGCGGCGAACCGGAUAUAGCGUUAGUGGUUACCGCACUUUUGCAGUACUUCAGUUGUCGCAGCUAUAGCAGUAGCAGUAGCAGUAGCAGACGGAGAAUACCAUACGGGUCCACAAUCACUCACACUGAAUGAAGCACCAGGCAAUCCCGAAACAGACAGACAUACUGAGGAACUAAACACACAAUCCACAUCCAGGAUUUCAUGUCCUCGCAAUCCACAUACAUACAUACAUACAUACAUACAUACAUACAUACAUACAUACAUACAUACAUACAUACAUACAUACAUACGUACAUACAUACAUACUAGGGUUUGGCACCACUGGUAAGGCGCGACCAUUGCCCCCGGGAGAUCCCGGGAUCGAUACCCCUUAGGGUCAAAAGUCCUUCCGAUGGUGGAAGGCAUUGCGCCCCUAGUUGAUGGACGGUGGUGACCUGGGAUAAAGUUAACCUGCGAGCCGACCAGGAAUGGAGUUGCGCCGCUGUCGACCCGGCAGAUUCCGUUGGAUGCUGGUGGUGGGUGCGGAACCUGAGCGAUCCACUGAGAAGUUGACUAGGGUGACUGGAUGAGGGUGCCCCGAAAUACCGGGGAAGGCAGGGUUUCGCAGGGUAGCUGCCACGGGCGAAGAUACACCCCCCUGUUUCACACAUCAUACAUAGUUCAAAUCCGCCUGCCGACCUCUCGGGUGUGUGAGAGGUGUUGGAAUGGGAGGUGGGCCCCCAUCUUAUGGACGGUGUAGGACGUGAUAAUAUCAACUGCGAGCUGACCAGGAACUAAGUUGAAGCGCCGUUGAUCCGCUAGAAUUGGUUGGAUGCUGGUGGUGAGUUGCCGAACCCAACGAAUACAUUCUGAAGUCGGAUGGGGUGAACGGAUUAGGGUGCCCCUCUCGCAGGGGAGAGCAGGGAACUGCCUCGGGAAAGGGGGCCGCUGGUGAAGCUAUACCACCCUGUAACGACAUACAUACAUAGCAACCAUAAACUUGGCGCAUCAUUUGAUCUCCUUAAGGCUUUUAAACCUACAGACCAGCAGUCCGCAGCUCCGAACCAACCUGCACACCCGCUCUGCCUCUCGCAGCUCAGGAUUCCGCCGUACCCGUGUACGGCGCUCCAGCCGCUGCUGCCGCCGUACCUCCGCGCCCUCCCACAUGGCUCGAUGCUCCGGCGUUGUCGGGUAAACCCGGGGGAGACCCACCGCAAACCCGGGCGUGGCCGUAUCCGUACGGGGUCGUACGACAAAUGUAAGAUGCGCCGAGCAGCAGUGGUGUCGUACGCCCGUACGCAUAUCCUCGCUCUCAACCACCACCGCCACCUGCCGUUUCAAAACACGUCGACACGGUUUACACACCCAGCAACCCCUCGGACCCGCGGGGGAAUCCGGUCGUGAUGGUGAUGAUGAUGAUGAUGAUGAUGACGAUGGUACGACAAUGGUCAUGGUACGACUAUGAUGAUGGUGGGCCCACAAGGGGCGUCUUUAGUGGAAGAGUGUAAAAGGUCGAUUAGGCGGUGUGGGCUGAAGGAGGAUGACAUACCCCCACCUCCAGGCUCGUGUUGAAGGUUCUUGAGACCAUGGCCGCGAUGAUGACCACACAGCCCAGUCGGCAGGGGCGCAAGAAGUGUACGGCAUCCACGGAGGCCGUGACACAGGGCCCAUGAACGAGUGUCUUGGCGGACAAACCCGCACACACGUCGAUCCAGCUAAGAACCUACUGGGGAGGAAGAGGGGGAGGGGGGGAGAAUGCAAAAUCGGCGCAAGGGAAAAGGAGGGCACCUAACUACUAAGGAGGGGUAAGGGGGGUCCAACGGAACGUGUCGUGAGUGUGUACGACAGUACAUACAUACAUCCAGAAAGAGAGACGCACAUACGCGCGGUCGGGGCCGUAGAGGAAAGAGACCCCUAUGGUCAGGGGAGACGAAAGAUGAGAGGGACAUGCGCGUGUCGUGUUUUGUUUUGUUGUGCGUUGGUUGGCUCCCACUCCCGCACUGUCCUUCUCUAUCCCCUAUCCGACAACCCCCACCAGUGAACCUCCUGUGUGCGGCGUUUGCCUCCUCGUUGCUGUUCCAUCAAAGCCCCCUCCCCUCCCCUCUCCCUUCUCGCCCCCACCUGUCCUCCCGUACAAAUACCCAGCUGGUUCACGUCAGCCGGCAGCACCAACUGGUGCAUCACCACGCGGGUAGCUGCCAUGGCGACGCAAAUCCCAACCCCGCCACCAUCCCCCACACCCCCCGAGCCCCCGCCAGCUCCCCCCCUCAAAACCCCAGACCCCACUCCCCGCCCUAGUGAUAAAUCCCCUCCGAGACCAGAGGCCUCAGCUCUGGUCCCGAUGGUUCCGAAUCUGGAUCCAGAUCCGGAUUUGGGGCCAGCAGCGGCGGUGGCUGCAGGGACAACGACUGUGGUGGGAUCCAGGAUGGGAUCUGAGUCAGCGGCCACUGGGGGGGAUGUUGUGUAAGCCACGCCGUGUAAAUGCCGAUGGGUGGCUGGUACGGCGGCUGUAGCUGGUACGGUCGUGGCACCGCCGUCAUCUGGUGCUGUUGAAGGUGGAGCUGCCGCCACCGGCGGCAGCGGCGUCGUGGUCGCAGCGUCCGCCUUCAACAGCGAGUCCGUAGCGGCAGCGGCGCCACCGCUCGGUCGUACAUCCCCUGGGUCUCGGAGCAGCUGCUCAGCUGCUACUGUCAACUGCUGCUGUUGGUGUUGGUGUCGGGGGUGCUCGGCUGCCGGUCUCAUGGCCCCUGGCGGGGGGGUGGAGCCAUCCGUUAAGAGGGCCGCAUUGGCGAUGAUGGCGUCGGCGUCGACGACAGCAUCAGCGGUGGCUGCGUGGGCGGCAAGAGGCAUCAGAAGCUGUGGGGCUGAGGAGUAGGACCAGCAGAAUGGGAGUCAUUCGGCGCCGUAAGCAUCAAUCCAUUUCGAUUUCCAGCUGUCUGAUUAGAAAACAUUUACAGCCUUAGCGGAGGAGGGCUUGGGAGGUGGGUAUUCUAGCAGAAAAUGGAUUGGACGAAUUUUCUACGACUCCCCAAGAGGAUAGCCGCUUACAGCUGUUGAAGGGCAAGUUGGGGGUAUCGUGCUUGGCAGUCAAGCCGCAACGCUGGGGCCCCGGAAAAGGGCUAUGGAAAACGUUUACGAAACGGGCAGCGAAGCGAGCAUAUGACAAAUACGGAAUUUUGUGCCUUGCAAAGUCGGAGGGACAAGCGAAGAAGAUGCUGGGCUCGGCCGUUUUGGUGGUUGAGAAGGUAUCCGAAUGUUGCUAGGUGACAAAGCAUACUCGGUUUGCGAAAAAUGUCAAGUGUGCAGCUAACGAUCACCUGCGGCUGAGAGCAAUGUGUCUUGUCGCAAGACCGUUGGGAUGGUGGCAAGGACGGCCUGCAGAAGUGUCUCCAGUCUCGCUACCCUCUGGCGGAGCUCAGCGAUCUCUGAGCAGGUGCAAUAAUCCGCCGGCCCCUUCAAGCCCUUCUCUUGAAUGGGGUUCAUGAGUAUUCGCGCUCUUUCGCUCACUUGCCAGUUCAAUCAAGUGCUGUGAUCCCGUCUUUAUGCAUCUUUCAUAUCUUGCGCAUCUUUCAUGUCUUGCUUCAGUCCCAAGCUAUUGAAAACCCCGCUACUCCGCUUUCUUUUUCCGCCAUCGCAGGGUUCAGAAGCUGCACAGAAGGUCUUUGAUGUAACAGCUUAGCGAAAUGGACAGCAAUUGAAACAAUUUCCCCCCGAAAGGAGCAACUGGCCUGUUUUGGUGGUUAGUUGGUGAGGUCCGUACAUCCACGCUAAGGAAAAUUGAGCAAACUGCCAAGGAAGUUCUUACCCGCAGGAUCAGCUGAUUUGAGCUGUUGGAGGUUGAAAGAACCUUCAAUUGCCGUUUGACGCACAGAUGUGCAACCAAGCCAUCCAUGUGGCAACCAGAUACAGCCCCAGCCAAUUACGAAACAUGACAAUGUUGCGUAUCCCUCAUCUGCACCUUGUUACCGAAUGUGUUUAUUGUAUUUACCCACCGACAGCGGGCGCCUCAUCCGCCCUUUUUACGCGCUCGUUCACUCUUUUUCGGCUUCUUAACUCGAAGGUGUCUUAUUGGGACAGUUUUGUUGGAUCCGUGAUCGAGAACGCUAGCGACGUCGACGACGUGGACAAGUUGGAAAUGCGACUACUCGUCGAGGAGCAGAAAAUCUUCGUUGUCGUCCGUCGGAGGCCAAGAAGUCGUCCGUCAAGGGGGCCUACAACGACACAUGGCAGAUGCCACACAAGAAGAAGGACAACCGCAAGUGUUACUACUGCAUGGAGCAGGGUCACUUAGUCGCGAAGUGUCCGAAGCUUAAGCAGGGCUACCCGCCACCGCCGCCGCCUCCUCCACCCCCCCCAGCCUUAUAUGCGCCAGCUGCAACAACGAUAAACAACAAGCGGAGGUGGAGCCGCAGGCCCAUGGCAUGUGGCGGGGCCUAGUUGGAGUCAUCAACACGCCUGGGAAUGUGGGUGCAGAGACCUGGUGAAUGGCUUCUUGACACGGGAGCUGAGGACUACCUGACCUUCAGUCCCGAGGAUGUGGAAUACUUAACACCGGUGCGCGAGGGCAACUACACCCGGGCCUCCCUCCUCAAAGCCAGGCGGUUGAUUUACGUAGAUUUCCUCCUCCAAACCGCCAUUCAGAAACGCCAUUUUGAUAGUGCACAAGGUGGUGCGGCGACUUAUCGGCACUAAAACCUCCUGAAAAUCCACACCCUCACGUUGCAUGAAACCCUUAACAACCAGGUGCACUUUGAACCACUCCAUUGCUCUAUGCUUAUCGUGCUUUACCGAAAACACCCACUUGACAUUGAGAGUCCGGGUAUGCUUAGGCUUCGGCACUAAGGACCAAAUGCCCUUUAUAUGCAACGACUCAAGCUCCUCAAGCAUCACAGCACGCCAGAACUCGGCAAAGGGGGAUGCCAUGGCUUCAGUGUCCGUAGUGAUUGUGGCACUGAGUGUGUGAACAAGCACCUUGCUUCUUUCUUUUCCGAUAGAUGCACUGUGCACAAGAAGUCGGCUCACACCAGAACAAAACGGAGCAGCAGAGCGCCUAAACAGGACUUUGCUGGAGCAUGUCCAAACCAUGCUAGUUGAGUCGGGUGUCCCUCAGGAGCUUUGGGGAGAAGUGGUAGUAACGACAAACCUCAUGCAUAACGUGUGUCCUGUGGAGGGGACUGUGUGGACACCAUGGGAGCUCUUCAUGGGAAAGGCCCCCGAUGUAUCUAAGCUGCGAAUAUAUAUGUUGUGUGGCCUACAUCCAGAUCCCUAAAGCUUCCAGGAAGAAGCUUGACCCAGUCUGUGUGAAAGGUGUCAUGUUUGGAUAUGAACCCAAGCUAAGUUCGUGGCAUGUUGGGUCCUGCAUGAGAACCAGAUUCACAUUAGCGUGGACAUGGUUUUUGAUGAAGGAACCAUUUUGAAUCCGGGCUGAACAGCUAGCCAGACCAAGACACCGGGACAAGAAACCCAAACGCGUUAGUUACAGCACGACUAACAAGAACAAGGCACCGGGGACGUGGACAUAUGGUUGGGGAGGAAAGACGUCCAGCCUGCCUGCCAGAGCGUGCAUGCUACUUCGUGCGGCCCUUCCGGGCUACCGUGCUCUUCCGCAUUGGUAACCAGCAGGCAGCCGACAGCCUCGCUUGGGUUACUUUGGCCCCACGCCUAACCCAGCGAAACAUCCCCCCUCACCCAGUCGCGUCACAUUUGCUCCACCACUGUCCGCCUCACAGCAACGGACCGGCGAAUGCAGACCAGCACCACAACGGACCUCCACCACCCGUGCGAAUUAAUCUCAUCUAUCCUCAGCUCCGGCUCGUAUCCCUGCAAUUCUCCCAGCAAUACAAGCAGCUUGCCAGCAAAAUCCCUGCACUGGCAAGCCGAGCCCCGCUUGCACGGCCAAGUGAUUCCCUGUACAAAGAGUGGGAAGUGAACUCUGGCCGUUCUCAUGCACUCCAGGUGCCGCUGCACUAUGUGAGCGAUGGGGAUGCCGCUCUGGGUGAGUGCUGCCAGGCCCACCAACGUGUCCGUCUGGCUACAUACGACCUGCAGCCCCACACCCCCUCCCGGCAACUCCUCAAUGCCGCCCACUGUCAGGGCCGCCAACUCGCUCCUCCGGAGCAUCCCGAAAAACCCCAAAACCAGCCAGCAGGCGUCCUGGGUGAACUCCAUCGCCCUCCGCGGCUCCGCAUUUGCCCUGCAUCGUAGCCACACCAUGAGCAGCUCCAGCACCCCCAGGGGCAGGGGUGCCUUCAUCUUGGUCGGUGCCGACUCCAGCCUCACAGCAGCCCUCCGCAAUGCUUGGCCCAGGGUUCGCUUGACCAGCGGAUCGUGGCUGAUAUCUGCCUCUGGCGAGACUCCCAUGAACCGCUGCCAGUCCGCCAGGACGCUCAGUGUGCCGGUGACGGUGGAGGUCGCGUACCGGCCAACUGCAUGCGCUAUGAACAGACACACCAGGUCCCGAUUGAGGUCAGACCCACGCUGGCGGGGCCGGGCAUCCGCCUCUGGCACCCCUGCGACCUUCAUGCAGAUGCAGAAGCGCACAAAGCGUCGCCACCCCGCCUUGUAGGUGACCGAUGAGCUGUCUGCGACCGCGCUGUCGUGUAACACCACAGUCAGCUGUGCCAGUUCCUCCGUAACACUCCCAUGUGCCACUGAUCCGAUACCCUCCGCUGCAAGCAAGCAAGUGGUGCAGCGGUACCAACCGCCGGGGUAGGCGCCUGGGGCGAUUCCUCCCUCAAGAAUUCCCCCUUCACCCAGUCCAGAUGGCCAAAACACAAACGUCAGCAAGACGCCUCCUUAUCCCCGAGGAGGGGGCCGACAUCGCAGUGCGCGCCCCGUCUAUCGCCUGACGGGGAGGGCAGCUCUAACCCGCAGCGUGUGGGUUCCCUCCAACUGGGCUAAACGUCACACAGACUCCUUAUCCCCGAGGAGGGGUCCGGGAGGCACUCACUGCUGUUGUAUCCACUUCCACUGUUUAGGUGGUAGUGAAAACUACCGAUUAGUGAAUGGAGGGAGGCUAAAUGCCUCUGCGUUAGGACGACUCGUACAGAAGUCUGUACGAUCCGAGAAUAUAGUCGUCAACGCGAAUUAUCACCAAUCGGUGCAAUCGUAACCCAAGUGGGUCUACCAGUGACAAGUGUCACGAUUAUAGCAAGAGCGCUAUAACCCAGUAUCACGCGUGAUAAAGACAGGCAAGUGCCCGAUUAGAGAUGGGCCAGUGCCCAAUUAGAGAUAGGCAAGUGCCCAAUGGUUAACCAAGUAAGAGCGAAGAUAAUGCCAAGUGGCGAAGUGCCAGAGUCUCGGGGAAAAGUCCGAAGGUAAAUAUGCAAGUAUGCCACAACAACUGCAGAGGCAGGAUCGCCACAUCCUGCUCCGCCAGGUCACCAGAUCCACACUGCUGACCAACAGACAAUAACAGCGGCAACUAGCAGCUGUUCUGAUAAAGAGAGUUCGUACCAACCAGAAGCCGAGUCAGAGAGCACAAAGAAGAAGAAUAAGACAAGACGAACCACCACCGAGCAAAACAGCAGCUCAAGACAACAACCAACCAACCGCACCGUACGACGCCGCUCUGACGCCCGUCUGCAAACCACAUGUUAGGCUACGCCUAAAAUAAGAUGUACCGUAACGCGUUUUCGUCAUCAUCGUCAGAGGAAGGGAUAACAACGUCCGAUUCCAACAAUGAUGAUGACGAAAAUGCGGUACACGCUAGAGCUCCCACGGCUUAUGCAGCGUCCUGACGUGUACACCCAGACAUGUACAACAGACUUUCAAUCAACUGGCUAUAGGGGAAUCGAUCCUUAUCCAGCCGAUCUUCCGCUGCAGCCUUAGGUAAAACGGUACCAGAGCUCGUGGGUAUGGACUUCGGCUGUGCAUUAGCCGUGCCGUAUAGACCCACAAUAUCCUUGACCAUACACCCCUGGGACACAGUAGUAAUUCUAUUCUUCCGGUCACGCUUCAGCGAAAGACCCAAAAACAAACUGGCUUCUCCCAUAUCACGGCACUCGAAACACCGCAUGAUGGCCCCCUUGACUUCUAGGACAGCCUUCUCACUCCAAGCCACGAUCAAAACGUCAUUGACAUAGACCAAAAGAUACACGACCUAAUCAUGCUCGCGACGUACAAAUAAACUAUGGUCUGCACUCGACGCAAUAAAGCCCAUAGACACUAACUCUUCGCACAACGUAUCAUACCGUGUGCAUGACGCUUGAUGAAGGCCCUACAAAGCCUUAUGGAGAAGACAAACUACACCCGGGCCUCCCUCCGUGAAGCCAGGCAGUUGAUUUACGUACCCACGAGCUCUGGUACCGUUUUACCUAAGGCUGCAGCGGAAGAUCGGCUGGAUAAGGAGCGAUUCCCAUAUAGCCAGUUGAUUGGAAGUCUGUUGUACAUGUCUGGGUGUACACGUCAGGACAUUGCACAAGCCGUGGGAGCUCUAGCGCGUCACAUGUUGAACCUUAGCAGGUCGCACUGGAAGGCCUAGGCAGUGAAGGAGGUUGUGCGUUACUUGGCAGGGACGUCUGAUUAUGGGUUGGUUCUAGGUAGUGCACAUGUAGAGGAGAGGCUAGUCGAAUAUAGUGAUGCUGAUUACGCAGGCUGUGCUGAUACACGGCGGUCAACGUCCGGUUACAUCUUUACUCUUCACGGUGGUGCAGUUAGCUGGGCUAGCAAACUUCAGCAGAGUGUAGCCGCAUCUAAUAUGGAGGCAGAGUACAUGGUGGCUUCGGAGGCUGCUAAGGAGGCUUUGUGGCUUUGUGUCGACAACUACUUGGCGACUACCUCAGUGAAUUGCGAUAGUCAGAGCAUGAUUCGGUUGGCGGACAAUGCGGUUGUGUCGAAGCAAUCGAAGCACAUUUCCGUGCGUUAUCAUUUCGUACAGGAGCAGGCGGGAGCAGGUGGCGCUUGGUAUAUAGUAGCCGAUUGCCUAAUAAAGCUGUUGCCGCCUGAGACGUUUGUGAACCACCGUGCAGCAGCUACAAACGUGUGCAAGUCCUGAGCGCGUGGGAGUGUUGGAAAGCGUUUUAAGAGACGCUCAUGCUUAGUUGUUCCAAUCCCAGGACGACACCAGACCAGAAUCGACUGUGACAACUUUAUAUACGUCUUGUGACUUCGUUAUUCUCUCUUUGUGUAACGAUAUGAGCGAGUGAUGUGUUCACUGAAGGACUCUUAUCUCCAACAAUUUUUAUAAUUAUUGCAGCAAUGACAACGGCAUCCGCCAUGCCAUGUGUGGCACAUCGCGAAUGGGCAGCGCCACUCCUGCUUCCAUUCUAUUGGCGAACCAACCCUCGUCAUCUCAAUGACAAGUGACAUGUGCAGCACUCUCUGUGCAGCCCGUGAUGGCGAUGAGCGGCACUUACUCCUCUCGGCAUGUGAGUGAAGGCCAGAUAAAUGUGUCAUUUUUGCCCGUCACCGGACAUGCACACAAAGACAUGGCUGAUGAAGCGGCCAUGCCCAGCACGAGUCCCAGAAGGAUGCUUAUGCUGUCAGGGCCUCCCAAUCUUCUAAGCAGCCGCCCGCUACAGCCGUCUGCUUUGUGAGAAGGAAUGGAGGGAAAGUUGAAAGGCGUACGACGAAGAAAUUUGGCUUUGGGGAUUAGAGGGAAGGCUGUUGAUGAAGCCGGUGUUGCGGCAGCGACACAGGAGCUGAAUGACAUCGCGCACAUGGGUGACACAGCGGCCCCUGUUCGCCAGAUCAACCAAUCCCCGAUCCUUCACUUUCCCUUCACAUUCCAAUGUAAUGCCGGACGAUAUGCUGCACACACCGUCAUACGUGACUUGAAAGUCCACCCUGCGGCGAUGACGACCUGGGGCCUCCGUCUAUUCUUCCCCGCUGCCUAUGAAAGCAUUACAGCCUUCGUUACGGCACAUGCAUUUUUGUUCGCAUGUUAUGUGUUUGUAAUGAAAGGGAGCAUUCGCGCACAUGUUUGGCUGUUGGACAUUCUUAGGGCUUCGUGGCGGCUGUUGGGACUGCAUGUGGAGGCAUAUGGCCAAUGUAAUGAAUGGUGUGUACAAUGUUGUGCAGAGCGAUUGCGGAUCCGUUACGUUGGGGGCAGCGGAGUUUCCUAGCUGGGUCUAAUUCCCAGUCAUUUGCAGGAAUUGUGUGUGCGGGUCGCUUUCGUCAUGGGUUCAUCGGCGAUUACGUGAUGCGGGUUUUUCGCGCCUUGCCGCCUGGUACGGGUUUCGCGCGCUUUAGCUGGUGCUUGGUGCAUGCAAUGCAAUAUGUGGAAAUAUCGCUGAUUGUAUUGUAUAUGAAAGAAACUACGAUGUGUGAUGUGUCCAUCCAUGCCCAUCCAUGAGUUGCAAACGCCCUCCUCCGUUGAUAAGUUUCGACUGCAUUCUUCAAUCAUUAUGUAUGUACACUGCGACGUACUGCCAAUUAGGUUACCGUUACAGCAGCACACUCUGUGCGUUGCAUUGAAUAAGGCUUUAAGGCAAUCGCUCGUCCGGGCACAUGGAAGUACAGCAGCGCCCACCACCACGCUUGCUGGCACAAGCUGGUCGGGCUAGUCGCUGUGAGUCGCAUCAAUUGCCUUGGAAAGUGCACCCCUGAUCAUGCUAAUCCUGACAACACGUGUCCGUUUCUGAACAACGCGAUGCCUUUUCCUUCUUGGUACGACGCAACCUUGUCACAUUGUUUAUAUUUCACAGAUGGCGGCCAUGACAGCUACGAUAGUGGUAGCAUACCUUGAGGUCCCUAUGGAGCAACGAAUGCUGCUCUUUUUCAACAAGCACCGUACAUCCCGUACACGAGAUUUUUUUGCAUCCUAAAAGAUACAAACACUUCAGUAUCCUUUUUAUUUGUAUAAUGACUUAGUUAGGAAGACAUAGGAGUUCAUUUUAUCAAGCUUGUAGAGGUCGGCCUCAAAGCUCCAAUUUUCAAGGAUCAAUGACUCGGUUCCACGUACCAGGAGGUUCCGUUGCCGCUGGUAGCCUUCUUUUCGCAGUAGAGGUAAACCUGAAUUGUGGGCCUGUUAGGGAUCAAUGAUCUCCAGGGUCUGAGUUGCUGUAGUCAAGAAGCUGCGGCGCGAAACGGCGGCUGGUGCUUUGCAAACUAGUGUGGAAGUGUCUGCGCCCAUCUUCUCACUGCUUUCUCCAUUCUAUUUGUAAUCGCUAGCCUUUUUGCAUGAGGAAAUGGCGAUGAUAUGCCGGGCACGUGCCUCACGCGACCACUUUCCUUUACUGCUGUAAUCGGCUCCUUGCAGAUUCCUGGACUCGAGGAUGCACAGUGCGAUAUCCCUAGCUCAUCGUCGAUGAGCGGUCGGCACCGAGGCAGCAGGACACGAACGGCUGAGGCCGCGGACAUAGAAGAGCUUGCCCAGAACUGGCAGGCAUCGGCGGCCAGUGUCCGGGUGAGGUCUAGGAGAUAAUAAGCAGAGGUUUUUGGAGUCCUUCUUUUGCCACGUGCUUUCCGAAGCCAAGUUCCGAUGAAACGUUUCGGUUCCCUUUGUGACUUUUCUCUUGAUGCAAAUCGCUUGUGAACUAGUUUUGCUAUCUUGAUUGGUUAGAAGCUAGAAACGUGUGUUGCUCUGAAGCUGCAUUGUCGUGCGUGGCUCGUUUGCUGUCUUGCGGAGAACGUGUGUAGCAGCGCAAAAAAAAGCUUAUUCCGUUGCUCCUGACAAUUUGUCCAUAAAUUUAUCUGGCCGCAGCUCCUUAAUGACGUCCGCAUCCUCAAGCGCCAAGGGCAGGCGGCCGAUGCCGCCACGCUUGCGCAGCGGCUGAGGGACGUGGGCUAUGAUGCAACGCACGUCGCACAAAACGCAUCGAACUCGAUAUCAAGCUCGCUGCGGCUGGCCCAUGACUUCGUAAUUGUGAAAGGCUGCGGGGGUUGCUUGGCAUCGCUGGUGGUGGAGCCCGAUUUCCGGGAGCACUUCUGCAUCGGUUCCAUGUAUGCGACGGAGCGUUACCGCCAGCUCCUGGAUGCUGUCCCUGAGGAGCUUGUUGCUCCGUACAGCAAGAUACAGGAAAUGGUAAAGCUGAUUUGCGCGGAGAUGAAGUUCAGCUUUGAGGCGACCGGAAACUACCUGCCCCCCUGGCGCAGCAUGUGCAGCGUGCUUUCGCGAUGGGCGGCGGCGAGGCAGUAGAUCAGAGGUCAGAGAGAGGUCGUGACGCCAACAGUGUUUGGAGAAAGCAGCAGAGCAUUGUAGGGCGUUUGUGUGCGUUGUCUUUCUCGAGGAGGUUCAUUCAUGCGCAGUCAAGUUAGAUGUUCCUUGCGUGGAGCAGCUUCCAAGCCGCCAAGGGAGGAUGAGUCAAGUCGGCACACACGAGUGCAUGCUGAGAGGUUUAGCUACCGGGCAAAUUCGCGAGGAUAUCUUCCCUCAAGUACUGUCUGACGCGCACUUUUAAGUAUGCAGAAUGUGGCGCGUCACAGACACAUGAAAAAGGUCGACCGGUAUUGGAGCAAACUGCGAAAAUUUGGGUUAUGUCUACCUCCAAAAACUAAGCACCCGACUCCAUAGCGGCUCCAACCCGCGCAUCCCCCCCCGUCAGUCAGUCAGUCAGUCAGUUGCAGUGUCAGUUGGUUUCUUUACUCUUGACGCAUAUGUCAUGUCACCUCACCCCGUUUUGUUUUCUUCUGGCCUCCACAUACGUUCACACAUGUGUGUGUAACGAGGUUUUCAGAAAGCCUGGGUACGGCAUAAAAAGCUGGAGGCAAGCUGUACGCUGCGUCUGUUGGUGCAUUGCGUGUGGGGAGGUGGGUCGGAAACCGCCAGUGGGUCAUCAUACUCCGGGUCACUUGACCUGCCCGCCUGCACGGAUCCCCCGGAGGUAGUGUGGUGAUGAUUUGCCUUAAAAGAGUGUUGUCGGGCUAGGCGCAAUCGCUCUCUCUUGGUGCAGCCGGUUGUCAGUUGGUUGGGACUGCAUCGACUCCAUUGGGGCAUUGGCACUGUACGUGCCCUUAACUGAAAAUGGAUUUUGUUGCCGGGGGAGCUGCUGAGUUGUUUUGGAAUACGUAGUAGCUUAAAUACGAACUUUUGCAGGGCAGGGGCAGCUGAAGAUGACUGCGCUGCAAACGUAUGCGCUGAAGAUGCUAGAAGCGGCGGGUUGCACGGAUGCCUUAUCUUGCUGGGCAUACGAGUAGGUCGGAUUGUCGUCGUUAGGUCUAUAGGGCCCAGUCCUGUGGGUGUACACAGCGUAUAGCAAAAGUAAAAGAGUAUGUAUGUCUGUUGUAUGUCUGUGCGUCCGUCCGUCUGCUGUGGAGUCGAGCAAGAAAACUGUGUGUGUCUGCGUCAACGGUGUCCGUGUUCUUUUUGCUUUUUUCUUCGUGUGUGUGGUGAGAAUGUGCGGCGAGCGGCGACGGGAGUUUUCGACUUCGCGAGUCUGUGGAACUGUGUUGGUGUUCGUGGUUGAGUUUGUGGUGUGUCAGGUCGUUCCACUGGGCUCUCCCGUUCUGCAGUUCCCUUUCCCGUCUCUGCCCCCAUUAGAUCUUUAGCAUGUGCAGUUUUCGAAAAAGACAUUUCGUCAUGAGGUUGGAUUGCUGUUUUGGUUGAUGCAAAUGCCGACGUUGCUGCCAUGUCGCUCUGCAGUAUUUUGACUAAUCUAGUACAUUUGGCAGUACGGCAAUGUCUGGCGGUCGUGUAUGGGUGGUGGUUGCGCAAAUAGCACCUUGACUGGUGCAGGUUUGGGCUACAGACACGUCGCCUGUGUUCGAUCUGUCGUUCAUUCGUACAUGAUACAAUUGCAUCUCUUCACACGCACGCGUGCGGGUUCGGUUCACUGUACGGCUGCUUGUACGACAGAGCCAAUGCCUUGUCGCCGAACAGCUGGGGAUGUUCUGUGGGAGUUGCCGCCCAUGACUUGCUCUUGCUUAUCCCCCCUUCAUACAGUCGCUGCAAAGGGCCCUUGGCGGCAUCACGGUCAGGCACCAGCUCGGGCUCCCACCGCCACUCUUGGCUCGGCACGAGCGGUUGAGGUACAGCGAGGCCGCUACGGUGUGACCCUCUCUGCGUUUGUUUGUGUUGUUAGUCGCAUCUCAGGUGCUAGCCCCGCUGGGCUGGGCCCCUGUUUUUGAUAUAAGCCGGGAAUUGUGUUUUGUGUUUGCGAACGUGUAGGGCCCAUCAGUCGCCACUGCAUCAAGCAUUUUGUACGGCAACUUGAUGUGUGCUACAACUUUUAUGCACCGCACCGCGCGUGCGGACUGUGUGGCGUUACAGGACCGGGAAAUCGGUUGCGUUGCUGUUGUUGGUUGUAAUUGGAUAAGGAAUGACUUUGAUCGAACUUUGUUGGAUGAUGAUAGUUUUUGCCUCGUUGGGUCCAUGGUUGGGUCAAAUCCGCCUUUGUUUUCGCGGCUGGACGCGGAGGUGAAGAAGAGGAAGAGGGUUGGCAUCUUUUCGCGGAUUCAUAAAAUGUUGUGCAGAGCAUGUGUUGUUACGAUAGUAUUCUGUUGCCCGUUGUCGGCGGAUUUCAGAUGUUUUGUCGGAACGUUUUGACGAAGGAGGACUGAGACACCUUUCGCCACGGAACCGCAUCAGUUGAUGGCAAAAUGUGAAAGAGGAGGAACCGUUGUCCCGUACAUGUGUUUAGGGUUUUCUGAAAAGACCUCCGAGCCGAAUUGGCCGAAGGUCUGCAGGUUACUCUUCAUAUAUGGGCCCAAAGCGGCCUGCUGGUUCCUUCCUCUUCCUCCUCAUCGGGUAUUGUCAUGUCAUUUGUUUUUCCUCCUCUAUCGGGACUUUGGCUUUGGCGGGCGGGCGGGGGAAGGCAUUUGCUGCUGUGGCCUGGCGGGGUUGCGAUAGAGGCAGAUAGGCGGGGUUGCCCGCGCUGUCUGUCUAUUUCCGUCGUACACGUUAACGCAUCAUCAUUUAAUGCUUCGCAACUAUUUUUAAGACUUGAGCGUCUUGGAAUGGAUGUCCGGAACGUCCUUACUACACACGUCACCACAUAUGUUGGUACAUAUGAAGUUGAAUGAGCCACGCGUUCCAUGACAAAAGAGCGCGGGGGAUAAUGCGUCCUAUAUGGCGUGAAGGUAUGAAAGCAAAACAGGAAAAUCUCCUCUCUGCACGCACCUCUUUCUGUUCAACUAGUGUUCAACAAUAACAGCGUUCGAACGCAUAUGCGCGCUGAUAUGCAAAGUAAGGCUUCGAGCUGAUAUACACCCACAUAGCCCUGGGUUGCCCUGGAGCUGCUACGUCUCUAUGGGUGCGCAUAAUCAGAGCUCUAGGGCGCACCGGAUACAUUCAACGUCGGAUAACAUUCACAGAAGAAAUUGUGGACGGGGCGAAAAUGCCUGAUCAGGGUCACGAUGUUGGACGAUGGGUUGACGCCUGGACCCCCCCUUGCUGAAACCCUGGGAACUCUAGCUCCUCGGGGCGGGCCGAGAUGCCUGCAGCCUUCAAGGGGUCUCCGGAGUAGGAGAGGUGUACCGGGGGGAGCUACACAGGUCUCAGGUCUCUUCUCCUACCACCACGGAGACACAACCGGGCGCACAUCGCGUCCAGACAACAACAACAACAACAACAACAACAUGUUGCACCGGACCGGGACACACGCACUGAAGUGAGCUUUGAAACCCAUCAGCUCCAGCUCCACCACCACCGGCACCGGCAGCACACGGGCAUCAGCGUAGUCAUCAGCAACCCCGUCAGUGGCCCCAAUGCCACCGCACCACCACGCACACCUGCUGCUCCCGGAACGUUGAUUCCAACCAGGCGACAUCAAAGGUGCUGGCAUCUAGUAUCACCUCCAACGGCAGUACGGCAAGCGUGGGACCAAGAGUUGUUGCUUUGUGCGUUAGCACGGGAUUGUGGAAUCUUCUUUCGAAGAGAUUGGGGAGGCGGGGGGUGCGAGAGGCAGUGGGAGAGAAAGAGGAAGAGAGGAAAACGGUGAUAUGGGAGAUUAUUUUUAGAAAUUUGAGAGAAAGAGAGAGAGAGAGAUGCAUAUCAACCCUUUCUCUAUCAUACAUAGAUCAGAGGAAGAUCAUCGGGGGCUCCCUGAGGCUCAUGGCCCGUGGGCGGGGGCCUCACCCGCAGUAAGGUGGGGGCCCGUGGGGACACGGCAGUGAGGUUUGGGAGCCCCCCAACUUGUGGCAGCCCAGAACAAGGAGAUGGAGGCAACACCACUGGCACAGUGAGCGGUGGGAGCGGAGGACAGACGUUGGGACAUGGGGACCCCUGGAGGAGCCAGGAGGACUGGGGAGAGCCUGUGAUGGGGGCAGCACCCUGCAGCUGGGGGAUGGGGGUGCUGCUGCCCACUUGGGGUUCGAGGGGCCAGCCAUGCAGCAUGGUGUUUCUGCAACAAUGGGAUUGGGAGCAGGGGUUGGGAUGCUCCUAAGUCUAACCUGGGGUGUACAAUUCACAGGAGUGCAGGAGGCUGCACUGGCAGACCAUUUCCUCAGGCAGCUGCAGGAAGGGGCGUUGAGGGCCAGGAGGACCCCUGGUGCCCGCCUUGAGGUGUACACGCGGAACGAGUCGGCCGGGAUCUAUUUAUUACCUCGGGACACUUCUUAUAAGGGCCUCGGCUAGCGAAGGCAUCUGCCGGGAUCUGCCGGCCCCAGCAGUGUCGGCGCUGGUUGCAGCACCUCCGCGGAGCAUCAGCGGCCGGGACUGCUGCUGCUGCUGUGCCCCGCUCGGUCCUGGCGGCAGCUGCCGCUGCUCCAGCCCCUCCCUGUCAAUCGGGCCGCGGCUCGCUAGGGGCCACAGUCCUUUCCCCCCAUGGCUGCGCGUCCGGUACCGCAGCUCAUUCUGUCGAUCAAGAGUCGGUCUGUACACACAGGGAGACCCUGUUGCCCUGCUUCCCUGAAUACCCCCGGGUGCCAUUCCCACGGCCCUCUCGGCCCAUUUCAGGCCUAGCUACAGUAACAUUAUUUAGUUUCCCCCUUUUCUUUACGUUUUUUUCCGUCGCCGUGGCUUUCGCCCCGCCUAUCUCCGGCCUCCCCUUGAGUCCCUACCUCACUCGUGGCCCUCCGCACCCAGACCCCUUCUCCCUAACGUGCUCCCCGCGGCCCCCCAGGGUCUCCUGUCCCCAGUUUAGCGCCGGUUUCCCGGUCUAAAACGGGGGAUAAAAUCACCCGCUGUACCAUUCGGACUUCGAGUCCCUCCGAGCCGCUCCCAUCGCUGGGCCCCUUAGCCGGUUCCCUCCUGCCAGCGGCCCUCCGAGCUUUUCUUAGGUAGCCGCCUGUGCGAUCUCGGCCCUCCAAGCCGUUCACGGCCGCCCCCUUCCCCCCUGCGGGGUGCACUUGUUAGACUCCGCAACGUGCCACGGACCCCCCACGGGUCCCAUAACUGCUGUCACCAUUCACUGAUAUGUGAGUGUCGGCUACUUUCCAACAGUACUUCCCCCCUCCAGCCCUCCGAGCCGUCCCUGACCGAUCCCCUAACAGCUACUCGUCCCCAAACUUCCCGCCCGGCCUAUCCCCUUGCUACUCCUACCCCGGCCCUCCAAGCCGGCCUCCCUCUCAACUCCCCCGGCCCUGGUUCCCAACUGCUGCUCCCCCCCUGACUAGCGCAACUCCCCUCUGGCCCUCCAACCCAUCCUCCGGCCGGAUUUCUAUUUGAAUUCCCUAGCCUUGUUUCGCUAGUAAAUGUUAUCUCGGGUUAUCGCUAUUACAUCUAGGUGGUGUUAGGUUCUGCUUCGUUCCGGUUAUCACUCUUCUGUGUCUGUCGUACAACUAGUUGUUGUCCGAUUGCGGUGGGUAUGGUCCGUUAGCCACAGUUAGCCUUCAAAACUCUCUAUCGGACGACUUAAUAGCUCCGUUGUUCCUCCACUAAUCCUUUGCAAUCUUCUGCAAAUAUGGGUGGUAUUACGCCCGAUCCAGCGCCAGUCCUGGGAUUACUGAACGCCUUUCGAUCGUCACAAGCGCUUUUCGCUGCUGUCGAUUUAGCGAUCUUUGAAAUCCUUAAAACAUCGAAUUCACCUUUAUCGUUGCAACUGAUUUGCGAAGGCGUGGCUUGCCGUCGGGGCCAAAGAGUCUCGGAGGAUGGCCUGGAUCGGCUUUGCCGCACAUGUGUAGCGCUUGGCCUCCUCGAAACACCGUCACCUGGUCUAUACUCUUUAACCCCGCUCGCGGAGAACUAUCUGGUGACGAGCUCCUCUACAUCACUUGUUGGCUACUGCACACACUCCGCACGGGUACGGAAGGAAGAUGCGAUCCAGCACAGAUUGUUGUGCAGUGAUGAGUCUAUUGGUGCACGAAGGGAAGGUGAUGCGUGGGGUGGUUGGCUUUGCAUUUGUUUGGGAGGCCAGAGAAGGCCAAGUUGUUUCAUAACGAGGGUGACGUCCUCUCGUACUUUAUCCCCCUGCCCAUGCGCUUCUGCACGUAUUCCGCACCUUUAGCCCUUUCUCUAUCCCCCGUCCAGGUCGUAUGGCCUCUAUUCGGCGGGCUGUCCUCCGCCGUCGCCUCCGGCAGCCAGGUAUGGCAGCAGAUCUUUGGCCAGCCCGGCUCCGACGUCUUCGCGCGGAUCUACUCCACACCCGCGGACGUGCUGCGCUUCCUUAGUGGAAUGCAUUCCUUCGCCACUCUGUCGGCGCCAUCGGUGGUUACCGCCUUUGACCUGUCCUUCGCGACCAGCUUGGUGGACCUAGGCGGGGCGACGGGCGCAAUCGCGCGCUCCGCGUGCGAAUCGUACCCGGGGCUGCAUUCAGCUGUGGUAGUGGACCUGCCGCAUGUGGUGGCGGACGCGCGCGCGAAUUUCGCGCCGCCGCCGGGUGGCCCGUGCGAUGGCCGGCUGAGCUGGCUGGCUGCGGAUUUCUUCACCGAGCAGGACAAGUUGCCGCAGCAGGUUGUGUGGCUGCCUGUGUGUAUGUGUGUAUGUGUGUGUGCCCUGCUGGUGUCUGAAAUGUAUAACGAUCGUCAUAUAUUUAUCCUCGUCUGUUUGCUCGAGGCGACAAAGCCACAAAACCAGCCAUGAACCAGUCAUGAGUAAGCGUGCUGAUUUGUGAAUGUAUAUUGUCCUUACCGCGCCCUUGUGUCCACCUACCGCCGCCGCCCUCCACUACUCCGUACCCCCGAUAUCGACACCCCAACCCAUUCCCGCCCCAUUCCUAGCUAGCCAGGUUGAUGUGGUGGUGCUGUCCCGCAUCCUGCAUGACUGGGACCUGCCACGCUGCCAGCAGCUGCUAGCGCUGAGCCACCGGCUGCUGCGACCGGGGGGGGCAUUGCUGGUGGCGGAGAUGCUGCUGGAGUCCGACAGAAUGGGACCUCUGCCGGUGCUGCUGCAGGUUCGUUCGCAUACAGUGCGUGACUUGAGGUGAAGCAUCGUGCUAUGGUCAUGUGGCAUGGUAUGACGUACGUGUACGUUUAGUGCACCUUUUAAAUAUAGCUGAGCCGUGAGAAGAAGAUCGGCCGACGGAUGACUUGUGACAGGAGGAGCGAUUCGCUCUGCCCGCUGUGGCCCGCUGCCACUUGAUGUUCUGAAUGGGGGGCUGUACAUGUUAUGGAUUCCGGCUGCAUGAUAUUUUCCAUUGAGAUGCCCUCAUCGGCCCGCGUGGCCCUCAUCGGGGCGCAUUUCCCCCUCGCGCAUGUCCUCCUCCUCGUGCUAACUCGAGCCCAGUGUGUGCUGUUCAGGAUCUCAAUAUGUUGUGCCAGACUCACGGCCGGGAGCGCAGCGCCGCCGAGUACGAGGAGCUGCUGGGGGCUGCUGGCUUUGUGGAUGUGAAGGCACGCAAGACGGGGAGUUACCUGGACGCGGUGCUGGCACGCAAGCCGUGAGAAAGCCUGGGUUGGGCAACUGGAUGCGGAGGAGCCCCCGAUUGCACGACAUGGCACCAGGAUGGCCGGCGGAACGGGUCGAGUACACAGUACUACUCUGGGUGGGAAAGCAGAGCCCUGAUGUGUCUGUGGUGUCAGGUAUCGAUAGGCACUCGCGAUGGCGGCGUCGUUGUUGGCAUUUUGGAGUUUCUUGCUGCUGAAGAAAGCUGAAAAAUCGCAUUCUCCUCCAUCCUCCUUCGGACUGCUGGCUGUGAUUUGGGUUUAUUUCUCACUCCUGCGAUCUGGGUUCCUGCGAGGAAAAGAAAUGAACUGAAAGGAAGGGUAAUUGUUGCGAGCCAGGAUGUCUCGAAGCAUGCUUCCGUCAGAAACCCUUUAGCCUGAAAGACGAGCUUUGUCACGAGCGAACGGCAUGCUGGUGCUCACAUGUUCUGGGAAGCAUGUCAGAUUUUUCCAUGUCGUAAGUAACACCGAUUGCUUUCUGCAAAGCAGUGUGUUCGGCGACUCCCAACCGGUAACCGGGGAGUACCAUCGGGUUAGUGGGGCCGCUUGCACCACCAGCGACCCGUGGGUCGCUAUCAAAGUUUAGGCCGGUGUGGUGAUGUGGACAUGGUCCUUGUCCUGUGCCGCGGGGGGUAUCUUGUAUCCGGGGGAGAAAUGGACGGAAGCAGAAAGCAAGCCCCAGACCUGUUCUUAUUCGGCUUCUGUCGGCUCUCCCGGCCGUCCUCGUCGCCACACUCCUGUCGACGAGGACGGACCCGAAAGCUUGUCGGUGUCGGUAAGGGGGACGAGGCGCAGGAGCCGAGGCUUGCGUGUUGAAAAGUGGGUAGGGUCGGCAGCGAGUACAUACAUUUGUAUGUGUGUGCGCGUGCGCAUGCGUGGAUGCAUGUUUAACGCAUGUUUGCCGGUGCUUCUUUCCAGUCAGUGCUUUUCUCCCGUCUCCUUUAGUUGCCGGGUUUUAGGUUUCAGCUUUACGAUACAAUACAAUAGGCCUUGGCAAGCGAGGGCACAUAUAAACACACUGCACCUGAGCACUGGUGGCUAGGGAAACCGGUCGUGUGUUCGAUCCAGACCACAUGCUAUGUUUUUGCGACGCCGCAACCUCAGGACGUUUCCCUGAGGGAAAGUAUGUGUUUCGACGCACAUGUAUGUCGGUAUGUCGGCUGCCGGACUGGUCAAGGUGUGCGGAUGGUGACUGGGUCUGACCCGACCCAGUGAAUUUAAAAGUGGGUUACCUAUAUAUACCUUCACAUACAGUAACCACUUGGUCACUAACAAGUUACAAGUUCCGCACAAGUGCGGGGGUGUCCGUAAAAGCCGAGGGGCCCAUGGACGGUAAAUCGUUUUAGUGUGGUUACGUGGUGGACCAUCAUCGUCCUCCCUCGUCCGCUUGAGUACGACGCGCCUUAGAGCAACGUGCCGGGUCUCCCAGAGUUCCGAGAGGAAUCUGGCUAGUGCCAGGGGUGGGGCCUCGGUCAUAAUCGUGCACAUGUUGCGCCCUUAAGCUUGAAAUGCGAGGUCACGCACGUACUUAGCCCGUGUACUAGUGUAAGCCGAGGUCUGAGCCUCAUCUUGUGAAGGUUGUUGUACCGCUGUGCCCGCUGCCGGAAAUUGCUGUAAGACCAGGUGCAGGGGCAUUGGUAGACCGCGAAUCCACUGUCUGGGAGCGGGAUGUAGUUGGCGGCCCCAACGGUGGAAGACAUUUAUGAUACAACAAGGGGCCAUGGAGACCGAUGUGCAGUAACUGGUCAGCAGCCGUGAUAAAACGAACCGACAGACGACGCACCCACAGUCCACGCGAUGUCUACGGACCUCUCCUCCUCCCCACAGUACUGUGUUGAACCCUGAGCGAGGUCUCCUGCGGGCCCCAACCCCACCGGCGUCCUACGUCCCCUUCACUCCUUCAACCGCGGACAGGGCGCAAGAAAAGGCAGCUCUGCGCCCUUGAAAGGUGUAAUAGCCUGUAGGUACAAAGCCUGUACACCUCUGAUUUUUACUUCCAGAGCAAUACUGCCUUUCGAGGCUCUUGACUACAGCUCUAUAGCCACUACAGCUCUAUAGCUACCACAGCUACAGCUACCAUCUUAGCAUGUCGUACAACUUCCCUAACGCGCUGAAACACUGGGCCAGCACUAGCGAUUCCUGAAGCACGUGAUGAGGCGCAUCGCAUACACUCGCGCGAACAAGGCACACUCCAUUCGGGCUGCAGUCCGGUGCAGUCCGGUGCUCCUGCCUGUCCGCCACGGUAGCCCCCUUCUCCCCCCCUCCACUGCAGACCACCCGUCAGCCCCAUCAGGAGGGGGUCACAGAAGACGACGGCAGGGACCGGGGCGGCAACUGCAGCAGCUGAUAAGGCUGUCCCGCCUCCGCUGCAACCAGAAGGGAGUCCAGGGGCUGAAACGCGUCCACGGGGGGCAGUGAGUGCGGCGGGCUGGGGCCUCUCGUGCCGCAAACCGGCAGGUUGGGGGGCAGCGCCUGCAAACCGCGAUGGAUGCCAGGGGGAAGCCGGACAGCACACGGUUGGAUCGGCGGGGAAUGGGAGCGGAGGGCGAAUGAGACCCCGAGGGUGAUGACAGAGGAGGCGGCGAGGGAGGGAGGGGAUGUUGUUUGCAACAAGGAUACGGAGGAACAGCUGCAGCAAGGCUCCCGGAAAUGGCACCGAUGGACCCGAAUGCUGUCCCGAAUGAGGUUUGGGAACCAACUACCCGGAGCGCCCAGGAACUGUUGCGGCAUAGGAGAGGGCCGAGGGGAGAAAUCGCGACGGGAGAAACGGCGACGGGACCGACAUAACUGACUACUUAAUGAACUUUACCGGAACAGCGAAACAGCGACACAAGCAGCCCACACGGGCACACGGCAGGGAACGAUAGAUAACAAUAACUCCCCAGACCAGUUUCGAACUCGGUGUUGAUAAAAAGGGUAAGCGGCACUACGAUGUCUGCACUACUCGAUAGGCGCCUCGAUAGGGCAGCGCGCAGCGCAUUCCGGGUGCAGCGGCACAAAGCGCACAUGCCGCCGUGUCUGCGGACCUGCGCGAUGUGCGCCAGAAUCAUCUGCUCGCAGCUGUACGGCCCUAGUAUUCGCGCGUCCGGAUCAGGAUGCUGCUGUUCUUGUUGUUCUUGUUGCCGUUCUUCAUGGGAAAACGUUUGCAAUGAGGAUGACUGCGACGCAGCCGAGCAGCUUGAAGCAGGCUUGUCACCGCUAUCCCGCGCCGCAGCACCCGGGGCCCUCCGAGUGUUCAGGCACCACCACAACGAGUCCAUGCCGUACUCCCCGCUUGGGCCCUGAAACAGGCUGUACGGGAGUACAGCACAUUUGCAGCACGCCGUACAACGAACUUCAUAUGUCGUUAGUGCGCAAGAGUACGAGCCUGGAGAGGCGAUGGUGGAAUCAGAGAAAGCAUCCGCAAAAACACGUAGGAUGGCGUAACCCUAACGCUAUGAUCUAAAAAAUGCACCCUGGGACAGCGACCAACCGUACAGUCCACAAUCAAUAAGCAAGCAGCUGCGCUUUCUUCAAUUGCUGACAAAGUUACGCCCAACCCAGCUGGGUAAUAUCCCCUCCCCUUCUUUACCUUCUUCUGCUGUGAUAAGCACUGCGGACUGUCAGAAUGCUGAGCUAGCAUCCGUUUUCAGUUCUUCUAAAGUACUGGUUUGUGUGGUAUUCAGGUCAAUGGGCUAACAACGUGUCGAUAGACAACCAAAGCGCUUCUCCCCCCCACACACACACCCACACACGGGCCCCCCACACACACCUGAAUAGUCCGGUAAUGAAGCACCGGAAGGGUGUGGAGGUGGGCUUCAAGUCCGACAUGGUCAGCGCUCGAGUGUCGCCCGCCAGCUGAUCGACUUCGCGCGCCGCCUCCGUCGCCGUUGCUCCCCUAGAAGACGUCAUCACCUCCUUAGCAGUAGCAGUAUCUGCAGCAGUAGCAGUAUGUGCUGCAGCCGGGGGCGCCUCGGCCCGUCCCCCUGGCCCACGAGUCUCCUCCUCCUCCUCCUCCUCCGUAGCCGCGAUCCCCUGCAGCACCACGGCUGUGCUCGGACUCGAUGACGACUCUGCACCACAAAAGCGCGGACCGUGAUUCCAACAAUCCUCCCCGUCAAAAUCCAGUCUGGCAGGUUAAACAGGCGCAGAAGACAGAGAGAGAGAGAGAGAGUUGUAUCACAAAUACGGCCCGUACCGGGUCCCCACCUAGCAACUGUCACCAUGACCCCUACCACCACACCACACACACACACAUCACCUCACCACCUCACCAGGGUUUCCAGCACCCCUCGACUGGUGGGGCAAUGGCGCCGUCAACGCCUCCCCUGCCUGCUGAAGCAGCUGCUUUCGGCCGUGUUCGGAAGUUUCGGAGGUUGCGGCUGCUUCUGCUGCCUCGUUGCCAUUCUUGGCUGAGACAUCGACACGGAGGGCGCUCCCCGCCACUGCAGCCCUUCCAUCUCCACUUCCGGGGCAAAGGGCUCCGGGACUCUGUGCCUCUGUGUCCUCGGGCGGCGCUGUGUCGCCGCGGUCCGGCUGCAGUUGCCUGCCACCCCCACCACCACCACCCCCACCACCACCCGGUACAUCCGACCCUGCGACGGCACUGCCGGCGGCGGCGGUAUCACCGACCGGAGAUGGCUUGGCGGCCACCUGCGCCGCCGCCGCCGCCGCCACCACCGGUAUCCUGCUGCUUGCCGCAGCGGCAGCGGUGGGUGCACUGGCAGCGCCGGCGACCUUGCUGUGUGGCAGGAACGUCUUCGCGCCGGGGUUCAGGAAAGUGGGCGCACCGGGGUUCAGGCGAUGGGAGCUCUCGGUCUUCGUCGCCGCAGUCGCCGCAGCUCCCACCGCCGUCGUCACCACCGCCGCUGCAUUUCCUGUCGAUUUGCCUGUCACCGCAGCCGCAGCCGCCGCCGCAAGCCAUGGGACUGAGCCGGCCGCGCUGCCGCCCCUUUCCUUGCCGCCCCAAGCGCCGUCUGCGCCGCUGGCCAUGGCUCUCGCUGAGCAGUCACCCGCGCCUAUGCUGCUCGCUACAUUGGCGUCAUAGUUGCCUUCCGGGCCCAGCUCAGGAGCCUCUUCGUCGUACUCCUCCUCGUCCCCGUCGUCCUCAUUACCCGCCUCUUCGUCUUCCGCUUCGGGCAGAUCGCCGUACUCAUCCAGAGUCUGAUCCUCGUGAUCCUCCCCAUGCUCCCCUUCAUAGCCCCUGUAAAAACCUGCGGGGACACGCACACGCACAACCGCACAGCAGGGAUGUCGCUCCAUCCCUGCUCGCCCGUCCUCCAGGCACCAAACCCACCCUGGUACCAGGACGCAUCGUACGCCUGAGGGUCAUCUGCUCCAGGGGAAUGGCUCCAGGCUCCCAUGGAAUAGCCAUAACCGUGGGUGUCGUACUGUGGCACGGCACCAUAGUGCGCGACGCCAGCGGGGACCAGGGCGGCCGACACGGGCACUGCGGGCCCGCUGUAGGCCAUACCGUAUGGGUUGAUGCCGCCUGAGCUCGGGUACGUUGCUUGACCGCCGCCGGCUGGGUAGGGCCACCGCGGCGGACCGUACCCAGAAGCAUAGCCGCUGCCAUCCAUUCCAGGUGAAAAGCUCAAAUUUGACCCUUUAUUAUACUUAAGUUGUUUAUUGUAAUGUCUAAGGUCAGGACAGUUCUUGGUGGAGAGCCUGCCGUUGUUAUGCAGGGCAAUCCAUCAUCCCAGGUCGAACUUGUUAGGCAGGAUUGUGCAUAGUGAAUAUGCAAUCUCAGGUAGCCAGGUUGCCUGAGUAUGAUAUGGACGGCUGAACAAUUCAGCUUAUUUGCCAGUGGUUGGACGAAACAAAAAAGUCACGAAGCCUUGCAGCAUGAAGAGGUCAGAACUAAAGGUGGACCAGUGGCUUAGUUAAAACGAAACAAAAAGAAACAAUACCGUUAGCCUGAGUGUCGGGCGAAUUGACCUGCUUUGCAAACAGAAAGCAUAAAGCUCGAUUUGACUUAGCUAAACAGAUGUCGUACCAUUUUCCUUACUCUUCACUCGAGUAUGGAGGCGCUUGAUCUGCAUUUGGAGCUGUUUGCCUUUGGAGCUGCGACUUGCGUGCUGUGCCGUACAAUCGUCCUCACCUUACCUGCAUACUCGAAUACCUUCAACGUUCCAGGUUUACUCCUGGGCGCUUACCAUCCGCGGGCCGUCCGACCAGUCCGGUGUCACAGUUUGUAGCUUAGAUGCGACAGGAGCAAAGCGAAUGCCUCUAAGCUAAGUUAUGUACGGCAGCCGUAUGGCUUGCUGAGAAAUUCGAAUCUACUAUUUCAGCUGACAGCUCCAUAGUUCCGGCAUUCUGCAUACACUAUUGGAGCUCAUUAUUUUGCUCUCACUUCCCUCCCCCCCGCCCUCAGUGUCCCUCGUUUACAAGCGGCAGGCUCGGCCCGGUUGGAGACCUGGUGGUGAUUGGGCAGUCCACUCGGAGCGCCAGACGCACAGCUGUACAGCGAUUACCGCACGGCCAAAAGCGCCUUUAGGGUAUCGCUGCGCGCUAGGAAUGUCGCCUGGCCAGCCCCGCUGGCCAGGGUGCGGUUCGUGCGUCGCUGACGCUUCAGGUUUGCCCUCGGGGCGGGUGACAAGCGGAUGCAGUCAUUAAUCUGCGUUUAGUCGUCUAGUGCUGUGUGUCAGUUCUUCCGGCCGUGCCGGUGUGGCCGCGCUGGACAGCGCUGCGUGCACUCAGACCGCGCCGUGUGGCGCUAGACCGCGCUUCGGCGCACACGCGCCCUGGCGCUCCGAGAGCAGCAAUAGUACUGCAUUAGUUUAAGGCCCUUGGCCCCUUAGCCCACAUCUCCGUCAAGUCCGACCUGCUCACCCUGCACGACACUCACAUGGCCAUUACACUGCCGAGGUCCAAAACGGACCAGGAGGGCAAAGGGCAGACCAUCCGGAUCGCGCGCGUGGGGGGCGUGGCUUGCCCAGUGGGCUUGACAGGAAGAGAGGCUGCUGGCGCUUGGUAACUAUGUCCGUGUCCCCAGUUACCCCCCCGGAGGAUGUGGGUCCGCUGCUGCGCAAACAGGGUUAAUGCGACACAGCCAGGCCACCAGCUGUAGCAGAUGGCCGGCUCUGUUCAGUCACCUAUCAGCAGCCUCAGCUACACCUCUUUCCGGGAGAAGCUUGCUGCCAUGUGCAGCGCCGUGGGCAUCAAGCGCGGAAUCUGCCACACUCCAUGCGCAUCGGGGGAAACAGCGCGGCAGCAGCCAGAGGGGUAUCUGAAGAGGCCCGCAAGGUCGCUGGAAGACGGACGCAAUGGUGCAGCUUUAUACCCGGCUGGAAGACGAUGCUGCACUGGAAACCACGCGCAACCUGGGCCUCGCCUGAGUCAGAGGGCCCCUCCUGCUAUCUUUUCUGUCUGCAGUAGUGUAAGGCCCUUGGCAACCCCGGUUCCGCCUCGCCCUGUCCUAUCCGGCACCUCGAACGCAACCGUACAGCAAGCCGUACUGCUUCCUUCGUACGACCUACCCUCAGUUACAAGUGGCUCUAUCGUGCAUUCCAGCAGCUGCAGCAGCCGCCCACCGGAACCUCAUCCUGCGGCGCUCACGCCCGGGAUCAGAGCUUUACGACCCGUGGGUCAUCCCCAUCAGCCCUCAACUAGGUGUAAGUAUAUUUAUUAAGUGUUGACGUCUUGUAACAAAAGACCGCACAGGAGGAGUCCAUCUCCACGCCCUCAUGUCCACGGCCUCUCUGCCUCCGAAACCGUUAUCGCCUAACCCCAUUUUGCCGUAUCAUAGAUAGAAUCUCCCAAGACUAGGCGCGCAAGCUGCUUUCAGGCACCACGCUCCGUGCCACUGAACCCCAUCUGUCGGCAGCACCAAGCCGAAAACGUUUUUCGAUAUUAACGACGUGAACACCCGCGAAAGCAGGCAAGAACCAGAUGUGGGCGGCCGGAUGGACCGACCUGGCCCUCCCCCUAGGUCGUGUGCAUCGUGUGCAUGACACGCCGGCUGGCAGCGGUGCCAGCGGUACCCGGGGCCGCCAGGCGGCACGGCCCUCGCUGCCACCCAACCCGCGCUGGGCCCCAACAACACGAUCCGCGAUAACCCACAACAAUAAAAUUUCGGUACCGUUAUUACCGUUUCGCUCUAUUACCUCUAAACCGCAGGCGGGCGACAGCACCAUGCUAGCACCGGCGAAUCAGGGCUGACAAACAGGACCAUGCGGACCGAGCUAUGGAGGUAGUUAGGUAGAUACAGCUAGUUAGGGUGUUGGUUAGGUUGUUAGUUAGGUAGCUAAAUAGGUGGUUGUAGGUAGUUAUGCAGGUAGGCAGGUAGGUAGGUGGGUGGGUACGUAGCGGAGGCGGCACUCCAUGUACUCGGGGUCACCCGCCCCCGCCACCACCAGCGCCCCCGCCACCAACUCGCCAAAGCCACCUCACCAUCCCCGCACCCGCUGCCGGCCUCCCCGACACCUCCCAGCUGCUACUAGGGGCGGAGCACCGGGGCCUUCUGGGUGCCGCGCGGUCAGGGGCAGCUAUCCGUGUCACAAUUAGUUUUCGGGCCCCGGAAGCCAAAUAAAAAUGCAUCAAAAUCUUACAUACAUACAUACAUACAUAUGUCAGAACCGCCGCCGCCGUCGCCGUCGCCGUCGCCGGGGCCGGAGGAGGAGGAGCCUUCCCCCGGUCCCCUGGGACAUCCGCACAUCCGCACAUGGCCCCUCCUCUCCGUCGUACUUACCUCUCAUGACCCGUCGUCAUCUCGUCCCACCCCGCCUGCCGUACCCUAUUUUCACCCGCUAGCUCCCCGACGUACUUUCCAUCCCCCACCCCGCCCCCGCCCCCACCCCGCCCUUGUCCACACACACCAACCGCCAUGGGGCCGCAUCUCACUGCCGCGGGGCGGUUUGAUCGGAGGUUGCUCCCGGGGGGGCAAUCCACUCGAGUGGGGUGCUGGCAGGUUAGCCGGAAAGUGGGAGGGGGGCUGGCGGAGAGUCUUUAUCCCCCAAGUCCCCCCCCCGACGUGUCCUUCAUUGCUUCUACCUCCCCACCUCGCACUUCCGCUCGCUCACUCACAUCCCCCGAAACCCCUUCUUUUUACCCCCCACCCCCCAUUCCCCCCUGGAGUGGAGGGUAACUGCCCGCCCCGAGCUGUAAUUGCCUAAGGACUACCUCCACCACCUCCACCAUAACCACCUCCACCAUUUUUACCACCAAACCAGCGCCAGCAUCCCUGCAACAACAUCUGAUCUCCAUACGCAGGUCUGACAAUUCGAUAUUGAUGUCCUGGUGGGCUUAGCCCCCAACGUGUCACCAACAUGCGUUUCUCUCCUCACACAACCCGACACCCUCCCCCCCCCACCACACACAUAUAUAUGGGUCCAUCCCGCAACGUCACUUGCUCGCAAACCAACAGCCAAAAAUAACAUUGCGGUAUGGUAACAAUAAUAAUACGGUGUAAUAAUACUCUUGUUUAUAAACACAUGUACACCCACUAUCCUCGUAAGUACACAUAAAUGUAUAUACAUACUGUAUGUAUGUGCAAAGGAGCGAUUCUCUCCUGGAUAGGAAAGGCAUUCCAGAUGGAGGCUGCACAAGUACGUCACACCACCGCCACCGCCACCGCCACGUCACCGCGGGUGCGCUGAGUCGUUCACGCAGAAGUCACCCCCCUCCUUUACCCUCCCCUGCCCCUCCCUUCGUACAGGGCGGAGGAGAAUGAGGGAGUCAAGGGAGGGGGUUCCGGUGCGCCGGGGCGGCACGGGCUUAGGCGACAUCCACCGAACCCUGCUGCCGCCGCUACUGCCGCCGCCGCUGCUGCUACCGCCAUUACCGCUACCAUUGCGGUUGCUGCUGCUGCUGCCAACGCCGAUACUAUUAUUAUUGCUGCCGCCGUCGCUCCUGCCGCCGGUACUAUCGAUGGGUGCCGCGGGUGUUCGUGUGAACAAUCCCUCUAACCCGAGCUCGCAGCUCACUGCGUCGUAGCACGGGGCGCUUCCGCCACGUGUGCGCUGUUGCUGCCAUCCAUCAACGCCGGCGUACAUACAGACAUACAUACAUUCCAAAGUCUGCGCAUUUACACAGCCUCCCCACCGUCGCCGCUGUUGAUGAUGGUAACAGUUUCUACUGGGGGCGCACAUCAGGCUGUAUACGUGCGUGCAUGCAUGUAUGUACGUAUGUAUGUAUGUACGUAUGUAUGUUUGUACGUAUGUCGAGGAAAGGAAAGAAAAGAAAAAGGCACAAAAGCCCGAACAGACACAGAAGGGACACAACAGAAGGGAUCAGCUGUAAGGGGCUUGUGUGCCUGGGGGGAACCUCCAGCCGCCGCCGCCGCCGCCCCCGCCGCCGCCCCCGGGUGAAAUCACAACGGCGGAGCAAGAGCCUCCCGCCACUAAAUUAACCUCUUCCUCCUCCUCCCGCAGCCUCAGCCGCAGCCGCCGCCACCACGCCGUCUCGGCAUUUGCCGUGCUCUGGUCCUGCAAGAGACUUAGCAGCUAUCUGAGGGGCCUCACCCUGCGACCGGCGCCGCCGCCGCCGCCAAAGCCGCAGCACCCUACUGCGGACGUGUCUUCAAAAUCGUCGUCUCCAUCGGCCGCGGUGGCCGCCGCGGCAGCGGCAGCGGCGGAGCCGCCACUGACGCGGCGGGACGCCCGACCUGAGUCCAAGGGUGGCGGCGGCGGCGGUGGCGGCGGCGGCGGCCGGACGGGAACGCCACCGCCGCCCUGGGACUCGUAGACGCCGCUGUCGCCAACGUCUUCGUCAUCAUCGAGGUCGAUGUUAGCCUGAUGUGUGAAGUGGCGGAAUGGGAACCAAAACAGGCAACAAAAUGUUAUAAUAUGGUGGUCUUGCAACGCAUGUGAACAGCAGCAUCAGCAUAUCAGCAAAGGUGCGGUCACUACGUAAAUUUGCUCCCCACCUUUACUCGACUCGGUCCAAUUGUCUGCCGCAUGCAUUCGUACAUACACAUGCAUGGAUGCACGCUGGAUUGGUGGCGAUUGCUGAACCCUCUGUCUCUGUUCGGGUGAAUGGAUGAGGAGAGAUCCUAGAAGGCAGGAUCAUCCGCCUUGGACUUCCAGUUCGUAUGGAGUAGUACAGUGUGGUAAUGGUGGAUGGUGUUGAAUGGUAUGAUAAAUCGUCGAAAUGACAAUGUGUUCAAAUGGCCCAGAAGCCUCCCACUCUGUAACAACAUUACAUUAUACAUACAUACAUACAUUAUACAUACAUUACACAUACAUUAUACAUACAUACACACCUGCUCCAAUAAGGCCUUUUUUGAAAUGCCGCCCCAUGGGUGGAUCAUGGAAUUGGUCGCAGAUCGCCGUACAUCGAUCCUGUCCACGGAGCUUCGGCGCCCUGCCGUACCGCCAUGCGGCCUAAUGGACCGGUUUCCAGCGGCAGCGCCGUAGCCGUGUGUGACGCUGCCGUACCCGAAUGCACUUGCAGUGAUCAGCGGCAUCGUCGUGGGGUCGUACACAUCCUCCUCCCCGUCCGGGAGCUGAGAACCUGGGGAGCCUUUAGGAGCCGCCGCCUUCAGCGGCACGCCGCUGCCGUACACCCUCGGCGGCGCGUCCAAUGCGACGGUAGCUGCACCGCAGGCGGCGUCCUCUUGCUGAUCCAUGCACGGCAGGCCCGGCGACACGGAGCCCUCGCCGCCGUCAGCCCCGUCCGCCGUCGGCUUGCCGUCGGCGGUAGAGGACCCUGCCGCCGCCGCCGCCGCCGCCGCUAGGCGGCUCUUCCGCGCGUCCCCCAACGGCCCGUCGGAACCGAUGCGCCCCGCCGCCACCAGAGACGAAUGCACUCGGUCCGCGGCGUUCUGAGCUCGGCUACUCCCGGGGCUGCCGUACACUGCCUGCUCCUGCUCCUUGGGCUGGGGCUGUCGCUGCUCCGGAACCCUGUGUUUGACGAAAGAGGCAAAGGAGUGGCGCCACACCUGGACGCCACCACCGCGGUCGUCAUCACCACCGUCGCCGCCGGCGGAGGCGGCGGCAGCGUCAGCGGCGGUGGCGGCGGAGCUCCGCGACUGCUGCCCCCUGGCGGCCGCCGCACGUCGCUUCAUGGUAAUGCUUCGCCCCAGCGGCCCCAGCAGCGUCGUCAUGAGGGCGCCGACCCCCUUCUCCGGGGCGGUGCGGACGUGCUGGGUGGUGGUGGCGGUGGUGGUGGUGGUGGCGUGCGACUCGGUAGCUGAGUCCUCCUCUUCCUUUUCCUCUUCCUUGUCGUCGUCUUGGCCAUCAUCACCAUCGCCACCACCACCACCAUCAUCAUCAUCAUCAUCCGCGCCCUCUCCUUUCCCUACUCCUCUUCCUUUCUUGCGCUUCUCGUGCUGCUGGCCCCGCUCCAAGGCUUGCGAAUAGACCGCCUCAUAGAGCGCCUGGCGGGCAGGGGGAGGGGAGAGAGAGGCGAGCAACGGCAGCGGAAACUGAGCAAAUAACCCCCUAGUUGGCUGUGGGCCGCAUCAAAUAUAGCAAAGCAAGGGUAGCGCAUACUGUAGCAGCAGCAGCAGCAGCAAACACUAUUGGCAGCAACGGCGGCGGUGUGUAUUUGUGUAUUUGUAUGCCCGCAUCAUACAUACCACCAAGCUCUCCACCUGUUCUCAUCAUCCGUUGCUCCAAGGUAGGAAGGUAAGGAGGACAUGAACACCCCUCACCCCUCCACCCCUCUGUCACAGACCCGCCGACCCAGGCGCUCACCAAGUACUUAACCACUUGCUCCGAAUCCUCGCCGUACUCCUCCGCAAGGGUCUCCACUAGUCGUGCGUACAGCUCCCCCGCGUCCUCCAGCAAGCCCUGCAGCCGUACCGUACGGCAGUACGACCGAUGAACCCCUUUCCGCGGGUGAAAACUUCCCCUGUUGACUAGUUAUCUUUCCCUCUUCUCUGUCUCUUUCUCUCUGUGCUUUUUGCUUUUGUGCACUGUGCGCUUAUCAAGAUGACGCCACCACCGGAUCUCCCUCUGGCCCCCUACCCCCUCCCUCUGGCCCCCUACCCCCCCCUCUGCGCUCCAACCCCCCACAUACCAGCUGCUGCAGCACCCCGGCCAGCCCCUCCGCACACGCCAACGUGACCGGGUGCACCGAGCCCAGUGCCCUCUCACACAGCACGAGAGCGCGACACGACAGCACCUCCGCCUCGUCCAGUCGCCCGGCGGCCACCGCCAGCUCGGCCCGGCCGCGCAUUGCGACCAUGGCGGCGGCGCGGAGGCGGCGGCGGGCGGUGUGUGCGGCGGCGGUGGUGUCCAGGUCCAGGGAGUCCGUUACGGAGAGCACCCUGCGAGCCCGGGGCCCGAGCAGGGGAGCGAGGUGAGGUGAGGUGAGGUGAGGGGUACGAUGGAGCACAGGAGGAGAGGUGAGAGGGGGGUUUUACGAUUAGAGAUGCAGUGGGGAGGUGAGGAGGCGAUUUUAUUGGGGGAGAGAAGAUGUAACGGAGUGAAGCUGACAGAUCGACGAGGUGUGUGUGUGUGUGGGGGGGCAACGGCAUUGGUGGUUUGCUGAAUGACUGAAAUCUCAAUGGAUGGAUGGACGGAUGGAUGUCUAACAGAAGGCGACGGAAAGUACAACGGACAACGUGUUGACCCCCCCGUGAGCUGGAGAGGAUCCCUCACCGCCAGGGCCCGCUGAACAACCCAGUCAUAAACCGCCCACCUCUCCCUCCCACCUCCCAACCGAACCCCCACACGGGACCUACCUCUGAAACAGCGCCUCGGCCUCCCCCCUCUGAUCCGUCUCCAUGAGCAAAACCGCCAAUUGGUUGACCGUUGUGACAGUUUCCGGGUGGUUGGGACCGAGAACCGACUCCAUGACCUACGUGGUGGGACGCAAGCCGGCGGGGGAUCUUCGGGGUACAUACACACAUACAUACAGACAGGCAGACGCACGUACGUCAUGAACUAUAUGCGCAAGAACAACAAUAUCAACGACUUCUACGUGCCAAUCCAAACCUGUGUGCAUUCCCCCCUAUCCCGCCGCUGCACUCAAUCGGACACCAUCAGGGGCGCCAUCAGAGCCAGCCUACGAGUGAUGAAAUCGAGCCCUUAUAUUCUCCCCCUUUCCCCUCCCCUCCCCUCCCCUCCCCUCCCCUCCCCUCCCCUCCCCUCCUCUCCNNNNNNNNNNNNNNNNNNNNNNNNNNNNNNNNNNNNNNNNNNNNNNNNNNNNNNNNNNNNNNNNNNNNNNNNNNNNNNNNNNNNNNNNNNNNNNNNNNNNNNNNNNNNNNNNNNNNNNNNNNNNNNNNNNNNNNNNNNNNNNNNNNNNNNNNNNNNNNNNNNNNNNNNNNNNNNNNNNNNNNNNNUGUAUGUGGAGGGAAGAUCUGGAUCGCUGGAUCGGAACUGGAAAUGCAAAAAUUCAUCACCUGCCGCCGUAGCAGUCACGUACUCAACCCCCUCUCCCCCCUCCCCUCCCCCGCUCCCCCCUGCCUCACCUUCGCAACAGCGGCUCCGCUUCCGCAUGUCGGUCCAUCUGCCCCAGCAGGGAGGCCAGGUCGAUGAGGGAGGCGGCAGUGCCCGGGUGCUCGGGACCCAGAACCACCUCGCGGAUAUCCAGAAUCCUGGGAAAGGGGAGUGGGAGGGGGGGAGGGGAGGGGGAGGGGAGGGGAGGUCGCACAGAGCAGGAUGUGGACUAAGCGACAAGGAGCAGGGGAAGGGAAGGGAAGGGAAGGAGGUUUGUGUGUGUGGGGGGGUUGUUUGGGGUUUGGGGUUGGGGCCGGGGGAUGCUUUGGGGUUUCACAUUGGGUUUGUCUUGGAGGUUUGUGUGGGCCAUGGUCGUGUUUGCGCCGCUGUCGUGGGGCUCCGCCACUGCGCAGUACGGCAUGUCGCAAUGGGCAGCGCAGCCGGGGGGGGGAUUGGAGAUACCAACAAUCGCGACAGACAAAACGAUUCACCCUAGGACGCAUAAUUACAGUCUGCCUACCACCGUAACCACCACCGUAACCAGCAUCAACACACACACACACACAUACACCCCCUCACCGUCUGAGCAGCGGCUCCGCCUCCCCCAACCUGCCCUGGUCCAUCAGCAGCAAGGUCAGGUCGGUCAGGGACGCGGCUGUGUCCAGUGCCAGCGGCCCCAAGAGGCUCUCCCGGAUCCCCAGGGCGGUUUUGAACAGCUCCUCAGCCUCCUCCAGCUUAUCAGCCUGGAGGGAAGACGGCGGGGGCAAGACGGGGGAUGGGGGGUAACGGGGAUUUGUGUUUUGGGGGUCCUGGUGGGUGUGGAGGGAGGGGUUGUGUGGAAGCAUCCAUCGGGGGUAGGGGGGUAGGGAGGUGCGGAAGGAAAACCCACACGGCACAAAACGCAACACGGGCCAUGUAAAACGUGUACAGGGGGGGAGCGACGUCAGCAGCACUGCCAGUCAGGAUCCUGCAGGAGCAGGAGGAGGAGAAGGAGGAGGAGGAGGAAUUGGAGUUGGGGACCCUCCCUGGACCUCAGGGAAAACCCUAGCUAGGCAGCUGCACCCGUUCCGUUGCCCCGGGAAACUACCUCGCCACCAAGUUCCCAACCCCAUCCACAUCCCCACCGGUGCCCUGGAUAUCGGCACUUGACAUGCCGUCUCUUCCGUGUGUAAACUCCCUUCCCCCCUUUACCCCCCGCCUUCCUCCCUCCUCCCCCCUUCCUACCUUCCGGAGCGCUACCCCUAGGUUGGACAGUGCAUUCGCCGUGUAGGGGUGUGCGGGGCCCAGACUGCUGGCAGCGGCCUCGGCAGCUCGCCGCAACAGAGCCUCGGCCUCGUCCAAUUUGCCCUGUACGCAUGUAUGUAUGCAUGUAUGUACGUAUGUUUUGUUGACCAACCGAGCCGCGAGUACGCGUGUGUGCGUGUGUAUGUGCGUGGGGGGGGGACGUGGCAGUGAGGUUGGGAGGCGGUCGAGAUGGGAGGGAGAGGAGAUGAAUCGCCGCUGGUGCAACAACAUGGAAUUGAAGAAAGGACUGCCGAAAUCCACAUCGGGGUCCCUGAUGGGAGCGCGGCGGCGUUAGGGGGCGUGGUUUCCACCCACCCGCACCUGCUCCUCCAGCAAGCCCGCCAAGUUGUUCAUGCAGCGCAGGGUGUCCACGUGGCUGGGCCCCAGACUGCCCUCACACGCCACCAGAGCAGCCCGCAUCAGGGGCUCCGCCUCGUCGAGUUUGCCCUGGUCCUGUGGCGAGGGGGGGUGCGGGAGGACGGUGUCUGUCUGUCUGUAUGUCUGCAUGUAUGUCUGCAUGUGCGUCGUGUUCUAUGUAAGGUGUUCUCUGUCCUCGUGCCUGCGUGUUCCCUCCUCCUUCCCCCUCCGAGCAAAUGACGGGUAUGAUGCGCCGCCCAGGACACCCCCAGGACGGCCAUUUCCACCAAACAUUUACGGUAGUGUGUGCACCCCAACAUUACAGGUGGUGUGUGCGCCUUGAAGCCUCUUCAAGUACCUUCAGUGACAAGGCCAAGUUACAGCGGACAGCCAGGGUCAACAAAUGCCCCCCGCCGUAGUGCGUCUCGAAGGCCGGCAAUGCCGUACGCAGCAACGGCACCACCUCCGCCAGGGAGCCGCCACCAGCUCCGGCCGGCGGCAGCGCCAUAAUGGCGGCACCGCUCAGCGGCGGCGGCGGAGCUGCCGCCGCGGUCGGCAGCGCUGAGCCCGUUGCGCCUUCCCUGGAGGCGGCACUUGCGGCGCCGCGGAGGUGGUCCAGGCUGCUGGCGUCGCGGGAGGAGGCGGCGGCGGCGCUGCCGGCGGCGUGGCUGGAGGUCCGCAGACACAGCUGCCGAGCUAGGAAAUGCCUCGCGUGGGCCGCAAGUACAGCGGUGGAGGCGGCGGAUGCGGCGGCGCCACUCCUGGCUACAUCGUCCGGGGCGUCGAGCCUCGUGAUGGCGCCGCGCAGCAGCAGCUCCGCCUCGUCGCCAUCGAGCGACUGCGGCAGCACGUGCAGCAGCGCGCCGAGAUGUAGCAGCGAUAUCAGCGGCAUUAACGGCUGUGGGUGCGGCGGCGGGCAGCCAGCGUGAAGCUCCCGGGCGCGGCGCAGGUACGGCUCACCCUCUGCCGGCCGGCCAGCGGCCCACAGAAGGCAGCCAUAGGCGUCGCUGGUGGCCGCCGCCAGCGCCUGCAGCUGGUGGUCGAAGGGCUCAGCGGACGAUGGCGGCGGCUGGCUGGAUGGCUCCGCCGCCGCCGCGACAUCAGCGGCAGCGUCCGAAGCUGCACCUGCCGAGUCAGAAGGAGGCGACGGCGGCACCGCCGCCGCCGGCUCUACCGGGUUCUGUCCUGCAGCAGCGGCCGACUGGGCCGCCGCAAUAGCCGUCGUCAGUGUUUGUAGUUGGUGUUCAAAGGCCGCGAGGAGGCCGUGCUUUAUGGCUGCGUCCGCAGCGGCGACGCGACCUUCCACAUCGAGCUCUUGCCCUUCCUCACCACCGCCGCCGUCGGCCUGCGGCGGCGCCGCGGCGGCAGCGUGCUUCGGAGGCGCCGCCGCCGUUGCCGUACCUGGCGGCAGCGGUAUGGUAGGCGCCUCCGCUGUGACGUCUUCCAGAAUCGCUGCAUGCACGGCGUCGGGUGUCUGGGGCGACGGUAGCAGCAGAGUAAGGUUCUCCCAUGCCAGGUGCGUUAGCAGCACAUCUAAUGGCCCUGCGCAAAGCGGAGUGAUAGCGGCGGGCUUCCCAGCGGCGACAGCGGCACGGCGGUAGCGCAUGUACGACCAAAUGCCGUAGAGGCACCAUGGGGAUGUGAGCACCGCGGCAUCGCCGUCGAGUACGACCGCCAGGAUGGGUGCUUCGCGGGCGGCGGUGGUAACGUCUUGGGACGCCGAGGAGGAGGAAGAAGCUGCAAUGGCGUGAAUAGCGCGGCGAUAGGUUUCCAGGGCUGAGGUUGGGAGAGAGGUGCCGCCCCCAGCGUAGGGUUUGGAGCGUGAGGGGACAGACGACACGACGGUGGAGGCCUGGGAAAUAGCGUCCAGGCUGUCGUCGUUGUCCACGUUGUGCAGGUUACAGGCAAGAAUGUCAAGCCAGAAGUACACGGGAUCGGAGCUAUCUGGGGGACGCUCCUGGGCGAGUGUGUCAACCAGGCUGCUGAAGCUCAUGGUCCAUGGCGCGAUGACCACCAAGCUGGGCACGCCGCGGUCUUUGUCAGGCAGCAAUUCCACGUACGCGCACAACUCAGACAACGUGGCUGGACGAAUAAUGCUUUCAACGACGGCCGCAACAGUGGCUCCUUCCUCAACACCUGCACUAACCCUUUCUGCGAGCUCUCGCAGGGCAGCUAGUGAAACACCUGUCCUUGCGAUGUCUUGCAUUCUGAGAUGCCAAAAUGCGAACAGGGUGUCACGACGUUAUCCAGAUACCAUUUUAAGCAGAUUCGAAGCGGUGAGCUAUGAGCUGUUCAAGUGCACAGUUCUUCGAGCCCUGAUGAAGUCGCAAAGUGAGUGCGUCAUUUUAUAUCUAGGUAAGAUCUCCAUUAGGUUCUGUGUCUAUUGCCUCUUCGAGCUGGAACCGGGCGUAUUCCACGCGCUAUCCCGUACAGCUCGUCCAACCGGUUCUCAACGCAGUUGCCUACCUUUCCUCCUCCCCAUAUGAAAAUCAAUUAUCCCCGCACCAUUGUCCAGGCUUGAGCAAGUAACGUUGCUCUUAGUCGUAGAAGGCUCUUAAACGUCUGCUAUAAAGAUCGUGGCGCCAUGUCUUUAGCAUUUGACGAGUAUGGGCGGCCGUUUAUCAUUCUUAGGGUACGUAUUUCUCCUCUGUGUGUGAUUUCAAUUUUAGCUCUAUUGCGUGAAGCCCGCCGUCUAGAGUUCUCGAAACGGCGCUGCUUCUGUCUUCGCAGGAGCAAGAGAGGAAGUCACGGGUAAAAGGGAUAGAAGCCGUUAAAGCCAGUAUUAUGGCUGCCAAGACUGUGGCGCGAACGUUGCGGUCCAGCCUUGGGCCUAAGGGGAUGGACAAAAUGCUUCAGAGUCCCGAUGGCGACGUAACGAUCAGUAAGUGAUCUGGCGCACAUGAAAUUAACAACAUAUGAUUUUGGUUUUGCGUGCGAAACGGGGGCGCCACUUAUCCGCGCGGGCUUGUUGGGCGGGAAGAUGAGGACGCGGGCCUCCCGGCUCCGCCCCAUAUAUAUGUGGUGAAACUAUGCGAGUACGUGCCAUGCUCCAUGAGAUGCUGUGGCCUGUGCACUGCAGCGAACGAUGGCGCUACGAUCCUAGAAAUGAUGGAGGUGGAAAACCAGAUUGGCAAGCUCAUGGUGGAGCUUUCAAAAUCACAGGAUCACGAAAUUGGGGACGGAACGACGGGUGUGGUCGUGCUGGCGGGUGCUCUGCUGGAGCACGCCGAGUCCCUUCUUGACAUGGGGAUGCACCCGCUCCGUAUCGCCGAGGGUUAUGAAAUGGCCUGCAAGGUAGCAACUGAGAAUUUGGACAAGAUAAAAACUCGGUUUGAGUUCAGCAGAGACGACAUCGAGCCCCUCGUGAAGACGUGCAUGACAACCCUCUCCUCAAAAGUGUAGGUCCCGGUAGUGCAGCUGCACCCUCGCGUUGGUGUGUUGGAUUGGGACGGGGAGAGGGCAGGGGGAACAGGUAGUGUGAUAAAUUCUGAUGAGAUGUGUCCCUCUGCAUGUACGUGGCCUUAGGUUUCGGCCCGCAAACUUGUGGGGUCGUUGGGUUCCAGGGUGCGCAGCCUCACCUGCUGCGUGCGGGGGGGAUUACUGUUUCGGUGGGUUUAGGUAAGAUCCCAAUGUUCAGGUGGCUACCUGGACUUUUCGGGAUCCGUUUGCAAGCCUCCCUGGUGCAGCAUCCUAGACUGUUUUCACCGCCGGUCACAAUAAAAAGGGGGUGUCAGGAAAUGGUGCCGGGCUUUGCAAGGGGAUUACCGUUGUUUGCCAUGGGGCGUGGGUUAUCGUAAUGUAGAGUUUCGGCUGUAACGUCACCUAAUGGGGAGGAGCGAUUAAGCAACCUGUAUGCUUGUCGUUUCCCUUUGCCAGCCGUUAGGUUGCUUCGUCGGAGGAGACGAUGAAAUACCACGAUUGAAUAGCUGGUUAGCACUGACCUUUUUACACAAAGGCCCAGUUGCCGCCCCAUGGCCGAAACCAUGACGGCACGUCUGCACGGCCCCUGCGCCCCUUUUCCUUGCCACUCUCAGCGUGGGACGGCUAAAGCUACAGAUGGCGGAGAUUUGCGUCAAGGCCGUGCUGGCAGUGGCAGACCUGGAGCGGCGGGACGUGAACCUGGACCUGAUUAAGGUGCGUGGGUGGGCCUUCUUGAGAGGACCCGUGGGCCGGGCAGCUUUAAGUUGCGGACGGAGAGCAUUCGACGUUCAGCAAAGGGCUCCACGCUGCCUAGUGGUGUUGGGACAAUGUGUAUAAGCGCUCCCGGUCUGUGCUGCCAGCUCGCGCCGCAUGUCCGUCAGCCAGAUGUACGGCCUACUACAUGUGUACACACAGGCAGGCGUAUUAAAGAACCUCUGCACUACAAAUCUAUAACUGUGGUGUAGGCGCACAGCGUUUUCAGUCAGCAAAUCUCAGCGAUUUUAAGCAAUUAGGUGAGAGCCAUCGCAGUAUAUACCGGCCAUAGGCCAGCUGAACCAGCAUCCUAAGGCCUACCGGCACCCGGGCGGGGGUCUGCACCGGCACCGGAGACUGCACCCGUGCGCUUUGCGUGCAACGUAUCUAAAUCUUCGGGCUGGGCCCUGAAACGAGAAUGGUCCCCUAAACUGGGCUCGUACGGAACUACAUUUUAUCUGGGGCAACAUAUUUUAUUGCGAUGUUUUAGAUUCGGAACGAGGGAUUGAAGCUGUCUGCGAACUUAGACGGAUUGGGGGAAGCAGCCGCAAGCUUGCCAAGGGACAGGUAGGACGUCAGAAUGCGCAUUAUACCGUUCGUUGUGCCUCUCAUUGGCACCAAGAUGCGCACAGUUAGCCUCCCAUCCUACUCCUGCACGAUUCUCUCGCGAAAAGCGACAGACUAUUGUACAACUGCUACGUGUUCCUAGGAAGGAAACAAGUUGUCUGCUCCAAUGAGUAUAUUUCCAGUAGGGGGACGGUUGCUAUUACCGUCUAGUUUUAUUGCACUGCCAAGUUUCGCGCAGUCAUAUAUACGUACAUCUUCGGUGUUUUCAUGGCGGCCCAUUUCCUAAUUAUACACACGCGCACGUGCACAUACCACAACCUCAUCUUGAUGGACACUAUAUCAUUGUUAGCCGUGUACGUACUGUGACCAGCGUGGUUCCUUUGCGCGCUGAACAUCCACCCACAUCCAUCCCUCGCAUCCCGCAGGUGGAGGGCAAGGUCGGCGGCAAGAUGGAGGACACCCGUUUGGUGGAGGGCAUCGUCAUUGACAAGGAGUUUAGCCACCCACAGAUGCCAAAGGAGCUGAGCGACGUCAAGGUGGCUAUCCUCACCUGCCCUUUUGAGCCGCCUAAGCCGAAAACCAAGCACAAGGUGGGGGAUCUGCGGCGAAGCCUCAGCGUGCUGCUGGGCAGCGGGAAAUGCUGUCGAGUUACCGUCAUAUGGGCGUUUCAAUAUCCACUGCGUCGAUUGGUUUAAUUACUAUACAAGUGACAGCCUUGCGGAGCCCCAUGGUGCUUCCCCGCGCGCUCGCUAAGCACUUUGAUUGUCCACUUCUGGGAUUUGGGUGUCAAGCUGUUCCUGACGUGCAAGCCUCACUGGCCAGUAUGCGACACGUUACCGCUGUUCCAUAAUUUCUAAAUGGCCAAAAGCACUAGUUCCGUCCAGUCCGGAUUACCCGCUCAGCCGAGGUUCUCAUUAGUCUACUGCUUUUGCGUCCUGAGUUACACAAAUGGAUGGCCCGCUUCGUCCUCCUAACGGAGUCAAAAGUCAACCCUCGUAGGUGGACAUUGACACGGUGGAGAAGUUCGAAGCGCUGCGCGACGCCGAGCGGACCUAUUUCACGGACAUGGUCCAGCGCUGCAAGGACAGUGGCGCUCAGCUGGUCAUCUGCCAGUGGGGUUUCGAUGACGAGGCCAACCACUUGCUCAUGCACCAGGUGAGGGACUUUCUUUGCGAGAUUGGUGAUUGCCAUGGAUUGCCUCAGGGCUUCACGAUUGUCCGAAGAUACCGACUGGGUGCUAGUCAAGGGCACGCCAAGCACUUGGGUCCCUUCCGCAAGCGUCUGUAUUGUAAGGUCUCUUUGCCUGCUAAAGUCCCCGCGACAAUUUACCUUGCUGCCAGGUCCUUUCGUUUCGCCCCUCGCAUGCCGCUCCCUUAACCCUGCUUCGUGUCCUUCAUGCCUGCUGUUUCGUUACCUUGUUUCCCGUGUAUGGCAAACGCUGUUUCGCCUUUUGUUUCUUUUCCGCCAGGACCUGCCUGCGGUGCGAUGGGUUGGCGGCGUUGAGAUUGAGCUGCUAGCUAUGGCCACUGGAGCCCGCAUCGUGCCUCGUUUUGAGGAGCUAAGCCAGGACAAGCUAGGAUUCGCUGGUAGCGUGAAGGAGGUGCGCUAGACGGGCUGAAUGUUGGGCCGGGUUUGGUAUUAUGAGGGCCGGUUUAGGUUCCGUCCACUCACUCCUGGCAGUUUUCCUCGGCUGAUGUGACAAUAGUUUGCAUGGACAUCGCGAGCCCUGUUGUGUCAUCUGGUGAAGUUUUCAGGGUGCUGAGGUCAUGGUGAUGAUGCAGAAGCCGGAGCCAUGCAAGCCCCUGCAUGUGAAAGAAGUUGUGACGCAAUAUUGCAUUCGUCCACGUCCGCGCCAUUACUGCAUAAACAUAAGCAGUAGCACCCUGCAUCGUUAAAGAUUAGCACCAUCCAUGGAACGUCAUUCGACGGAUUCAGCCUGUUCUGACCCUCUCGCUGCUGCAAUCCAAAUCGGUCGCUUUAUAAUCACUCUGUUUCUACACGCGUUAAUCUGUACCAUCCUACACAGCAGCGUUACCAUUUCCCCGCGGUCGCCAACGCCAUUCGGCCUGGGGAUCCGUUCCCCUCGACAUGAUAAUCCCCUUCCGCUCACCUUCAAAACUUUAGCCAACCUGCACACCGGCCGGCACCUUGCAGGUGGGUUUUGGCACCACAAAGGAUAAGAUGUUGGUCAUUGAGGGUUGCCCCAACCUCAAGGCCGUCACCAUCUUUGUCCGCGGCGGCAACCGCAUGGUCCUGGACGAGAUUAAGCGGUCGCUGCACGACGCCAUCUGCGUGGCGCGCAACCUGGUGCGUGACAACGCCAUUGUAUACGGUGAGACAGGAGCUGGAGGGGAAUGGGUAUGAGGGCCUCGUAAGGGGAUUGCCUCGCCGCUAGCGCCCGGGUCCUGUUCGCUAACUGACGGUUUCCACCUUUCAGGCUUUUCAGAAGAUGUCGCGACAAGUGAAUGGCCAAUGGGGUUGGAGGUAUUAACGUGCUCGAAUCAGUGAACUAGGGGCUUGCAAUAAUACGGGCGUCAGGUCGAAGUGACACGAAGUCCCCGCGCAGCAUGUCUUAAGCUCCUGCGUGGGUUCACUGCUUAGAAUCGACAUGGAAGCUAAACUCCUGAUGUCCCGUACGCCAGGUGGCGGCGCUGCGGAAAUCAGCUGCGCGCUGGCGGUGGAGGAGGAGGCGGACAAGGUGACGGGAGUGGAACACUACGCCAUGCGGGCCUUCUCGGACGCGCUGCAGGUGGGCUCGCGUUCACGCUGUGGCGCUGAUUUAACUCCUAUUGUGGUGUUGCGUGCAGCACGGCUCCGUGUGCUAAGGUCUAUCCCUCCCUUUGAUCUCCCCGCCUCCUUGUCGCCUGCUGUCUCCUUUUGACUCAUAACUAGGGAACACCAAUAAAGUCUCGGGUCUUGCCCCAGUGUGAGUGAAGUGAUGUUGGGUUUGCGGAUUAGGACAAAUGCAGUCGAGCUGUAGUGUAAGCUACGGUGAGAAUGUAAUUGGUGUAGGUGUACAGCUCAGCUGAGGCACACGGUACCAUGCUUUGUCCUGGCAGGCGGUGCCGCUGGCCCUGGCAGAGAACAGUGGCUUGCCGCCCAUUGAGAGCCUAACGGCCGUGAAGAAGCGCCAGCUGGAGGAAUCAAACCCCUACCUAGGAAUUGACUGCAACGACGUGGGUAAGUGCCCGCGUGCCUCUUGCACCAGGGGAAAAGCUGCUCCGCACGAAUCGUGCUCGAUGUGCAGCUGUUGUUUACAAACACUAUUCGGGGUAGGUUUCCAACAAUAUGGCAUAUAGCUUGCUGGUAAGGACAUGUGGUUGUGUGCUUGGCUGAGUUCGCAUGCCAAUUUUGCGGCAUAUGCAAAACCGGAGCCUUUGCGUCAUAGCCUACGUGUGUUACUGAAGUUGAACAGUGCGGUUUGCCUCGCACAUGUCUGCUGCUAGAACUGGGAUGCGCCAAGGCAAGAUGUCUGCUGCCUCACCUUGCGUCCUGCGUUCCUGGCCUGCACCCCGGGAAACCUGUCCAUGACAUAUUUUUCCUCCUUUCCCCGAAGGCACCAACGACAUGCGUGCGCAAAACGUCUUCGAGACGGUCAUUGGGAAAAAGCAGCAAUUGUUCCUCGCAACGCAGGUGAGGGAGUUGGGGUUUCCCUGGUCUGACAGAUCAUGCUUGGUUGGUUACAACAGCCAGCAUUCUGCACUACCUGCAUGUAACCUGGCACUGUUCGCUCUACAAGCAAGGAGGCCGUCAACGGGGCCAUCAUUGCUGAGCAGGCGGGUUUAAGACACCAUACCACCUGGUUGAUAGCAGGCUACCUGCUUGCAACGCUCGAAUACUUGGACGCCGCAAUAUCUAUUCAUGAGUGAGGCUCUCAGCAUCCAGUCCCAACAGUUUGUACCGGUUAGAUUCACAGUACUAGUCGACUCAUUCCGCUCAUCCUCAUGUUUUCGUUGCGGACUACCGGUGGUGCGUAUACAUCCGAAGUGCUUAGCGCUCUACCCUGUGUUGGAUAACGACGCGCAGGUGUGCAAGAUGAUCUUGAAAAUCGAUGAUGUUAUAAAGCCGUCGGAAUUUGAAUGAGGGGAUCGGCGGCGGGAGCACGGAUUCAGACCGGAAGUGAGCAUGACUGACUGCGGACAGGACAUCUGGGGCUGAGAAUGCGGCCCAGAGGCGCAAAGCUCUUCCUCGGUUGUAAUCCUACAUCCGUAAGGCUGUGCAGUUCCCGUCCUUUGGCUCUUCGAAUUGUUGGGGAUGCUGUAAUCAAGCCUAGAGAGAUCGUGGCGUGCCCUCAACCAAGUCCGAGGCGCUUGUUGCUUGUGAUUCGUAACAUGGCGCAUGGAUGGCUGUAGCACGCACUGGGCAGGGCUGGGCUUGCUUAUGGCACCAAUAAGGUGCAUCGCGCAGUGCCUAAGUGUCAGAGGGCUGUGGAAACAAGGCUGUGUGUUGCUAAAAUCCGCAUGCGUGUUCGGAGGCGGCAGGGUUUUGGAGGUGUUUCGGCAAGCAUCGGCUGCCUCGGUCGUUUUUGUGGAAGGACCGUCGUAAAUCCAGGUAUGGUGUUGGCGGUUGGGUUUGCUGUCCGCCAGCUGAAGCCGGAAGCCUGCUCCUCGCGACAGGGUGGUGGAUGUUGCGUUUAGUGCGCUUCGGAAUCGCAGCUUUUGUGGCAGGACGUACGUGUCGUAAGGCUUGGUUGACUGUGGUAACACCUAUGAUAUGCGAGAGCUUUGCGUGCAGCGUGGCUUUGCAGGCUGAUGUGCUUUUCCGGCGCGAUCCUUGGGCUGCGACAGUGGCACAGGUCACCUGCUGGCCACACGGCCCAAGAUGAAUUAUGGGUUUGUUGAUAUCUGUAAUUAUCAUCAAAGCAAUUGUCAUUGUUCGUCCACCCUGACUAAAGUCUAUGGGCAUAGUCGGCACACGUACUCCCGUACUGAUUCAGAUCAUAAGUAUCAGUAAAAGUUUCCUGUCAAAUGUUACACAUUCGAUGGGGCCCAGAUUCUCGUUACGCAUGAAACGAUUGAAAUGCUUAGGGGUUAUACUGAAGGGCGGUCAUGUUUCGCCAAUGUUAAGGUCUUAUGACUUUGUCUCAGUAAAGUUUCGUGAAAACAGAUAACAGGGCGCCAAGAUUAUAUCAUAUACAUUGAAUUAUGUUUUCCAACAGUGUUUACCAAUCUGUUAAAUUGCUCAAGGCCAGUUUGCUGUGCAGGUUCCAUUUAUAAGGAUGCUGUUAAUUUGGUUAUUCUUCUGCCUGGGGAACAGCUGGACAACAAAGUCUCAAAGCAUCCAGGGCUACGCCUCAAAACAGCGCUGUGCUUACACACGCGGAACAUGGUGCACAAACUUCUUUGCACAGGAGGUAAGGCGGCCGUGAGGUCUGCCGGGGUUUAGGCGGUGGCUAUUGGCUAGACUCCUGCGGGUAGGAGUUGGAUGGACAGGGAAGGAGGGGCAUCGGUUCGGCGUAAGAGGUCACGAUUCCGGGCAAUAUGUUUGUUUGUUUUUCAUAUUAGCCUGGGGGAAGGUUCUACUCUUGGCGCUGGAAGGGACCGCGGGCGCACAUCUGUCUCGUGGGAUGUGUGCAGUAGGACCAGAACACAUUUUGGGAAGUAGGACCGGAUGCGGAUAUUCCACAACACCCACAAACACACAACACAGACAGCCACAAACACAGCGAGGACUGCUAAACACCGAUCACCCUAGAUGCUUCGUCCUCGACCCUCCAUGCGGCCCCCGAACAAACUCCCUUCCCCCGUCCCUCUAAAGCUCAACUGGUCAACCCAACCAACCGAACUAACCCAUUCCGAUGGUUGUCCCUUCUCAUAUUACGACUCUGCGUGUUACAACACCUGCAGCUGGUGCCUUGGCGGCCUGCGCCUCGCGGCGACAUGGACUGCCCUGGCGGUUGCAAUAAUGUGGGCCGCUGCAAUUACGACACGGGGAAAUGUGACUGUCCUGCCGGGUGGACGGGACCGGGCUGCAAGACGCCCUUCAAGCGGCCCUGCGCGAACCAACAGAGGUAUGACACGUGUUUUUCUUUCAUGGAGCCGCUGCUGCUCCAGAGGGGAGAGGGCCUGGUGCGCUGCGUCAUCGCAUGACUGUACGGCAGUUCGGCGUACUUCACGGCAUCAGCUUGGGCGGGACGGGGACAGCAGUGGCGGUGUGUGGUGCCUGUUGUGUGGUGCUCGUGCUACCUUCCUCGCGAUAGUGAGAGGCAGCUAUAUCAUCAUGGGGCCCACCAGGUUGCCGUACCCCCCUGUACGACAUAUGGCCAUGGAGUGAUAUGCCCUCCGGGAGAUUAUCAGAUGUAGUGCCCAUACGUAUUGUGUGUUCUGAUAGAGCGGUUUUAUGGGCGCCAAUAAACCUCCCCCUUGUUUGCGGUUUAUUCGAGGGCAGCAUCUCCUGGCUGCCACCAGGGUGUUUUCUUAUCGUACACUGGUGUUUGCCCUGUCGUCGUUCGGCACACCAGCAGCAGCGCCGUAGUGCAUUUCUGCAAGGAGCCCCCCGGGUAUGGUAUUCCGCAUCCAGGGGCCCGUGCUUCCUAAGAGCUGGGUAUGUGCGUUUUAUUUUCCUGGCUGUGCGUUGCGGGGGAAGGUGUGUAUGUAAGGUGAUCGUUCAUGGUUGGCCGUGCCGUACAGGGAUCCCUUUGAGCGACGCAGCGAGCCGUACUCCCACAUCGGGCCCGACAAACGUGACUUGGACUUGGGCACGAGGAACGUGCACUUCCUGUACGGGCGGUGCGGAGGUAAAUAUAUAUAUAUAUAUAUGUGUGGGUGUAUGUGUGCAAUCUGACUCUGCAUAUGUUUCCCCUUACCAUAUGCAUCGCUACAACGGAAAUCCAUGUGAACCGUGUUGGACCCCCCACCCCCCGGGGCAGUGCCAUAACCCAGAUCGCACAUUCCCCAAAACGGCCUUCGAGUUGCAGUUGCUCCAUCGCUCUGGACUCUGGACUCUUAGGCGGUUGGUGCUUUUGCUUUGGACGGCGUGGGGGGGCUGUUGCCUUCUGUUCAUUUUUGCGUCGUCGUCCUAUGCGAUUCCCGCCCUCAUCCCCACCCCACCCCCACCCCACACAUACAUACAUACAUGCACGUUCCAUAAGCGCGUUAUCCCCGCCUUUCCAUUAUUGCCAUACACCCUAGCCCGCCUACUACUUGUACGACCUAUUGGUGCUUCCGUACCGAGCUUUCCUUCCCGGGGUUCCCUGGCCCCACUUUGUUUGGCACCAGGGGUUACGGGUUUUGGUCUAGUGAGGCUCUAGGGCUGCUUGACUGCCGCUCCGCUGCUGCCCUGCCCUGGCAUAGCAUAGCAUAGCAUGGCCUGGCCUGGCCCAACACACACACGUGUACGUGUGUGUAUGCACAUGGAGUUACGGCACCUCACCCACCUCCCCACAACCCGGCGGGUGCACAGGCGUUUGCGACGAUGACACGGCUAUCUGCUACUGUGACGGGCCCAUGGGUCGCGUCCCUGCGCCGCCGGAUGCCCCGCCCGGCACGCCGCCCAUCCGAGUGGGACGGCCUCUCAUUACCAUGCACCAUGCGCCUAAGACGGUGAGGGGGGAGGGCAGGGCCUGAGGGCAAGGGGGGGCGACACCUGGGCGGAUGGGGACGUUCAAAUGCGGGUCACACAAACCCUCUCCACGCAGCUCCGCUCCCCUCUCCUCCGCGACCAGGGGACCGGUGCUGCUGCUGCUGCUGCUGCUGCUGCUGCUCUAGGUGCUGCAACUGCUAACCUCCAACAUCCUCUACCCCCCGCAUGCUGUCCGCCGUUCACGCGACUGCAGACCUGGAACGGCUCCUGGGCGUUCGGCGAGGUACCGUACGACAACGUGUACGGCCCUCAGGGCUAUUGCAACGUGACGGAUCCUAUCUGGGUGCCUGGCUGUGGCAUGGACGGGUGGGGCGGCCGCACGUGCGACCAACCCGUGGAGGCGUUUUGCCCGGGGGCGUGCAGCGGACAUGGACAGUGCUACCUGGGCUGGUGCAUGUGCGUGUAUACGGGUUUGGGGGGUGCCAAUGGGGGGACGGGAUCAGGGUUUUCGGUUUAGGUGAGAAGCUGGGCUGCGUUACAGUUUUAACUUGGGUUGGGCAGGCAGGGCGCUUGGGAUGGGAGCUUUGCAGCUGCGUUGGAGCAUUGAUUUGUAUUUCAGUUCUUUCAAGUGUUUAAAUUGUUUAAAAGAAGGUUUGUUGGUUUGGGUUUUAGUUUGUCCGUUUGUUUUUGCCCGAAUGUAAGGGAAUGGGAAAGCCGCGGUACGAAAUCCCACGGAGCACUAAACGCGAAACAGUUCCCGCCGCCCCGCAGAUGCGACGCGGGGUAUUACGGGCACGACUGUGCGCGAAGGCGGGCGGGGCUGUCGCCGCUGCCUAGCGGCAUCCGCCAAAAGUGAGUGAGUGUGUCGUCGGGGAUUUGGGUGUGAGGGCGGGAGGGUGGUUGGAUUUGUUGUAGGAUGCAGGGACUGCGCACCGGGUUUUGAGGGGAUGCAUGCCGGGAUGUGCCGGGUAAUGAACAGGGGAUGUCUGUGUGUGUGUAUGUAUGUUGUUACAGGGUGGUUAACUUCGCCAGCGGCCCCCUUUCCCGGGGCAGUCCCUGCUCUCCCCUGCGAGAGGGGCACCCUAAUCCGUCACCCCAUCCGACUUCAGAAUGUAUUCGUUGGGUUCGGCAACUCACCACCAGCAUCCAACCAAAUCUAGCGGAUCAACGGCGCAUCAACUUAGUUCCUGGUCAGCUCGCAAGUUGAUAUUAUCACGUCCAUAUGAUGGGGGGCCUCCUCCCAUUUCAACAGUCCUCAAACACCCGAGGAGCCGGCAGGCGGAUUUGAACCCGGGUCGGCCGGGAGCAGAAGUCAGGCCUUAACCUCUGCCAGCCGCCUGCCGUGUGUAAGUGUGUGGAGAUUCUUGCCGUGGAGUGUUGCUGUUGUUAUUGGUGUCUGUGAUUGCCAAUGUUACUGUCCCUAUUCUUGGCGGUGCUACUGUUGUUUGUUGUUGUUGGUGGUGGUUGUGAUGCUGCAGGCGGUGGUUGGAGGGGGUUGUGGGUUCGGAGCCCCCCGCCGCGAUGGAGCCCCCGCCUCGGGCGGAGCGCAGGCGGCCGCUGAUCUACGUGUACGACCUGGAACCGCUGUACCAGAGCAAACUCCUGCAGUACAGGUAUGCCGGAUGAUGCUGUACAUUAGCCCUACCUCCGGCAUGCAGAAGGGGCCACAUGCAUACAGGCAUGUACAGUACCGGUCUUCCUCCACCGUAAUGUGGGUUUCCUGUACUCGGGGAAACCCGCGGAUACACCCGCGGCUCUGGUGCCCGUAUGUCCUAGGAGUUCAGGACUCCUUCCCUCUUUCCCAACGACCCUCGAGACGCUCUUCCCUUCUCUCCCGAACCCCCCUGCUUUGCCCACCUCGCCGCCGCGGCACCCCUUCAUACAUACCGACUUACCUUCCAUCCUUGCCUCUCAAGCUUCCCCUCCCGGCCUUUUUUCCGAUUUGAUCCUUAACGCCGGGCAAUUACACGGCAGGGUGUUUCCCCCCCUUGACUCCCGUCUGAAACCCACACGCGUCCCCCCCCGCGCCCCCCAGGGUCAGCCCCACCUGGUGCGUCCACCGGCUGCACAGGUGGCCCGACAACGGCACCCAGUGGACGGACGUGUGGGUGUAUGCGGCCGACACGCUGCUGCACGAGUCGCUGCUGAUCAGCGAGCACCGGACCUUCGACCCGGAGGAGGCGGACUUCUUCUAUGUGCCGCACUACGCCUCCUGCCUGCCCUUCCCCAUUGGGGUGUGGGCGGAUGCGCCGUGGUUCCCGGAGCCGGGGGGUGAGGGCGGGGGAGCCGGGGUCCUUGUGUGUUCGUGCGUGUGUAUGUGUGUGUAUGCGUGUGUGUUUCGCGGGGAAUGGUGAGGGGAAGACAUGCUGGUUUAGGAAAGGACAAAAGGGGGAACUCGAGCGAUAGGUGCGGGUUGCGACGGUUUUAGAAUUGGUUUAGACACGGGCGUUUUUCUUAGCUGCCUGAGUUAGGUGUUUCUGAGGUUAGGGGUUGCCGGUUAGGAGGUGCAGGUCAGCAGGCAGUGUGAGUGUGUGAGCAGGGCGGCUAGGUGGGCCUGGGUGUGGAGUGUGAGUGUCAGUGUGAGUGUGGGUGUGAGUGUGGGUGUGAUUCACGAAGAGCGGGAUUUUCGGUGGCAUCCUUUGUCCCCUCUCCUCCUCCUGCUCCUGCUCCUCGUCUCGUCUCGUCCACCCCGCCAUACCCCCACCCCAGCUCGGGCUCAUCACCAUCUUUGCGAGGUCCUGCCCGCAACUCGGGUCAUUACUGUCACAUGCCGAUUGCCGGUCAACAGAGGUCAGUGCUUGCUGUUUGCGCUGCAGCUGGGGGUGUACCUGGGUUGAGGUCCCCGCCCACCGGCACCAACCCCACCCCGCACUCCUAGCAGCAUCCACCCCGCUAAUACCCCACUCCCGGGGGCACCCUCCGGAAACCCACACACGUAUUCACGCACAUGCCCGCAGGUCCCCGUGUGAAGCAGAUGGUCAACAUGGUUCGUGACACGCUGGACUGGAUUAACUCCACCUUUCCGUACUGGCGCCGUCGCGGCGGACGUGACCACAUCUGGCUGUUCACACACGACGAAGGCGCCUGCUGGGCCCCCACCGCUAUCAACGCCUCCAUAUGGCUCACGCACUGGGGCCGUACGGAGCUAAACCACACGUAUGUACGGCGUGCCGUGGUUUCGGGGAUUUAGGCGGGUUUCGGGGGAGGCAUAGGGAGCCAUCUGGCUAGGGAGGGGGAGGGGGGAGGGGGGAGGGGGGGGCUGGGGAAGGUGGUGGAGGAGGAGGAAGGGUGAGGCGGGAGAUGCUUUAAAGGUAGAUGGGGCAUGGUGCUGUGGUGAUGGGGGGGGAUUUCGCGUGGCUCGUGGGAAGCCAGGGUUGUUCACCUGAGCAGAUUCCGAUGCUUUGAUGACAUGACGCCGUUGAAGCGAACCAAAGCCCCGGCCCGUCGCCCGUUGUCCUGGUAGGCCUACUGCCAAUACUUUAUCGUGUACCGUAUCUGUGUUUUGAAAUUCUAUGCAACGGACGGCCCCGCCUUUCAAAGGCCCCCAGCUCCGCUCUUCCCUCGCUUUGCUUUUUCCUGUUAACCCCCGUUCUUACUACCCCCCCGUGUAAGACUGUAUAAUGGCCGAGCCGAGGCGAGCCAAGCGCCCUCGGACUGCGUGGCUCACUUGGAAUACCGGGGCCCCUACCCUCCCAUCUGCGGCCCCCCUCUCUCCCCCCACGGGGGUGAUCAACACCCCCUCUCCCCCUCCUCCCACCCACACUAAUUCCCCCCGCCGUUCCUUGUCACCCCAGGAGCAACACCGCUUUCCUGGCCGACAAGUACGACAGUGACUUUGCAGGGCCCCUACAGCCCGAGGGUUUCGUCAAGUACAUCAAGGGUCACCCCUGCUUUAACCCGGAGAAGGUGUGUGUAUAUGUAUGAUGUGUGAAACAGGGGGGUAUAUCUUCGCCCGUGGCAGCUACCCUGCGAAACCCUGCCUUCCCCGGUAUUUCGGGGCACCCUCAUCCAGUCACCCUGGUCAACUUCUCAGUGGAUCGCUCAGGUUCCGCACCUACCACCAGCAUCCAAUGGAAUCUGCCGGGUCGACAGCGGCCCAAUUCCAUUCCUGGUUGGCUCGCAGGUUAACUUUAUCCCAGGUCACCACCGUCCAUCAACUAGGGGCGCAUACCUUCCACCAACGGAAGGAUUUUUUACCCUAACGGGUAUCGAUCCCGGGAUCUCCCGGGAGCAAUGGCCGCGCGUUACCAGUAGUGCCAAACCCUAGUAUAUAUAUGUAUGUAUAUAUAUGUAUGUAUAUAUGUAUGUAUGUAUAUAUGUCUGGGGGGAGUCAACAUGUCAUGUGGGUUUGGGUCGAGCUGCGGAGCACGUUGGGGCAGCUGGAUCAGCUGCAGGUGGAUCAGGGCCCUCGAAACCCUCGAAACCUCAUUGAGCAGCUUUUUCUCUUUUCACACCUACACCUACACUCGCUCUCGCUCUCUCUCACACAUACACACACGCACACACGCCCGCCCGCACGGGUUCGCUCUCUUCCACCCCGCAUGCACCCUACGCCCGAGCUCGUGUGUGUAUUUCCCCACGUGCCCUCUUCCCCACGUGGACUUCCCUUCCGCGACACCUCCGCGACCGCAAAUACCCCCUUACAUAAGCCCCUUCCUCAACCUCCUCCCCUCACCCCAACACACGCACACCUACAUCUACACAACCCAACACACACAGGACCUUGUUAUCCCCGCGUUCAAGGCGCCCAGUCACUAUCACGCUAGUCCGCUGCAAGGCAACCCGGCCCGGGAGCGGGACCUGUUGUUCUUUUUCAGGUGUGUGUGUCUGUGUGUGUGUCUGUCUGUGUGUGUGUGUGUGUGUGUGUGUGUGCCCUGGGUGUUGGCGGGGGAAGAGAGGUAAAGCGAGAGGUAGAGCUGCUGCCUGUCGCGUUCACGAUGUGGUGGCUAUCGUAUGUGUUAUCUGACGCAGCAGCCGUGAACCCCCCUCGGGACCUCCUCCGCCUCUUCCGCCUCUGUGCAUCGUGUCCCUCAUCCGGCCGCCCCCUGCCAGUCCUCCACAUUCCCUGCUGCUCAUUCGUCGUGUUGUAACCCCCUCUCACCCCACUCACCCCACCUACCUGGCUGGUGCCGCGCAGGGGCGAUGUGGGUAAAAAUCGACUGCCCAACUACAGCCGAGGAGUACGGCAACAGGUAUUGCUUGUGCUACUGCCCCUGCUGCUACAGCCGCGGCGACGGAGGGGAAGGGGAAAAAGGGGAAGUUUGGGGAUUUGCAUAGCUUGGAGGCCAUGUUGACUGUACGAGGAAUGGGGGAUGACGGGGAGGGAUGUGAGGCCGCUGCUAAAACCGCGUUCCUUACCUAACCCACCCAACCAACGAAAUGAAACCUCACCCAAACCCACCCAACCAGAUUUACAAGAUGGCCAAGGAGGGCGGCUGGGCGGAGAAGUACCGCUUCUACAUCGGCGACGGCAGUGAUGUGGAGGGCGACUACUCGGAGAUGCUCUCCAGGGCGAUAUUCUGUCUGGUGGCCCCCGGUGGGAUUGGGUGUGUGUGUGUGUGUGUGUAUAGGGUAGAGGGGGCAUUGGGGGGAGAGAGAGGGGAAGGGGCGACAGCAGACAUGGAAACCCGCACGCCCACACCACCGUCCUCCACAUCCACCACGUAUCCACUGUCACACUCCUUUAUUGAUGUCAUCAUGCCAGGGCCCCUUCUCACCUUCGCCCUCCCAGGGCCCCAGCAAGCACCUCACAACACCAGCGGGGCAGCCACCACAUCUGUUGUACUGCAGCCCGUUUUGUACUACUCCCGCGGCCCUACCCCCACCCCCAUCCUUACGUCUCUCACUCAGCAACCCGAGCUACAAAACCCCCAACCCCGCAACCUCCCAAACUCAGGUGAUGGCUGGUCGGCUCGCAUGGAGGACGCGGUACUCCACGGCUGCAUUCCCGUGGUCAUAGCGGACGGAGUGGAGGCCGUGUUUGAGAACGUUCUAGAACUGGACGCCUUUGCGCUGAGACUGCCGCAGGAGGCGGUGCCUCGGCUGCUGGACGUACUUCGGGCGGUGCCGCAGAGGGCCAUUCGCAGCAAGCAGGCGCACCUCGGCAGGGUGUGGCAGAGGUGAGGGCUGGGGGAGGGGCGAGGGAAGGGCGGGGAGGCACGAGGGUCGAGGCGGGUAGUGUGUGUGAUUUUUUGUUUGUGUGUGUUUGGGAUGGAAAGGGGGGUUGUUGCCGUUAGGAAACGGAUUUGGAGAAGCGACAUUUCUCACCUGGGGUGCCCGCCGCCCUGUAUGUAUGUACGGUAAAGGUGAAGGAUUAUUAAGCUACCUGUAACCGUAUGCUGUCCGUUCGUCGUGGAGAAGCUGUACGGCAUCGCGCAGUUGUACUGCUACAUAUCGUGCUGAGUUGAUGCUAAUCAGAGCGGAUGAUUGCCCCCUGUGGUAUAGUGCUGCCCUGCCCGCAUAACCCAAACAUCCUUGGUUGUGUUGUAGUUGUGUGCUGCUUAGAUACAAUAAACAAGUCGGGUGAUGUGCGUGAUGUAACCCCCACAGGGGAUGCCCCCUGUUCGUCCGUCUGUCUGUCAGCCUGUCUGCCGGCCUGUCCAUCGGUUUGUCCGCCUGUUUGUCUGUCUGUUUGUCCGCAGGUACCGCUGGGCAUCCCUUCCCAAGUUGGUGAGUGAGCUAAGAAGCGCGCAGCAGCGCAACCAAGUGGCCGCGGGACACUCCACCGAAGACGACGAGGGGGGGACGGCGGCGGCAACAGCGGCCGCCGGGGCGGGAGGGGUGGCGUCGCGGCGGCAGAGGCGGAGGCGGGGCCUGAUGACUGAAGGUCACAGCACGGCCGGGGCCGGCAGUGGGGUGGGGGUCCCUCGGCGGUUCCCCCUACCGCGACCAUAUCGGGGCGACCCGGCGCAGGAUGAUGCGUUCGCCACCAUUAUGCAGUGGCUGCAUAGCCGCAUCCCGCACACUCGCUAACCUGUCAGCAUUGCUGCCGUCAUCAGCAGCAAUAGCUGCAUCGCUUCAUCGUAAUCAUUAUGUAGGGGUGAUAGCUUGAUCAUUGGCCACUAGCCAGUGGCUUUAAAGCUUUUUCACCAUGGUAAUUUUUUAGUGACCAAGUGGUUACUGUGGGGGUGUACCUGGAAAGGAACAGCGAGUAUGCUGAACUGGAGCCCACUAGAAUCAUGCAUCCGUAUAUCCAACUUUGACUCUAUGUACGGCAACUUGUUCCCGAGCCCAGCUUAGUGAAGUAUCACUGCUCCCAUCCAAGCGUCAAAACAUUUUUAGGUGGUCACUACUACCAAGGGGGUCUGGGGCCCCCAAUUUCCUUGCGACCACCUGGUUACUGGCAGGUGACUCCAAACAUUUCCUAGUGACACCACCUUCUGGAAGGGAAUGAUUUUCUCAGUAACCACUUGGCCACUAGAAACCACUUUUAAAUUCACUGCCACUAGCCUGGCAGUCUCCACUUUCUCCCAGCUUGGAGACUCCCUUACCAUCCUUCUCACCCGUGUCGGCUUCAGUGAAGUCAAGUGACUUAUUCGGGUCUAGCACCACCAGCACCACCACCAGCACAUCCAGUGGAAUCUGCCGCUGGUUCGGUGGGGGGAGUUAGCUGGUUUUGAUGGACCAUGUACGGUUUGUGUUUGUCGGUACUGCCGUCCUCGUGCAGGCUGUAGGACGGUAAAUGGUGGCUCCCACAUGGUGUCUGGGUGUAUGUAUGUAUGUACGUAUGUGUGGGGGGGAUAAGAUGGCGUGUAUGGUAAUGCGGUGGGUGUACACGGGUCUCGUGAACGGUCUCGUGUCUUCUCUUAGGGGCACUGCGAAGAGGGAGAGGGACUGCAUGCAUGUGUGGUUGUUACAGUGGGCUCCAGUGCAUGUGCUUUGGCGUCCAGGGGGGAGGUGUAGCUGUCCAGGUCCUUCACAAUGACGCGGGAAGGGGGCUUGAUUGCUCAAUCCUAGGAGUGGAGAGCGGGUGCCCCUGAUCCUGAUCCUGAUCCGGGCUGAUUCUUUGUUCAGUACAGUGACGUAACGAGUGACCUCCGAAGCUCUUAGAAAUACUGAACGCGCCUACUUCAAGGCCCGUCUGACCACUGCCGCUUUACCGCCCUCAUCACAACCACCGCAACCACCUCCAUUAGACGAGGCUCAGACCAGUAUCUUCAAGAUAUCUGUAUUUUUGCCCUCGGUAGCUUGUUAGUGACCAAGUGGUUACUGUAUGUGAAGGUUUUCCUAGGUAACCACCUUACAAAAACCUGCCCUAGUGACCACCUUCCGGAACGGAUUUGUUUUCUCAGUAACCACUUGGCCACUAGAAACCACUUUUAAGUUCACUGGGUCGGGUCAGACCCAGUCACCAUCCGCACACCUUGACCAGUCCGGCAGCCGACAUACCGACAUACAUGUGCGUCGAAACACAUACUUUCCCUCAGGGAAACUUCCUGAGGUUGCGGCGUCGCAAAAACAUAGCAUGUGGUCUGGAUCGAACACACGACCGGUUUCCCUAGCCACCAGCGCACAGGUGCCGAGUGCCCUCGCUUGCCAAGGCCUCUUGUAGUGCAAGUAAAGGAGAAGGGAGAAGCACCGGAAAGAAGCACCGGCAAACAUGCAUUCCACACAAACAUGCAUCCACGCAUGCGCACGCGCACACACAUACAAAUGUAUGUACUCGCUACCGACCCUACCCACUUUUCAACACGCAAGCCUCGGCUCCUGCGCCUCGUCCCCCUUACCGACACCGACAAGCUUUCGGAUGCGGUCAUCCUGUGGUACAUUGACCCGCGGGUCGAUCACCACACCUUCCCCCAAACUCCCUCGGCUCUGUUUGUCCUUCUCUUUCUUCUUUUUCUUUUCCUGGGGCUUCUGUUGCUGGUGCGAACCUACGUUCUGGCAGCCUACGGCUUUCCCGUUCUGGUCAGAUGGGGUUGCUUCUGCUGCUGUUGCCGUGACGGCUGCCACAGCAUUAGCUAGCAGCGUACCCCCAUCCACUGCCAGCAUUGGUAUGGCUGCAGAUGCCUCCUCGGCCGAUGGGGCGCGGCGGCGUCGGAGGAGUUCGGGAAAGGGUGUUCCCGGGAGCUGUGGGGGCUCUGUAAGGGAAGGGCGCACACGGAGGAAGGGUCGACGAAAUUAACGCACUUAUACAUGCAUACAUGUUGUGUUUGACGACAUGUACGACAUGUACGCGCGCAGAAAAUAGGCAGCGGAGAGCUGUGGCUGGCUUAACACGGCCUUGGCCCUGCCUGCCUGUCUGCAUGGCUGCGAGGGGCCUACGUACCGUAAGGUUCUAGCACGGGCGGGUGUCCGGGAGCAGCACUUGCAAAAAAGCGGAAGGCGCCGUCCGCACGAACCUCUCCCUCAGCAGCCUCUGCCUCCGCCCGCUGUGCUGCCCGAGCCUCUUUACGCCUCUUCUUGGGACCGGGCUCCUUCAGUUUGUCCCUCAGUCGGUCUUCUAGCAGUGAGUCCAGGGCUGCGGCCACCUGUACAGAGGCGUAGAUAAAUGGGCGAGAAUGAAUAACUUAACUAAUCCCAUGCCACCUGUAUGUUGUGCCAUUACUGUUCUCGCCUUCAGCUGAAUCGGAUUAAGUUGGUCCCAUGGGCCGUCGCCAUCUUCCCACCCGUCGUCGUGUUCCAGAGCUGCGCCAUUUUGUUGAUCAGCUCCCGUAGAUCUUUUCUCUACCGUGCGCUUGCGCUUAAAUGUCCCGGCAAUGCGUUCCUUCGCCUGUACAGCGGGUCGCAGCCGCUCAAUGCAAGCCUUGGCUGCCCAACCCCGUUGUUGGUCCGUUGCGUAUACCUUUUGCGCAACGUCUUUCUGCUUGCUUGUGAUUUCCUCAAAUGAUACAGCUACGGAUUGGAAAACGGCAAGGUCUUCCUCAGAAGAGCUGCUUGAACUGCUUCCGGCCUUCCUUGGCAUUCUAUCCGUCUACAUUAUUUAUUAUUACAUUAAAUAAUCCUAUUAGAAGUACCUAAUCCUUGGGCAAAGAGCGCAGGUUGGACUUCUUUAAUGAAUUUUUGCGCAGCGUAGGCAGGAACAUACAAUCGACAAUCAUGUGUUAGUAAAAUGAUGAACGGGAUUUGCUCAGUUGCUUCCCCAUUAGAUGCCGGUUAGCCGUUUUAUACGGCAACUUGCCAAACUUUAGCUAAUGUUUCCAGAGGUCGGCAAAUCGGUUUCUACGGCUGCGGGAGGGCAUAAUUUCGGUCAAUAAACCUAAAAAAAAUUUUGGCGCCUUCCGGCGCCAAAAGAGACAGCAUUUCAGGGCUCCACGUCCCGUACACAUUGCAGGGGGGGCAAGGGUUCGUUGCCAAGCAAGUUCUUGCGCCAUGAAGUUAGCAUCGCCCCCGAGCUAUUCAUCGCCGACCGCAUGCGGUUGAAGCGCGGGGCGUGAAGGAUAUUCUCGACCUUAUCGGUGAUAUGCGUGUAAGGUGCAUCCUAGUGGAGGACUUGUACUUGGCCAUCGCCCCCUUCAACAUUGCAUCCUCCUUCUUCAAGGACCCGACAUACUCAGCUUCACAAAAAGACCUUCGUUGAACUUAAGCCGGUGAUGUUUGGUACUUUAAGCCAGUCCAUGUAUUCACAGAUCGUUGGGAAGUGAGUGAAAGGCAUGGCUUGGUACAGGACCAUGUAUGCGCCACAAAACAGAGCCAACAAGGGAUUGUCGGCAACCUCGGUCAUGGCCAGGUGCUUGUCAGUUUGCUGUUGCUGCUGAUCCUGCGUGUACUGGACUACAGCCGCUUUGUGGGAGUAGGAGGCCUCGUGCCGGGUGUAAGCUGAGCGAUCCCAGUUCGUGCGGGAAAUGGUGGCGUUACUCUCCUUAUGUGUGUCGCANAAAAACAGAUGACCGUCGUCGAGCCCUGAAGUGCAUAGGCCCAGCUCUUGAAAUCACCACCACAAGUGUCAGUCAGCCAAAUAAUGUCCUCGUUGGGAUUACGAGGCCGCUCAAACCCGGGGGGACACCAACGGCAUCGAUCUUAUUGGUGGACUUGGUGCGCUUCAGUUGCAGGUUGGCGGUGGCAUUGGGGGUGGCGGGGGGCAGGAGUGUUGCCGGCUGCUGUUCGGGAGCGGUGGUGUUGGGGGUGGUGGGCAGGAGAGGUGCUGGCUGCUGACUGGGACCGGUGGCGGCAGUGUUGGCUUGAGUGUGCCUUUUCUUCUGUGGAGGAAGGGCCACGGUGCUGGCGUUUCCGGAGGUGGGAGGUGGUGGUGCUGGGAAAAGUAGACCUGGAGAGCUUCACCGGCGCUGCCCGAUGGCCCAAGUAACGGCUCUUCCGCCUCAAUAUAUGUUGCUGGGGGAUCAGCAGUGGCUUUACGACCGGUCAGCGUGCCGGCCAACGUGCGUUGUCGACCGCUGGAAAUUUCUGCACGCGUUUCCUUCGUUCCCCGGCGAGAUGCCGCGGUCAGCAGUUAAAAAUACAAGCAAUAUGAUGAAGAUUAUGUAUAGGAUAGGCCACAUGGGACCAAUAUCUGGUAUGCCAAAGUCCACAAUUGACCAAGUCAAGUGCUGCGGCAGCUGCAAGUCAUCGGUACAGACGCUAGAAAUGUAAUAAUGUAUCAGUGAUAACCGUCACCGAAUUGUGUAGAGGUGGUCGUGACAUUCUUUUACAAAGUCAAACACAGAGUUCGAGUCCAGCGCGCGGCCCUACGGGCCGCAAUAGAGGCUUCAAUCACGUCUUUCGGUCGAAUUUUGGUCAUUUGGGUCCCGCAGCCGGGGCCUUAAGCCGAAUUUCGGCUGCGGGUACUGUGUUACGGACCCGCAGGACCCACCGGAUUUGCCGACCUCUGAAUGUUUCCCAACUCAUUGUAACAUCAUCUAGAAUCAGAGAACUCAGAGAACGGUUAUGAAUUUCUCUAAAGGGGAAGCCCUUUAGUUCUUCCCCACGAAGCAUCGUCCUUAUCGAGGUGCCAUUAUUCCCACCGACCGACGGACCAUCCGUCCGUGCCUCAAAUAUUCAUCUUCUUUCACUCCACUGACGUCUAUGUUGCGCUAUUUGAUGAUGGGCUAUGCAACACACCUUGGCUACCUCUCGAUGCCUGCACUGCCUCUACGGCACCACUGUGGGGCGCGACCUCUGCUGUUACCUUCCACCGCCGUCCGCUCCUCACCCAGGAUAUGCUACGAGCACGCAAACACACCCGCAAAGCCCUUCUUAGUUGAUGGCUGCACGCUUUUUCACGUGCAGAAGAAGCAUCAGGCUGGGAAACAUCGCCCAUCCCUGCAACACCUUAACACGUACACGCAAACGUCGUUCCCUGCGCGGCUUGAGCCCGCAUCAGCCUCCAGGGCCAGGAGCUUUCAUCACCGUAUCCUUGCCCAACACGUCAUCCGCCACCAGCAGCUCCAUAUGGGAUUCGCCGCCACCGUGCCAUCUUAGUGCUACCCACUUCGUAUGUCCUUCAUAGCUACUUGGUAACAUUCUUAGGGUGUAUUUCCAGUGCGGAUUAAGGCCAGGGAUUAGCCCUCUGUCCUCCAUCGAUACUUGCUCAAACAGGUAAGUUGUUGGCAAACUUACCUCGCCUUUUCAACCUUUGGUUCCCUUAUGGAGCGAAACUAACUGCUAAGCUCGUACCAAGGACUUCCGUGCCCUAAUCCCUGGCCUUAAUCCGCACUGGAAAUGCACCCUUAAUAGGCCGCUUAGUAGAUCACUUAGUAUCAUGUUACAUACUAACUGCCCUUGCAGCGCUUAGUACUGAAUACUAAGAAUACUAAGUCCUUCAAACAAAUAUUAAGUGACAUUUAUCAAGAACUUCAAACAAUUAUGAAGUAACGUGUAUCAGGAACUUCAAUAUUAUACCAAGCACUGGUUACCAAGUGUUUACAAAGUACUGUAAAUAAGUACACAAUACACAUGUAAGAAGUACUUAGACUAUCAGGUACUCCAUAAAUGUCAACACUACACCAGCUGAUAAGUAUUGAUCCGACUGCUGUCUUCUCCUAAAAUCCUAAACACACUUUCCUAAAAGCACUCGUGUUCACACAAUACAUGAAUAGUCGGUAUGGUCAGCCUGCACCUUGCGUCAUCCUAUACCCACACAUCUUUUAAGAUCUCAACACUGGGCAGCACCUUUAUGCCCGCACCCUCGGCCCUCCACCAUUUUCACCCGGCCCCCACAUCCUCCACCACUGCCAGCAGAGGCACCUCCUACCACCCACCCAGAGCCAACACCACUGCCCCCCUCCGCUGCGCUUUGCUACUGUUGCUCCUGCUGUUGCUGUUGCUGCUGCUGCCACCAACCGCCAGCCAAGUACGACUGCAUAAUCACGCGAUACGCGGCGCAGGAAAACACAAUUGGCACGGCGAUACGUACACACCACGAUACGGCACGGAUCCAUAUCGCCGACUUACCGCAUGUAUCAUCUGGAGGGUGCUUGCACCGUAGAUACCGCCAAGCGCCGCCGGUCAAAAGGAGGGUACGCGGUUCGGGGAACAGGUGGGGCGGGGCGGGAGGGGAUGGUAUCGUUUGCUUUGCUACUGCUUUGCUGCUACUGCUGCUGUCGCAGCAGACCGCCAGGCAGACAUGAUUGCACGCUCCCAACAAAAUGCGGAACUGAAAACCCUAAACAGUACGACCAACCGCAAAGCGCGAGGUAUCUUGAAAUCCAGGGGCUCAUGCAAGGACUGCAGCUCGUGUAGCGCCCAAUCGUUGCGCCCUCGGCAUUGGUGUUGAUAUACGGCCGCCGCGCAGCCAUAAGGACGCACCAGAGGCAGGCGGGAGGACGGGGCAGGAGGAUGGGCGGAGGGGAAGGAAUAAUCAGCAAGGUACGAUGAGGAAGUUCAUGAGGCCGUCUUGUUUGGGUUCACGAGCGAAAAGACAUGCAUAAAAUCUUAUCCAUAAUAGCUCACGCAUUCCUACAGGUGCUUGCUUUGCCUUGUAACGAUCACUGUCGCUUCUGCUGCUGCCGCUUCUGCUGCCAGCCGCCAGCCGAACACGAUAGCAAGGAAACGUCCAACAUGGCACCGGACAAUACACCAGGCGCUGCACAGGGUACGACGAACUGCACUGUGAAGUGCAGUACAGCACGCAACGGCACUGGACGCAACGCCUACGUACCCCAUCAAAGCCCACACUAAAGGUUGUCGAAAUCAUCAGUUCCUGCUGAACCUGUUUGCUUUGAACGCCUAGGCCCAGCAUGUCAUCUCCCCGUCGCUCCAUGUCACCGAGCCCUAACAUGGGACGAGACACGGAACAUCGCAAGCUGAAAGGUAGAUGUAAUUGUCGUCCUGCUCACAGCAUUCAUCACGCAGAUCUUCCAGUUUCUGCCUGUAAGCGGGCAAACAGAAGCAAUUGUGAGGACAAACUUUGCGAUGUAGUCUUCCUGGUGCUGCUAUCCAAUUGCCUGAUCCUUAAUGCAAUCAAAACAUUUCAUAGCUCAUGCAUUCUGGGAAGACAAGAGACGGACAACUCCAACUUCAACCGUCGAAGGCGCCUGGACGACCUAGGUGCAUUACAGGCAAACCCACAAAAGCCUGAGCUAUCCAGCUCCGAGCCGUAUAAAGCAAUAAUAUACGUGUCUAGAUUGAAAAUAUCUAACUGUUGAUAUGAAGCUAAUUUCGGGCAUUUGAGUUUUGGCAUGGUUCUGAGUCCUGGCUUCGGUUUUAGUUGCAUGUGUUACACGCAUCAGCCCUACAGGCACACAUGUAAGCCUGGGCUUAGGAAGCGCAGAACGUAACCCCGACUCCCUGCGAACCUGAACCUAUCGGCUAUUGCAAUUUGAUCAUGCCUUUUCGACGCGAGGAGAAGCCCCAAGGGCCCACACACCAAAGCAUCCGCCACCCACCAAUUAAAGUAAUUUCUACGUGCUGCACAAUACGCACCCGGAAAUCCAAUGUACUCCCCGGGCUGAGGGACAACCUCGGCAGGUUUUCUGGUACGACAGUCAACCGCCAACUGCAACAAUCGCCUCGGACCUCUUCCAAUAGCUGAAUUCGUGACGGUAUUCUUCAUUUAUGCACCUCCUUGCCUCUACGGUAUAUGUUUAAAUUUGAAACUGUAGUCAGCCCAACCUUACAGCAACGAUACCGGCAGCGUCGCUGCUCAGCUCCGUUCUCCGUGUAUUUUUCUCCUGGCAGCCUGAGUUGUGGUGCAUCCUAUACGCUUAAUACGGUACUAGUAAGGAGUAGCAUCUACGUAGAAACGGGCCCGGAGCCCAGAAAUGGAACGGGUCGCUGACGUCCCAGCACACGGCGCUCGGCAGUCCAAUCGGGACCCUUCUGACUUUGCUCUUACCAAUAAGAAUCUUGUUUGUUGCUACGUGUGCCGCCUAAUCAAGUCGCGCAACCAGGUGCGGUGUUUGUUGCGGUGGAGCGUUGAGGACGCUGCUCAGCCGAUUCCCUUUUGCAGUUCCAUGAUUCGGGUUGUGACAACUGUAAAAAUCUUUUUGGACCUAGCAUUUCAUUUGAGGACUACACGACACCAAGCUUCUCGGGGCAAGGACUGAGGCUUUUAAACGAAUCAGGGACUUUGUUCUUACGGGCGAGGAUGGAGGCAGUGAGAGGAUUCGUAAGCACAUGGCCUAACAAUGUUGCUUGCAAAAUGAUCGCUUAAUACGGUUUGUUAUACUCGUAAAGUUGUGUCUUCAGUAAUCUCUUCCUACCCCAUGUGCACGUGUAAUUUACGUGAUGAUGGUUCGAAUUCUCUAUGUGCCGUACACAGACAUCGCCUCCUUCAUCAGCAUGUGUGGUCAGGUUCCGCCCCACCGAGUCAUGGCGUUCCUCAACGACCUCUUCACCAUUUUUGACCAGCUGGUGGAGAAGCAUCAAGUUUACAAGGUCGAGACCAUCGGAGGUACGGCAUUGUACGGCAUCGUCGUACAUAUCAUAGUACGGAAGUGUACGGGACUGAGGCGAUGCCGUUGUUGCAUAAUUUGGCGGAACGACUGCCGAGAAGCAUGACUGUGUUACAUUCGAGGUGCUCGUAUCCUAUCUUCAUGUUCGAUAGCCGCUCUCCUGUCUGGGCCUUUUUUCAUAGCUUUUGAUACCUGUACCAAACCAUCUUUUUCAUAUUCGCCCAUAAGUGAAGCACCGGCCGGCAGCAGUGGCGAAAUGUCUUCGUGGUUCUUGGGGUUUUAUUGGGGCUGGUUUGGGAAUAUAUGGGACUAUUCACUGCACGACCCCGACGCGACAAAGCAAGGCCUACGGGCUACAGGUCGACCACUGGCCGCCAGGGCAGCACCCGGGGGGGCCGUACGUAGCUCCACGUGUAUGUAGCUCGAAGCUUGCUGCGACAGAUGAUGUAUUUCUAGGCAAGUCCGCACAUCGUUCGUGAAACCCUAACUUUUCACAAGCUUCGCAAGAUUUUACUCUCAGUUUUCGGUUUCUGUUGGCAGCGCAUGUUGCCGGGCCCUCCUCCCCCUCCUCCUCCCCUUCCCCUCCUCCCCCUCCCCCUCCUCCCCCUCCUCCCCCUUCCGUGCGUGAAUCUGUGUAUCGCUCUUGCCCUUCUCGCUCCAGUCAACGUUGCCAGUCGAAUGGAGUCCACGGGUGUACCUGGUGCCGUACACAUUUCUGCGGCCACGCGGGCCUUAUUAGGCGCGGCGGCCGACGGGUUUCUUUCCACGGGGGGAAUUCCCGUCAAGGGCAAGGUACGGAUUGGGGAGUUGGCAGUUGACAGUUGGGAAUUGAUGUUAUUGUUCUUUCCUGGUAUUCGCACUUUAUUCGCACUGGUCCACAUGCCCACGAAGAUCCGCCACCACGCAGUUCUUUGUCGGAGAAGUGAGGGGGGGCCAUAUUCCCUCACUCACUCACUCAAAGAAUACCAAGCGCAGCAUCAUUCGCGUAUUGGGGUGUGAAACGCAGUUCUUCAUGCAGGUCGUCAUCAUGUCAUCCUUCUCUGCGCCUCCCCCCGGCCUCACCAAACCAUGUAACCCAUGCGGUUGUAUGACGUACGGCGCAGGGGUUCAUGCUCACGUACGUGUACGACCCGUGCGGCGUCGCUCCGCAGCGCUCUCAAACAGUCUCCCGAACUGGAUCAGGUGCGGAACAGGAGGGUGCCGCUGUGGCGGGUGCCGCUAAGCUAUCGGGUGCCUGUCCUGAUCCUGAUCUACCAAUCUUGACCGCUACAGCCGUGCCGGGUAUUGGUAGGGAAGGUCCCCAGGUCCCCGGGGGAGAAGCAUCUAGCGGUACACCGACAGAGGCGCCGCCUCCGUUGCCGCAAUAGGCCAUGUACGACAUGACGUACAUGGCACCCCAAGUGGUAUGAUUGUGCGCGCGUGUUGCAAAAGCGAGGACCGCUCUCUUGCGUGUGUGCCAUUCCCGAAUGUAUAUUCGACGUUUGUUGUACUGCAGCAUGUACGGAGUACGGAAUACGGCAUAAUACGGAUAUGGCACGUGUUUGUACAAUUGUGUCAGUUUUGUACUUUGGCUCGGUCCUGCGAUGUCGGUUCCCGCAGCUGUGAGGGAAGGUGUUUUCCGGGCGCGUGCAGGAGGGUCCUUCGAACCCGCCAUGAAUAUCUAGCUAGCUAGAUAGCUAGCUAGCUAGCUAGCGGGAUUGUGUCUUGUAAAUUAUUUUGGCGCUGGCAAAUAUUUGUCUUGGCAGGAGUUUGUGACUUGGCUUUGCGAGGGUCGUGGUAAGGGUCGCUGUUUGAGGGAGAGGAGAGGAGAGGGGAGAGAGAAAGAGAGGGAGAGCGAGACAAGUGUCAAUGGAGACGCGCAUUGGAUUCGGUUUGGGGUUGGAUUCGGAGCUGUGUAUGUACGUCCUGCACAUGGGUUAAGAACUGGCAGUUUGGGGUUUGGGCUGGAAAUAGGUUUGGUCACAAGACACACGCCGUGAGACACGCACACACACACACACAUGGUUGCUUCUCUCCGACAAAACACACAAUAUAAAAUGUUCGUACUUACUCGUUACGUUGAGGACUGCAUACUGCGACGUUCGGCUUGGGGGAUAUACGGUUAUACGACAGCACGGAUGUACGGAUGUAUUCACAGAUUUGUAUGGACGGCGGCUGCGGUGGGAGCGAGGAGCGAGCGGUGUGAGGAGGGAGCGGCAUUUACUUUUAUCACUGUCGGGAGAGCGGCGGCGGAAGCUUCUUUAUGAUAUGUCGCGGUCUUCAACGCGGCUCCUGGUGUGGGGAAUUUUGAAGUCAACGAGAAAUCAACUAGAAGCCCUUCCUUGGCUUAGUCUCGGCCGCUAUUAUAUAUGCACCUUCUUUUAUAACUAACCCAUUAUAUCGGUCGGCGUUUCGGAAGCAGCGAGAAUAAAUAACAGCCAUGCGCAAUAGCAGCUGUUUAUAAAUAUAGCAGUAAUCGUCGUUAUAGGUGUCUCGCAGUAAUAAGGUUUGCGGGCAAAGAGGAGGAGGCGGGAAGGAGGGAAGCUGUGAAGGGCCGGUAAGGUGAUAACGAGGCGCCGAGUCCGCUACCCUUGCGGGGCCAGGGAGCGGUCGAGGGAGGGGGCCGGGUGCACCGCUCGCUCGCAUGCACCUCUCUCGGCUGUUUGGUUUGCGCUUUUCGUCAUGUGGGUACGAUUUGUUUCGAACGGCAGCGUUUCGACCACUAUGGCUAAAAGACCCGGGGGAAACGCGAGGCAAUGAUGAUGAUGAUGAAAACAAGGAGGGAGCGACGUCAGCAUCAGGAGCAGAUACCGGAGGGUCGUACCAGAACUCGACAGGACCAGUUAACCCAGCAGAGCGUCGCUUCCCUAUCGCGGCAGCAACAUCGAACAGCGUGGUACGUACGAAAACCACCUGAUGUUGAAUGCGGUGCGAUGCUCUUGCAGUUCAAGUGCAGUGCAACAGAUACUCUCGAGCACGUGCAGGAGGCGGAUGAACGACAACAUAACGUCCGGCACAGCGAACUAAAUUUGGGGCACAGCUCAUCAGAGUGAGGGGACAAACGGAUCCCAAGUGAAGGGCGGACCAGUCAAACACUGAAGCUGCUCGAAUUCGGAAGUGCAAAGUAUGCGAGUCGAAGGGAAGAGUGCAGAAGUUCGUGUUUGUGUUACAAGAUUGAAGAGGCUCGGUAAUUAGAGCAGCAAAAACAGCAGCAUCCUGAUGCAUGAGUUGCACUAAUGACAAGAGUCUGCAAGUCACACACACACACACACACACACACAAACGAAACCCCCCGAACCGCAUCAUGCCAGGCCAUCAUGGCAUUAUGCCCCCCGAACCGCAUCAUGCCAGGCCAUGCCCCCCAAUCGCAUCAUGCCAGGCAAAGCCCCCCGAACCGCAUCAUGCCAGGCCAUGUCCCCCGAACCGCAUCAUGCCUGGCCAUGCCCCCCAAACCGCAUCAUGCCAGGCCAUGUCCCCCGAACCGCAUCAGGCCAGGCAUUGCCCCCCAAUCACAUCAUGCCAGGCUAUGCCCUAAAACUCGCAUUGUGCCAGGCCAUGCCCCCCAAACCGCAUCAUGCCAGGCCAUGCCCCCCAAACCGCAUCAUGCCAGGCCAUGUCCCCCGAACCGCAUCAGGCCAGGCAUUGCCCCCCAAUCACAUCAUGCCAGGCUAUGCCCUAAAACUCGCAUUGUGCCAGGCCAUGCCCCCCAAACCGCAUCAUGCCAGGCCAUGCCCCCCAAACCGCAUCAUGCCAGGCCAUGUCCCCCGAACCGCAUCAGGCCAGGCAUUGCCCCCCAAUCACAUCAUGCCAGGCUAUGCCCUAAAACUCGCAUUGUGCCAGGCCAUGCCCCCCCAACCGCAUCAUGCCAGGCCAUGCCCCCCGAACCGCAUCAUGCCAGGCCAUGUACCCCGAACCGCACCAUGCCAGGCAUUGCCCCCCAAUCACAUCAUGCCAGGCUAUGCCCUAAAACUCGCAUUGUGCCAGGCCAUGCCCCCCCAACCGCAUCAUGCCAGGCCAUGCCCCCCGAACCGCAUCAUGCCAGGCCAUGUACCCCGAACCGCACCAUGCCAGGCCAUGCCCCCCAAUCACAUCAUGCCAGGCCAUGCCCCCCGAACCGCAUCAUGCCAGGCCAUGCCCCCCAAUCGCACCAUGCCAGGCCAUGCCCCCCAGUCGCACCAUGCCGCCAGUCCUUCGAGCUUCCAACGCAAAGUCUGGCCAGGUGACCCUGCACAAGAACAAACGAAACGGUUAAAUAUGCCAAUUCCAACGUCUAACGGUGGCAUUUGAGCGCGAACGGCAGUUUACCCCCCAAGCUUGCGGCCCAGACUUACCGUGCACGAUACCGUGCUAAGGCGCCUCACGUACGUCGCAGCCUCGUUAGACCUGAGGCCGCGCACUCGAGCAACGUUCAAACAGAAAGCCUGCGGAAGUGGAGACCCUGCACAAGAACAAACGAAACGGUUAAAUAUGCCAAUUCCAACGUCUAACGGUGGCAUUUGAGCACGAACGGCAGUUUACCCCCCAAGCUUGCGGCCCAGACUUACCGUGCACGAUACCGUGCUAAGGCGCCUCACGUACGUCGCAGCCUCGUUAGACCUGAGGCCGCGCACUCGAGCAACGUUCAAACAGAAAGCCUGCGGAAGUGGAGACCCUGCACAAGAACAAACGAAACGGUUAAAUAUGCCAAUUCCAACGUCUAACGGUGGCAUUUGAGCACGAACGGCAGUUUACCCCCCAAGCUUGCGGCCCAGACUUACCGUGCACGAUACCGUGCUAAGGCGCCUCACGUACGUCGCAGCCUCGUUAGACCUGAGGCCGCGCACUCGAGCAACAUUCAAACAGAAAGCCUGCGGAAGUGGAGACCCUGCAUAAGAACAAACGAAACGGUUAAAUAUGACAAUUCCAACGACUAACNNNNNNNNNNNNNNNNNNNNNNNNNNNNNNNNNNNNNNNNNNNNNNNNNNCGAGACGUCAUGGCGAGACGCCAAUGGCGAGAUGCCAAUGGCGAGACGCCGACGGCAAUACGCCGACGGCAAGGCGCGGACGGCAAGGCGCCGAUGGCAAGGCGCCGACGGCAAGGCGCCGACGGCAAGGCGCCGACGGCAAGGCGGCCGACGGCGAGGCGGCCGACGGCAAAGCGGCCGACGGCGAGGCGGCCGACGGCAAAGCGGCCGACGGCAAAGCGGCCGACGGCGAGGCGGCCGACGGCAAAGCGGCCGACGGCGAGGCGGCCGACGGCGAGGCGGCGGACGGCCAGGCGGCAUACGGCGAGGCGGCCGACGGCGAGGCGGCCGACCUAGUUGAAACCCUACGGAUACGUGUUGUCCUGUUGGAAGUCCUCGCCCAGGCUCGCUCAGACCGGUGGCGGGAACGGGCGGGAGGUGGGCAGGGAAAUACACACACAGGCACGUUGUUAACCAGCUAGCAGGGGACGCAACGAGCACAGACUUUGCACAGCAAAACGAUAUGGGCAGUUGUGCACAAAAUGCAGAAACGUACUAAUACGCACACAGGUGGAUCGCGGGCAGUUUCGAAUUCUCCAUCGCAAGUAAAAACAAUAGCAUCCCCAGACAUACCCACACAUACGUAUACAUGCGGGCGCAUAUACACACACAUACACACACACACAUACUCUUACACACAACUACACACACACAUACUCUUACACACAACUACACAUACACACACCCGCGCGCGAGAGCACAUUCUCACCCACAUUUGAACACCUACC